rnacentral:lncRNA from 1 species
AAGCCUUUGUUUUUUGGCAGGAAAUGCAGAAGCAAGGUCUAAAACCCAAACUGAUUACUUAUACCACUAUGAUAUCUGGGCUUGCAAAGGCCGGAAAUAUACUAGAAGCUGAUAAACUCUUUGAAAGGUUCAAGGCAAAUGGAGGUGUACCUGAUUCAGCCUGUUAUAAUAUUAUGAUAGAAGGGUUAAGCAUUUCAAAUAGGGCAUUGGAAGCUUACCAACUAUUUGAAGAGACUAGGUUAAGAGGUUGCAACAUAUACACAAAAACAUGUAUUGUUCUUAUGGACUCUCUGCAUAAGGCUGAAUGUCUUGAGCAGGCAGCAAUCGUGGGUGCUAUUCUGCGGGAAACAGCAAAGGCACAGCAUGCAUCUAGAUCAUUGUAACAAUGGAUUGGUUGCUGUUAUUAGCGACUGAUCACAAUCUGAUGUGUAGUUUUUAUGUGUUUAUUUCUUUGAAUAGGUGGGCUAUCUGGACGCAUUAUUUGUAUAGUUUAGGGCAUAGCAAUAUAGGUCUAAAUUGGGGAUAGAAUCACACAGUUAACUACAUAAACUGGUUGAUAAGAGGAUAAGUGGCACUUCACCCAAUAAACAGUUUAUCUAUUUUCUUACCAGCUUGACUAUACUAUUGCAUCAUAAUACAUUUGAAAAAAAAAAAAGUAUAACAAUAUUAUAUUUCAAUAUGUGGUCACAAUUAAAGCAUAAGCAUAACAUUGUCAAACAAUUAAAUAUUCAAUUCUAAUACUAGUUCAAGAUUAAUUUUUUUUACUUGCCAAAAUAUGGUUAUCCAUUAUUGACUAUUUCUCUAUUCCACCCCUCGAGCGGGACAAAUGUUCAUAUUAGGAUUUUAGCUGUUCCUUGCCGACAGUAUAAGUUAGGGACUAAUAUUGCCGACAAUAAGCAAUCAAGAGCUAAUUAUAUCUAAACUAAUAGAAUUUGAACCAUAUUUCAUUUCAUAUAAAAAAAAAAAGAAAGAAUAAAGAUAUAUGCUAAAAUACACUCAAAAAAUAAAGUUUUAAAAGUUAAUGUAGUUAAAAAUUUCAUCUCAAAGCAUAGGAAGUAGAUAAAUUGCUUAAUUCAAUAAGCAAGAGCUAAUUAGGAGUUCAAUUGAGGUAAUACCAUUGGUUCUUUUUUCUCCCCACCUAUAAAACAAUUAACUUAAUUGAUGUCUAGCUCCUAAGUAUAGCAAAGCAACCAUAAAAUGCUACGACGAAGUUCUAAAUUUAAAGAGUCCAAAAGAAAGAAAAAGUAGAAAGCAAAAGAGCUGCAACACCAUUAAGACGUACACUAGUCAUUACAAAGCCAUCUAGCAAUGCUUGCCCCAAAAUAAUUUGGCACCAAUUAAACCAUUGCCAAUCAGACUAAACUAGACCCAACCUGAUCUUUGGCUCGAAACAAAGAUGAACUAGUGGUGGUUUGGUUUAACCUUUCUGUCCAAGACUAUAAUCAAAUAGGUUUUGCAAAUGGCUUGAGUUCACUAAAUAAAUUGGUAUCAGUUGCCCUUCAACAAUCUAUCUACAAAGACAUGCUUUAACAAUGAUCUAACUUAACCUAUGGUAUCAAAUUCAUCUCAAAACUUUCAAAUCCAACAAUUAUUUGCCAAAAGUGAAUUUUUAAUAUUUUAGAAGCAUAAACAUUCAGCCAUUAAGUUGAAAAAUAAGAAAAAUCCAAAGUUUGGUAAUGUUGAGAAACCAAAACUUUUUGUAAGCUACCAUAAAACAACUCGAAACAAUUUGAUGGGCAUCUAUUUAGGUAAACAAGAUUGUGGAUAUCAUAAAUUUUGUGUCCAAAGAUAAUACAUUCUAGUCCAUAAAAGUAUUUUUUAUUGUUUGUAUUAUAAUUUGGUAGAAAAGAAAAUUUUAUUAUUAUGUUUGAUUUGGAACAAAUAAAUCUUUAUUAUCUACUAUACUAACAAACUUGAGCGAAUGAUUACUAAAUUAAUAAUGCAUACAUUUUUCAUAUAGUGGCAAUUCUUUUAUUAUUAUUAUUAUUAUUAUUUAUUUACACAUUUACUUUAUUCAUCAGUCUCAUGCUUAAUAGUGUCAUAAAUUGCCACAUUUUCAUAAGCGGCGAGCUUUUGAAAGAUAAAGGUAUAACAGCACUACUUGAUAAUUGUGCUAAAAGAAAAAGAAAAAUACUAUACAAAAUCAAAGUGAACCUUUCUUAUCUCUAUAUAUAUAUAUAUCAUUCCAUGGAAUGGUCCUUUCAAAAUUUAUCACUAGAAGCAUAUAUGUACUUUAGUUGGUAUCAUAAUAAUUAUUAAACCUGAGCCUAGAUAUUCAAUCGGGCAUUUAGAAAGGAAGUGAUAGAUACAUUAAUUUCGGUCUAUGGGAUACUACAUAACUUUGGGUCAACCAUUUUGAAACCGAGUUUUUCAAUUCAAAAAGUUAUUGAACCAAUCCAUGGAUCCUGGACAUUACAAAUGAUAUUAGAGCAAAUCUUGCAUGAUCUUUGUAUGAGAUGAGUCUGGACUAGUGGUGUUAUGAUUCCGAUUACAUGAGGGAGUGUAAGGAGUGAUCACUUGUCAUAAGUGUCAAAAAUUAAUUAUUGAAUUCCCAAAACUUAUAGUAGUGGGUGUCCGGAUUGAACCCACGGGGAGCAAUGAGAACUUUGAUUUUUCUCUUUUGAAUCGAUGAAAAUAGUUAGUGAUGAUUAAGAACAGUUUAAAAUAACAAUUACAAAAGUUAGCAAUAGACGAAAGCCAAGCCAAGGACAUGAAAAUUUUACUUUGAUUAAUCAUCAAUUCCUAAAGUCCAAUCGCUAGUCAACUAUUUGCCAUUUGGUCUAAAUUAUCCCAAACACCAGUAGUAACUCAUAAGAUUCUCUAACUUCAAUAAUUAGAAUAACACAUUCAAAUUGUAUUCUUAUUAUCAGACAAUCUAAGUAGUAACGUAAUUGCAAGUUAGUUUAAUAACAGCAUUAAAGACUAUGAAUCAGUCAAAGAUGAUAAUAACCUGUAACGCAUGCAAUUAUUCAAUCAACACCACGAUUCGUCUUAAGGUUUUAUAAAAAGGUAAGCAACUAUUAGCCGAAAUACUAAUGCAAGACAAUUACAUAUCAAAAUUAGUGUUUUGGCAUGAAUGAUACAUAUAAAAAAGAAUAAUUGACCAUUGACUCUACUAGAUAUGCAUAAACACAUAAUAGAAAUCAAAGAAUAGCAGAUACUUAGUCAAUUAAUGAUUGAAAAAAUCAAACCAAUUUCACAAUUCAUGGAGUAGCCGCUUCAAUCCUUGGCUUUAGUAGAGAGAUUAGCUAGACGCCGUCAUUGCAAGAGUAAUAAAGAUGUUCAUAAAUGAGUAAAGACUAAUCCUAGAUCCUAUGAGAAAUUUAUCUUACUCUACCUCUGAAAAAGCGAGUAAUCUCCAGAGAGAAUUUUUCUUCUGACGUACUUCCCUUCAUUACCUCCUUCGUAUGUAUUUAUAAUAUAAAGUCCCUGUGAUAGGUUUUUUUAAAAUUGGAGUCGAGUGGACUACUUGAAAUUAGAAAAGCACAUGUCUAGACAUUGUUGAGCCUUGAUCGGGCUGUAUGAUGGGUGCCCAUUAUCAUCAGAUUCUCAACUUAUACCAAAAUCAUUUUCGAGGUUGAACAGGCCUUAUGUUUGGACCCCAUCUUGGCACCCAUUAUCUUCCGCUCUUUUGAACUUAGAAUUUUACUUCCAAAUUGAGCUUCUUUGACAUCAUUUUUAUCCUAAAUGCUUUUUAACCUGUCCAAUUAUAAAAUACACCUAAGUAGCACCUUUGAAAAUACUAGGAGGCAUGAACGCGCUUCGAGCGGUGGAAAUGUAAAAUGCCCUACCCAAUUUUGUAUAAAAAAACAAAUUAAAUUAAAUGAGCAUUUGCUAUGGCAUUGUUUAUUACAAUUUAUAUCAUAUAUCUUAUAUCAAAAAUUAUGAAACAUAAUAUUUAAAUAUAUUUAGUGACCCACUGGUUCAACCACUCACCCCCUGGUUGAACCAGUGACUCAUUGACCUACCUCUUUCAUCGAAUUUUUUUGGGUUGCCCUACCCAAUUUUGUAUAAAUUAAAAAGCAAAUAUAUGAAGGAAUAGAAUAGUGAUCUAUACCCAAAAGGUGUGUCUGAUUAUUAGUAAAGUCCGAAAAUGAUAGAUCCUCAAUUAUGUAGCCUGUGCCAUAGUUAUUAAAAUCGGCCCCAAAAAAAUUCGAUGAAAGAGGUAGGUCAACGGGUCACUGGUUCAACUAGGGGGUGAGUGGUUGAACCGGUGGGUCACUAAAUAUAUUUAAAUAUUAUGUUUCAUAAUUUUUUAUAUAAGAUAUAUGAUAUAAAUUGUAAUAAACAAUGCCAUAGCAAAUGCUCAUUUAAUUUAAUUUGCUAUAGAAUAAUUAAUUCAUAUAAGAAUCAAUAAAACAUAAAUUUAUUUAGUAAUCUACCAAACUUCAAGUAUAAAAUUUUAUCUAUGUUUAGUGUAAUUAUCUAGCUUAUUUACGAAUUUUAAAUGCAAAAAAUUAUUAAAAAUAAUAUUUGUCUUUAAAAUGAAUUAUGUAAUAUGUUAUUUUUGAAAUCCAUUUUAUAACUUAUAGAGUUUGGGGGUCAUAAGUUUUUAUUAAAAGAUUCCAAAUAAAUUUGUUUUAGAAAAAUUAAAAAAAAAAUAGAAUUGACAAAACAUUUAUAUAUUAUAAGAAAGCUACUCUACCAACAUAUGGCAAAGUGGUCUUGUGGUAAGUAUACUAUUGCACAUAUCAAAGGUUUGGAGUUCGAAUUCUAGUAAAGCUAACUAAAUCUUUUUCACAAAACCUGGUUCGUGGACAAAAUCGGCUGGGUUCCUGGUUUAAUCCGGUUGAACCGUUGGGUCAUUGACUAGUCAAUGGCUUCUAUGUUCAAAUAAUGUAAUUAGAAACCUAGCCCGGUCCAAUGGCUGGUUCACCAGAUUGACCGAUUCGACCAUCGGGCAGGGUCGGGGUUUAAUAACUAUGGUAUGUGCAGAUAAGCUUGUUGUAUAAUUUGUUUUGCAUGCAUGCAGAAACCAUUUGCAAAAGAAAUCUCAAAGACUAAAUAUUAGUUAAAAAAAAGGACACCAAAGUAACAAAAAAAAAUACUUCAAACAUUCAUUAUCAAAGUUUCGUUAGUGCAGCCAGUAGAUAAACAUCAAUUUGUCUCUAAACAUUCAUUUUCAAGAUUUGAUUCACUAAACAAUUACAAUGAGUUGCUAAACACUAAACUUCUAGUGCUACAAAUACAUUUUUCAAACUAGAGCUCCUUGUUGUAUAAUAUCAAGAGCAAAAGUGCAGCAUAACAGGUCGAUUUUGUUGGAAUAAAUUCAGCAAAUUGCAUGCUUGAUCCAAUGGAAAAUACAAAGUGCCAUGGAUACAACUUUUCUAUCGCUUUUCGGUUGAACACCAGCACAGCAAAGGAAGUCUUGGACUGUGGAAUAAAGAGUAGUAUUUGACCAUUUCGUAAAUCAUGAUCAAUAACAAAAUGGUUCCAAUUUUGAUCAAAACAUCUGCCAGUCAUACCAAUGUAGUAGUAUUUAUAACCAUUUGUACCAGUUAUAGUUGGUGUAUUAUUUUCAUUUAGUUUUAGAUCUACAAAUUUUGAUAGAUCCUAUAAAUGUACGAAAAAAUGGUCAUAAGUAAGUGGACACAAAAAAAGAGAGAAUUUUAAUAAAGUGAGAAAACACAAAACAAUACCAUCUUGUACUUGUACCUAAAUAGGUAAUGGUAAGGGGAAAAAAAGAAGCAUAUACUUGUGUUUGUAAAAGAUUUCGGGACUGAUAUCAGACUGAGCUAACCUUAAUAGAAAGAGCAAUACAGUUUCUACAAUAGACAUAAAAUACUAAUCAGUGAAAACUAAUAGUAUAGCCAAUUUAUUCCUAACAAAGUAGAACAGAUUGGCACAAAGAUGUGCAUAUAAGUAAAAAGGGAUUCACUAAAAAUAGUUAGAAUAAGAUCAAAGAAAAUACAAAGAGAAGAAAAAGACAAAAGAAAUCCCAACAUGGGAUUUUAUCUCAAAAAAAAAAACCCUAACCCAUAUAAAAACCAGGAAAAGACAUGAGCAUGAAUAUUAUGCCACUUCUAGUGAAAUUCUUGUAACAAGGGCCAAAAAACAAUAGCAAUUCAAUAAGCAAAUAUAAUGAUUCAACCUUCCCUAAUGAACUCCCUCUUCUCUCUUCUGUCUGCAUGUUUACAAUUUGUCUUUUAAAUUAAUUCCCCUGUUAGAAUUUUUUCUUGAUUUAGGCCAAGCCUACCCCAACUGCAGCAACAGGCUGUUGCAAGUUUCGACCUUAAGCCUAACUUACCAAAUAGUAUACAAGAUGAUAAGCUGCUAGAAUCAAGCACUGGGAUUUUGGAAGAAUAGUCAUUGCUUUAGGAUUAAUACCAAAUAGUCAUAAAAAAACAUUCACUAGUAUUUUAUCAAGACAAAUUCAUUAUGCAAUGUAGUCCUUUUAUCAGCCUAGUGUUGACCAUGAGCUGAUGUCCCCCUAACUGAAUGGACAUAAAGACAAAUGUCUUGCACCCUUUCUUGUGAGAAUUGACAAGGUAGUAAAUCCAUUGAAGAGAAAAAAGAAUCUUACCCAUCAUGUGAUGCAAAGCUAAUUCCUAAACCUGGCUUAAAGGCCAAGCCUUGAACAUGCAAAAUGAAGAAUAUUAACACAACUAUAAAUCAUAAAUACUGCACAUGGUAGAGCUGACAAAUUUGAAAAGUAAACGGUCAAUAAAAUUGUUCAUGGCUAUCAUAGCCAUCGAUGCUAAUAGGCCUUCACACAUGCAAGACCACAAAGAAAGAUGUAAUCUUAGCAAGCAUUGCUUCAUUAUUCCAGUUGACCCCGCUCAAGCCUAAGCAUUAGCACACCUCAACCACAAAAUUCUCCUCGCCCAACCAAAAUUUUCUAUUGCUGAAACAGUGUCUUUUCCUCCACCAUAAUAAGUACUAUCUAAGAAGGUCCAGUAAAAGAUUGAUAUUUUAUUUUUCACAUAUCAGUAAUGACAGUCUAUUUCCAACUUAUGAAUUAUUAUAUAACUAUCAUGCUCCAUGCACUUGAAUAGAUCUCAAUUUCUGUUGAGGUAAAUUAUCCCUCAGCCUCAUUGCUUGUUUUUUCAAAAUUUGGUCUCUUUAUUUACCUAGUAUCACCUAUAUUUCUAGGUACGAUUAUCAAGCCAAAAAACCAAAAGUUUGACAAAAAAUUAAGCAGUAACCAAAAAAUAAGAAGCGGUUUAAAUGAUCUAGUAGAGAGAUUCAUAUUGAGAUAAAGCGAGGAAAGGAGAGCACAAGCGCAUGAUGCAUGUCCAUUGAGCAGAAAACAAGAUGAAAAAGAAAACAAGUACUAAGCUAAAGAACACGAAUGUUCAUAUAUUCAAUAGGAGCUGGGAGGAUGAACAAAAAGAAGGUCAAGAUUAACCUGUAUGCCCCACAUAAGUAUGUACACAGCUCCUCCUUUUCCACAGCUUUAAGGUUAUGUCACUUGAACCUGAGUAUCAUAGCAAACAUUAUUUAUCAACCGCUCGCAUUGUAUUUAGGGGAAGAAAUUCUAUUAUCAGACAUUUAGUAUUUUGACAUUGCAGAGAGUGAAAAUAAAUUGGCCCAAAGAUGCAAGAGCUAAAAAUUGGUACUUCUAGAAAAUUCUAAUAACAUAAAUAUGAUAUCUGCGCCUGUAACAAGCUCCGCUUGGAUUAUUUCAUUAUGUGCUUCCCAAACCUCAACCUGUUGGACUUUCCUCCAUCUUCUUAAUGUGCUGAGAUGAUGAAAGUAGUAUAUCAAAUAUCAUACUCAAUGCCAAAUAGGUCCUAGCCUUCCAAAGAAAAUAUUCUCAUCUUCCAGUCAGUUUAAACAAGAGUCUUUUUUACUGAAGAGAAGGAGAAAAAAAUUAUAAUCGUCGAGUAAGGGGAAAAAGAAACAAAAUGAAGAAUUAAAGGACUACACAGAUGACUAUCAACAAACCAAACAGCAAAAAACUCACAAAAUUAGAAAAAAGAAAUAAAUCUUGAACCCUAGCAUAAAAACAUAACAAACACACAAAAACACACAUGUUAAAUAUAAAAUCACAUCAAAUUAACAUAAAUUUAAACAAACAUUGAAUUGUCUCCCAACAAGUGUUUCUUUAUAGUCAUUAGCUUGACUAUUUAACCUUAUUUUUCAAAGAGGUUUUGUUAAUGAAUAAUCCACCAUUUUAAAUCGUGGUACAUCAAUAAAUGAUGGCUCGAUAGCAAAAGUCACAUUUUCUAAUGAUACGAGAGAGGGAAGAGACUUACCUAUCUCAAGUAUUUCAUAGAUAUUACUUUGAAUAUGUAUCAUUGGAGAACUCUGCAAAGGAAAUGCUACGGGAAUUUCUUAAUAAUAUUUUAAAACCUAUACUCUCAAUACGUUCUUCAAAAGGGGUGAAAAAUGAGUCGUUAAUACUCAUCUCAUGAGAUUCAAAGUUAGUGUUAAAGGUAUUAUAAUGUGAAAUAGACAUUUUUUCAUUAAAACACAUAUUAGAUGUACCGUUUUCAUCAAAAUGCAAUCUAUUUUAACAUACAACAUUUUCACCAUUCAUGCUAGGUUCAAUUUGCAUAUGAUUAGAAGAAAUAAUUUCAUACAAAACAUGUAAUUGAUCUUGUAUUCUACCAAAAUGAGAAAUUAAUUCAUCUAACCCUUCUUCAACCCUAUCAAAAUGGUUAGAAGUCGCAUUAUGUGCUUCCCAAACCUCAACCUAUUGGCCUUUCCUCCAUCUUCUUAGUUUCAACCGCUCUCAUAACCUUGAAAGAUUCCUGCAAAUUUUGAGAUAUGAUUAUUUUCAAAAGAAGUAGCUGAAAAUUGUUUGCUUUAUGGGUUUUACACUAUUAAAAGGAGAAGACUAAAGAAAAGGAGAAAAAGAUGAGACAAAUAGAAAGGCUUUCAAAAUCUUCUAAUAGAGCAACAAGAGAAGGAACAGGAGCAGUAGAGGGAUAGGAAUAGGGAAAGGAAAGGAAAGGGAGAGAAAGUGUGAGGAAGAGCAAUGGGAGAUGAGAGGAGAUGACUUAGAGUUCGAAGGACUCUAUUAAGUUAAACCCAUGCCAUGCACUAAACAAAGGAGAAGGAAGGUCACGUGAUGAAUGGAAAUCACAUGUUCGAUGCCGAAAAAGCAUAACAUCCUUCGCUCUUUUACUACUUAUGUAGAAAAUAUAUAUAAAGUCCUGGUGAUGGAAUAAUUAGGACACUUCAAGGAGCUAAUUAUUGUGUAGGGUUAAAUAUUACAUUCAAUGACGACGACCUCUGGAAGUUGCAGGACUAAGUGCCACAUUGUCUAGCACACAACUAAGUGAACAGUUUAUUUGAUCUAACUUUAUGAGGAUGUAAAAUUCUUAAGUGGGAGUAGGUGCGAGACUGUCGAUUAUCUAUCCCACAUACAGCAUUUGGAAAGUAUGGCCCUGUUUUGAUUGAAGAGAUUUUGAAAUACUUGUUUAUCAUAUACAAAUCUAUAGUAACACACUCCAAAAAUAACUCUAAAAAUAUUCAAUCUUAAAUACAACUUACAAAAAUAUUUUUUAAAAUCAUACCAUAUUUUUUUCUUCUACACACCACCACCACCCAUCUCUCCUUUUCUCCAAUUUCUUUCCCCCUAUUUGCCCCUCCUUCAUUCUUCUUCGUUCCCUUUCCUUCUCUUUCCUCCCUUCCUUUUCUCUCCUCCAUUCCUUUCCCUUCUAGCAGGCCCUCCUCACCCUUCCAUGGCAACUCUAGUCACGACUAGAUCUCUGAUGACAAUCGAAGUUGCCAUAGAAAGGAGAUGGGAGCCGACUAGAGGAGGAAGAGAAAGAAGGGAAGAGGAGGAGGAAUGAGGAAGGAAAAAGGGAAGGGAAAGGGAGGUAGAGGAAGAGAGAGAAGAAAGAAGGAUGAAGAAGAGAGGAGAGAGGAGGUAAUGCCGAUGGUAGGUGGUAGUAAUGGAUGAUGGUAGUGUUAUUUUUAUUUUUAAAAAAUAUCCCAAAAGAUUAUAAAUUUUAAAAGCACACCAAACUACAUUCUCAAAAUACCUCCAAAAACAUCUCUAAAAUGAUUUAAUAAUUUUUAAUAAAAGUUUUUCAUAUAUUCCACUAUUAUAAAUUUUUUAAAAAUACCCCACAAAGCACCUAAUCUAUAUGGAGAUAGUGAUUGAUAUGUUAAUUCUGGUCCAUAGGCUACUAAAUAAUUUGGAUUAAUUAUAUUUACCUCCCUUGAGAUUUGUCCAUAUUACUAAAUAAACGUUGUGGUUUGGCCAAAUAACCAAUAGCCCCCUUAUAGUAACUUUUGUUAAUUUAGAUUAACGGAUUUAGUGAAAAGUCCAAAUUGCCACUAAAGAUGUUCUGAAUCUCGGAAUAAACAAAGGAAAAAAAAACUCAAAAAUUUUCUUGCCUACCUCGGGUGGCAACCUCAUACAAAUCUCAACAAAAACGAUGAGAUGUUGCCUAGAUAUACAUCAACCAUGUCUAAAAUUCAUAUGAGGGGAAGUUGGAGAAAUAAAAAAUCUAUGAAUCUAUCAAUUACAAAAUUCAGAUUUAAGGAUACCACGGGAUCUAUAUUCAAAUUCCAACUUUGAUAUAAUGAUCUGUUGUCCAGUGAUUCUAACUCUGGAUUUCAGAUUUGGGAAGAAAGGAAAAAAAAUGCAAUCUUCAUUGUCAAGAACUCAUGGAACAACAAGAACAUGCUAUCUAUCUUGAUACUUGUAGUAUUAGUGGAAUUAUUAGAAAUCUCAUUUGAAGAAACAAAACAUCACUCGAUUUCUCCAAACUCACGAAAUCUCAUGAAAAUUAUUAUUUCACAAAACCCAUCUCCCUAAACCCAAGGAUCACUUUUUUGUGGCAUUUCAUCGAGCAGAGAGAAGAUGAGGACAGUUGUAGUAGCAUUUUAGAAGUAGUAUUGGUAGGUAUUCUGAACACCACCAUCAUAUUUUUUGGUCUCUAAUCUGAUUUUCAUUUUCACCCAAUUCACGGCUUGUUGAAUCCUUUAUAAAAAGCUAGCAAAUGGCCUUUCUUUUUUUUUCCCCCUACUAUCUUGACCUACCUUGCAAGAUUUAAGAAGGGAUAAAAAUAUAGGAUUGGAGUUUAGAAUUUUUAAUAGAUGUUGAUAAAGGUGGGUGAUAGAGGUCAUAGGAUUGCGGGGUAGGCUUUGAUGAGGUUUGAUCGUGAGGAAGAAUAGAAUAAGUGUUUUUAUGGGGGUAAAAAGAAAGGUGGGGAAGAACAUUGAUAUGUUCUUGGGAAGAGAAUGGCAUUUUGGGGCUCAAAACUUUUCCUUUCUUCGUGUCACUAUAAUAACUAACGAUUGAUAAUGGCAAGGGGCUUAUUGAUAAACAUUUAGAUGGUCAAGGGGGUUGAAUGUUAUUUGACCAAUGCAUAAGGUUUGUUUGGUAUUAUGGACAAACUUCAAGGGAGGUAAAUAUAAUUAACCUAAAUAAUUUUUGAUUAACUAUUUUAACCCCAUGGUUUCACUUCAAAAAGUUAUUGGGCCAAGCCAAUGGAUUCGAGACGUCAUAUUAGAAAUCAUUCUUGAUUAUGUGUUUAUAUUUGUUAAUUCAAACACAAUUUUAGUAAGUUAAAACUAAAAUUCAAUAUUAAGUAGUGAGAAAAUUCAUAAUUUAGAUUCAUAUUCUAUACAUUACCUUUGAAUCCCAAUUUCCAAUUUUUUUUAAAAAUAUUUUAUGAGAGUUAAAUUUCUUUUGAAAGAAAUUUAUAUGCUUAUGUGAUUUUCAUCUAGUGGUUUGACUAAUGGUAUUCAUUUUUCUCUUUUAUGUCAAAUGUAAAAAAGACACGCGAUUUUCAUGCUUUGAAUGAAAAGCAUAGUCAUAAGUCAUAUCAUGGUUUUUGAGAAUUUUGAUACCUCAAUUGAUACUCCCUCCGUCCCAUUGAAAGUGUCAUGCUUUCCUUUUUGGGCUGUCCUAAAAUAUUUGUCACUUGCUAAAUAUAGUAAAGACUUUUCAUUCAAUUUCAUUCUUUUACCCUUUUGGUCCCCACAAUAAUCAAGUGAAGUGUGCCAUUUGAACCCACUUGUUCAGUAUUCACGUGCUUCAAAAGUUCAUAUGAAUAUAUGCGUGGAGUGAAAAACCAUAAGGAACUUGGUUGAAACUUCAGCGUGCAAAGCACGCACAAGACAUAUGCAAACAAAACAAAAGUUCUGGUCCUACCUCCAGUAGUUCUUUAGGCUUUUAAUUUGAAUUAGCAUCAAUACCGAAUUCCCAGUGCAUUUACAUGAAGAGCUUGGGCGAGGGACAAAAUGGUAAGCAACUCACCUGUGUUGGAACUAUUCAUAAAAAACACAGUUUUCUAAGUGCGACGAAAUUUUUGGGACGGAGGGAGUAUAUAAUUAGCUUAUUUUGAGUAUAAUUGAUGCUUUUUUUUAUAUAGAUUUUCUAGGUAUCAAAAGAGUGCUACAAAUCUUGUGAAGUUUAAGUGUCGCAAGGUUGAUAUGGCAAAUUACCCAAAUUGGUUUCUUAUAUUCAAGACUUCCUUAUGAUUUUUGUUGAAUUUUGACGCUAAAUCUUGAUUCAAUAUAAAAAUUAGGGUUGAUGUUGUGUCCAAAUUUAAUGAGAGCUAUCAAUUGUUUGCCCAUUAUCAACGGUGGCUAUUGACAAGUCUCUAUUGAUGCAACAACACAGAAAGUGGGAUUUGGAACUUCUAUAGACACCAAUAUCAGCUGCACCAAACAAGUAUAGACUAAUAUAACUAUGUAUAUACUAAUGCAACAAGUUUAUACAUUAAAACAAAAAGGUGAAAUAACAACAAAAUUCCUCACAUAAUUUCCUUAAAUUCUUUUUACUUGUGAAUACUUUGAUUGAAGACGUGUAGAAAAACGAUAAAUUAAAUUUCAUGUUGAUUAUAUAGAGAAGAUUAAGCUCUUGUAUUUCACCAAAAUUUAAAUUUAAAACUAAUAGCAUCUAUUUACUCUGGCAUAUUAUACAUAGUUGGAUUUUAGGAUGAUGACAAAGUACCUACAUACACCAUCAAAUCCGCUGAAGAUCCCCGUACAUUGACCAAGACAUUACUUUUGUUAGCAAAUUUUGCAUUGGUGAAAUGUGUAGUUAUUAUAAAUGCAUUUUAUGAACUACAGUGCUAGCCAAGUUAUUAGAUAUAUCAUCUAGAAAUAUUUCUUGUCUUUAUCAAAAUUUUCUCUGCACUAAUCAACUGACCGUUGGUUGUAUCAAAUAUGUGGUCACUAAAGAGCAACAAUCACGUAAAACAACCAUGAUUUUAGCAUUAGGGAAACACUAGAUUUAUCUUCGACCUCAAUAGAAUGUUCUUAACAACCAUGAUUUUGGGAUUAGGGAAACACUAAAUAUAUCUUUGACUUGAAUAGAAAGUUUUUACUCUACAAGAAAAGUGUUAGGAAGAAAAACUCGAGAGAACUUACUGAAGAGGUUCAGUAUGUAAAUCAGGAAUCAAACGUUGAAUGAAAAGUGACGGGCUUUUUGCAUACGUACAAGUUUAAUUCCGAUUUUACACCCGUUGGACUGCAAGUAUACAGGUCGCAAUUGUAGUACAAGAUGUGUAUCGGGUCGAUCCCACGAGGAGCAAUUCAAACAAUUACUAAGCCCUUAUUUUCUCUAUUAUUUAGACUAACAAUUAAUUUGAGCAGAGAAAAUCUAAUGCUGUAAUCUACAAAUCUGGUAUAUAAAUCUAGUUUAACAAAUGCUGAAUGCAAAUAGAGAAAUUUCACUUAAGGAAGAUUCUAGGGAUGUAGAUUCCACUUAUGGCAUAAACAACACAAAUGAAUGGAUUUACUUCUUGCUAUUAUUCUUGCUUAACCAGAGAUUCAUUUCCAAAGUUUCCAAGUCUCAUUUUCAUGAUGAAAUGGCCUAAAGCAGUAUAGAUUUCCCUAUUUUCAUGGUGAAAUACUACUACUACUCUGUUUUAUUUCAUGAAAUGCUAAGUAAUCCACCUAAGUGUAUCUCUAUUUUCAUGAACAUACAACUCAAGCUUUACUCAUGUGUUUCCAUUGUUAUUACCAAUUCUCAUUGAACAAUAACAACUAUAACCAAACUAUUGGUGAUCAAUCAAUAGCAAGUAAUCACAGCUACACAAGUAGACAAGUUAAUACAAGAUAUAACAAGUGUAAAUCACAUUCAAUUUAUACUAUUUAGCCAUAAGUUUCAUCCACUCCCUAGAUGAAGGAAUUUAGCUACUCAUGAAUGAUUUAACAAUCAAACUCACAAGUUUAUUAAUGCAAAACCUCAUAAAGUACAAGUAUAAGAAAGAUAAAAGAAAGCUUAGCCAAUUGAAGGUGAAGCUCUCCAAUUCUUGCUAUGUUCUUGCACAAUAUGAUUAUAUGUGAAACUCUCCAAGUACUUCUCCAAGAACUCCUAUCUAGAGAGAAAACUAGAUACAAGAAAGAAAACUAGCUACGUAUGGUCAUUUCCCUGCUUCUCCUCAGUGUUUCUGCAUAAAAGGUGGAAGAAAUUCCAUUCCUCUCACUUCAUAAUUUCCUCCACUCAGAUUUUGUAAAAAGAAGUCAAAGAUAUGAUAUUUCCUUUUGUCCAUACUCAUUUGGUCUUCUCUUUUGUUGCAGAAGCAUGUGCCACCGAUUUCUGUCCCUCAAAAUAGCUGGAAAGUUGUGAAAAAGGUAAAGAAAAACGGCUGUUGCACUUGCUGAGGAGAGAGACAGAUCCGAGCCUCGGAUCCGAGGAGUGAAAAUGGAUCCGAGCACGGAUCUUCAGGAUCCGAGGGAUUUCAUAAUGGAUCCGAGGUCGGAUCGUCCUGACCUCGGAUACUCUCCGCCAGAAGUACAGACGAGGGUUCGGAUCCAUCUUGUGCACACGGAUCCGAGCUCGGAUUAUAGGAUCCGAGGUCUGCACAAGAUGGAUCCGAGGUCGGAUCGUCCUGACCUCGGAUACACUCCGCCAGAAGUACAGACGAGGGGUCGGAUCUCUCUUAUACACACGGAUCCGAGCUCGGAUCCGUGUUGAGCAAUUUUUCAGUUUUUCACUUCUUCUCUUUUUCUUCAUUUUUGCUCCCAAUUUCUUGUGUACUUUGUCCUCUGGAUGACCCUGACAUUUCUUUCAACUUGUGCAUGAAUUUCAUACAUCAAUUACCUUCACAAUUUCACAAAAUUAACGCAUUAAUCCACUCAUUUAUCAAUUUCUGAACCCUUAAACAAUAUUUAAGCAAUUAUCACCAAAAGAGUUCAAAUAUGGCUUUAAUCUUCUCAAAACAUACCAAAAAUUCAUGUCAAAUUCGUACAAAAUGUACGUUAAAUAUUCACUUAUCAAAUUCCCCCAUACUUGAAUCAUUGCUUGUCGUCAAGCAAUUUUACACAAAACUUACUUCAAAUUUUCAAUAGAGAUAGAGAAAACAAUAUGCGUACUCUUGUCAAAUUUAAUUCCUCAAAAACCUAGAAACCAAUUAUUAUGCCAUUUCUCAGAUUACACUAAAUACUCAUAAUAUUCAUUUAAAUAAAAAUAAUUAUGCCUUAAAUUAUAACAAAUUCAAAUCAAUCUCUCAUUCUAUCCUAAUUCCACAAAUAAGUAAAUCACAUAGUCAAUUUUAUGGCCUUCCUCAUCCCAAAACUUAACAAUUUAGAGGGAUUUAUUCGCAUUUCAUUUUAUUUAAAUAGUGAAAAUGUCUUUUUACGCGAAAAUCAACAUUUUUAGGUGAAAAUUCCCGGUUACUCAACAUUUCACUUAUUCAAAUUGCUAAGCAUACUCUUAAUUCCAAUACCUUUUUACGCGAAUGCCGACAUUUGUAAAUGCCAACCCCCGGUUACUCAGUAUAUGAAUCAUUGGAGUAGAAAAAUAAUAAUAUUAAAUUUUUUUUUUAACAAGUGUUUCUUUUUCCCUCUAAGUAUAAUUAAAGGAAGAAUUUGGCCUUGUUUUUGACUAUAUCAAUCACUUACUUAUAAAAUUAAGUAAAAAUGAUAAAUCUCAUUAAUUUUUGCAAAAUUCUAAGCAUAAUUUUUCUUAUUUAACCAAAUAUACUUUCUAAAAUGUAAAUAUCCUAAUUGCAUAAUAAUUCAUUCCAGGCCAAAUAAGAACUAAACUUUUCCAAAAUACACAUAGCAUUUUAUCCAAUGGAAGAAUUAGACACUUAAAAUGUUAACAUUUUGGCCAUAAACAACUAAAAUCAUGCAUUUCAACACACAAUCACCCAUAAGAUAAGUAAUGCCUCCCCCACAUUUAAAAUCUACAAUGUCCUCAUUGUAGAGGAAGGUAAAAGAACUGAAACUUCCCUCAAAAUAGGUGGUGAUGCCGUUUGAAUCUUUUAAUCAUCACGCUCAUCCAUUUUCUGUCCAAAUACCAUAAGUAGCACAAAAUGAUUUAAAUUAAAGAAAAAUAAAAGCUACAAAGUUUGUCUUAACAAAAUAAAAGAAAAAUAAAGAAAUAAAAGGUCGAAUGCGCUAAAAAGCAUCAUGGCUGCUGGGAACGAGGGUCUACUGCCUCCUCGGCUCCAUGAGGACCCUGUGAGGUACCAAUAUGGCCCUCCUCCUGAUGAGGUGUCGGUGUAGGGGACCGUCGAAUAUGAAAAUGAUCCUCGAUCGCACGAAGACGGCGAUCAUGUCGGUCGAGUCGCUCAGUCAUCAUCCGUUCCGUCUGGUCAAUGCGCUCGACAACUCGCGUCUCCAUACAGCAAAUAGCAUUGAGAAGCUCUUGCCACUUGGAGCGCGAUUGAGGAGGUGGUCGUGGAACCGGAGGAGGAAGAGUCUGCUGUGCCUCCGUCUCUUGAGUUUCCGCUUGUGGUUCAGUGUGAGGCGGAGGCUGAGUGGAAGUCGAUGCUUCUCCUGUGUCCCGGACCAAAGUAGCUCCAAAAUCAGUAGAAAUACCCAAGGAUUUGAGUAACGAAUCAUUUACCUUCUCGGCCGACCUAGUUACCACAGCUCUCUCGGUUCCAAUGGGAAUUUUGAGCUUCUCAAAGAUGAGGGAUAGCAGCCGAGGAAAUCCAAAACAAGUCUCGCCGGCCCUCAUACGAGCUGUGAUUCGCAUAUAGCUGAUGAUAAUGCUGGGUAGAGGAAUACCUGUCAACUGCCUACCCACUCCAUGUAUCAUUUUAUCCAGAAAAUAGAGAUCGCUAUUUCGGAUCUCCCGUUUACCACUCUUUUUCGGCACCACAUUGAAGGCAAAAAGGUAGAAGAUCAGGUGGUACCGAUGCUCGAAGGAGUCGGCAUAUACCGUGAGUUUUUUCGAACUUUCUCGCUCACGGUAUUGACCAUUUAGACGGCCCACGGCUUCUCCCACUGGCCAAGGGUCUCGAGCUUUGAAUUCCUUGGUCAGUUUGACAUCUUCGCCUUCGUCUUUGAGUUGGACGAAGUGUCUCAAUGUAUCUCGAUUGAGAGUCACUCUUUUAUCUCGAACCCACGAGACGAUGAGAUUUCCACUGUGGCUCUGCUUGUUCUCCACAUUGGCAUAAAACUCCCUGACCAGGUUGGGGUAGUAGUGCUUGGGCAACUGAAGGAUGUUCUCCCAUCCAAGCCUCUUGAAUGCUGUCGAAAUAUGGUAGUGCGCAUCCACCUCUGGAGCCAAGUGUUUCUCAAUGAUGAUCUCUUUGGCCAGGCCGGCUUCAUACCACUCUUGGUUUUCGAGCGAUGUGAAUCGUGUGGUAUCGUAAUCUGGCGGUGGCUCAUCACGGCUAGUGGAUGCAGUUUUCCGGCGAGAUCGAGGUGGUGAUUCAGGCGAAGGAGAUUCUUCCUCAGGCGACUCCUCAUGCACAGAAGGUGUGUGUUCCUCACUUGAGGAAGGAGUAGGAGUACGAAUGAUAGCCCUCCUUGUGCGAGCCAUGAUAUCUACACACAAUCAGGAUGAAUAUGCAUUCAAAACAUUUUAAUCUUGCUCGCAACUAAUAAACAAGACUUUAAGAAAAUUUCGGUAGAGUUUCCCCUUGAAAAAGGGCUAAACUUCCUGCCAAAAUGUACCCAAAAUUAAACAAAUAAACUUCCUAACAAUUGUCAAAUCCAAUUCCCACACUCAGAAAGGAUAUUAGCAGUAAAGAAAUCAUUUCAUGCAUAUUAAGUGCAAACAAUUUUAAAUUAUAUCCAUUUGCAAGAAUGAACACUCAAACACUUGAGAAUAUCUCCAAUCCAAUUUAUAACACUCAAUGUACAUACAUAUGAGUUCCAAUUCAUCCAAACAAAUGCUAAUUAUCUUAAGUAAAAAUGGUUCAAUGUGGUCAACUUGAUCAGGGACACACUCUUUUAUCCCAUAGGCUAUUGUUCUAAUGAGAGCAUAUAUUGUUCAAUUGGUAUGUUAGUGACUUAUACCUCUCGAAACAAGUUCAUAUAGUAAAAUUCACAAUUCUAAGUCAAUACAAUACUCAAGCCCAAAAAUUUAGAAAGAAAUGUCAAAAAUUAUCACCAAAUCCACAAUUUUUCUCAAAAAUAAACAUAAAACUAGUUGUAACAAUCUAUUUAAGUGCAAUGUAGCAUAAUUGUAUCAAGAAGUUCUAACAAAUACAAAUUUAUCACAAUAUACCCAAGAAAUAGAAAAAUGCAAAAUUAGAGAUUAUGUAAACUCAAAGAAAAUUGUAAAUUGUUACCUCAAAUGUGUAGAGUGAUGAUGGAGGAUGAUAAUGAUGCAAAAAUGGAAGACAAACAAGCCCAAAUUUGACCUCAAAUUGCAAGAUUUCAGUUUGGCCCUAUUUCACGUUUUGAAGAUCAAAACCCCUCAAUUUGGUGUUUUUGAUUCCAAAUUGUUGAGGGUUAAUGCUCACAAGAGUAUUUGGGAUGUUUUUGUUGAGAAAGAUCAAAGGAUUAAUGGGCCAAAUGGAAGAUUGAUGAAGGUGGGUUAGGGUUCGGUGAGAGAGAAAGAGAAAGGAGCUGGAAAAUGAGGAACCGAGGCCUCGUUUCCUUUCUUAUCGCGAACGGAUCCGAGGUCGGAUCUGUUCUGGAAGGCCUCGGAUCCGUCAAGGCUCGGAUCAGCCCCAACAGAAACACAGACGAGCCCUCGGAUCUGUCUGGGUUGGAAUGGAUCCGAGCUCGGAUUGAUGGAUCCGCGGUCGGAUCUGUCUGGGCUUUUUAGGAUCCGAGCUCGGAUCCUUGUGUCUCUGCAACAAAUUGCAGAAACUGCAAUUUUUUCAAACUUUUUCUCCCUUUUUCUGCCAAUUCCAAAUUACACAUUGGACAUCCCUUUUCUCAAUUCCAACGUCCCAUGCACAUGUAAUAUACUAUAAACAUAAUAUCCAACCUCUCAAAACACAACAAACACAUCUACAUUGAAAAUCGAGGGGUGAGGUUCUUUAAUCAUUUUUGCAUUUUUACACUAAAAUGGCAUUUUUGAGCAUUAAAUGUAUAUCAAAUGAGUCCAUGAGCCUUUAUAACCAUGAUAUCACCAAAACUCACUUAAAUAUACUUGAAAUGCACAAUGUAUGUAUAUGCAUGGGAAUUUUGAGCACUUAAAACACAAUUUGGUAAGAAAAACUCCCUUUUACACAUAUUCUUCAAGUGCACCUCCGAGAUGGAUGAUAAAACUCCCGUACCUCCUACAAACAAGUGAAAUACAUCUAAUUAGUCAAUUAAAUCACACCAAAAUGUAAGAAACACCUAAAAACACACAAAUACACUAUUAUUAUUGGGUUGUCUCCCAACAAGCGCUUUUGUUUAUAGUCGUUGGCUCGACAAUCCUAUAACUUCUUUAAUUCUCCUUUGCAUUUCCUAAGGAGUAAAUUACCCCUUUAGGAACUUUUUCUCCUGCCAAAUAGAGCUUCAAUCUUUGACCAUUUACUUUGAAUGGAGCACCAUUUUCUCCUUUUAUUUCCACUGCUCCAUAAGGAAACAUGCGAACUACUUCAAAUGGACCGGACCAUCGAGACUUAAGUUUUCCAGGAAAUAAUUUAAGCCUUGAGUUAAACAUCAAAACCUUUUGCCCUUCUUCAAAAUGCUUAGGGAGGAUAUGUUUAUCAUGCCAAAAUUUCACUUUUUCUUUGUAAAUCUUGACAUUCUCAUACGAAGUCAACCUCAAUUCCUCCAAUUCGCUUAACUCAAGCAUUCUCUUUUCACCUGCAGAUUUAAAAUCAAAGUUAAUUGCUUUAACAGCCCAAUAAGCUCUAUGUUCUAUUUCCACAGGUAAAUGACAUGCUUUCCCAUAAACAAGCUUAUAUGGAGACAUUCCCAACGGCGUUUUAAAUGCCGUUCUAUAUGCCCAUAAAGCAUCUUCAAGCUUGUUUGACCAAUCCUUUCUUGAUCGGUUUACUGUUUUUUCCAAAAUGAUUUUAAUUUCCCGGUUGGCCAACUCCGCUUGUCCAUUAGCUUGAGGAUGAUAGGGGAGUGACUUUUUAUGCCUGCACCCAUAUUUAAACAACAAAGUGUCAAUAGCUUUAUUACAAAAAUGCUUACCUUCGUCGUUUAUUAUUGCCUUUGGGACUCCAAACCUACAAAAUAUGUUCCGUUUCAGGAACUUAAGCACAACUUUAGCCUCAUUAGUUUGUGAAGGAAUGGCCUCCACCCAUUUAGAGACAUAAUCAACUGCUAAAAGGAUGUACUUGUUAUUAUAUGAGCUAGGAAAUGGUCCCAUAAAAUCAAUGCCCCAAACAUCAAAUAACUCAACUUCCAAAUAUGUAGUCAAAGGCAUUUCAUUCCUUCUUGAGAUAUUACCGGUUCUUUGGCAUUGAUCACAACUUUUCACCCAAUUUCUAGUAUCUUGGUGCAUAGUAGGCCAAUAAAAUCCAGAUUGCCAUAUCUUUGCUACAGUCUUAGUAGUACUAAAAUGACCUCCCGUUUCAAGAGUAUGACAAUGCAUUAAAAUGCUAUGUACCUCCUCCUCCGGAACACAUCUUCUAAUUAUUCCAUCUGCACAAUGUUUGUAAAAGAAUGGUUCCUCCCAAAAGUAAUGUUUAGCAUCAUUUAAGAAUUUUUUUCUUUGAUGAGAAUUCAAAUCAUUUGGUAUCACUCCACUAGCUAUAAAGUUAACUAGAUCAGCAUACCAUGGUGACUUAUAAAUUGCCAUUAAAAACUCAUCUGGAAAUUCUUCUUUAAUGGACCAAUGGUCAUCUUGCUGCAUGUUCUCCAGUCUAGAAAGAUGAUCUGCAACUAAAUUCUCGGAUCCUUUUUUAUCUUUGAUCUCCAAGUCAAAUUCCUGCAACAAUAAAAUCCAUCGAAUUAAUCGCGGUUUUGCAUCUUUUUUAUUUAACAAAUACUUGAGUGCUGCAUGAUCAGUAUAAACGAUAACUUUAGAUCCUACUAAGUACGAUCUAAAUUUAUCCAAUGCAAAAAUCACUGCUAGCAACUCCUUUUCUGUUGUUGCAUAGUUAACUUGAGUUUCAUUUAACAUUUUACUUGCAUAAUAAAUGACAUGAAGUCGCUUAUUAUGUUUUUGCCCAAGAACAGCCCCAACUGCAAAAUCACUUGCGUCACACAUUAAUUCGAAUGGCAAGCUCCAAUCCGGUGAUGCUAUGAUAGGUGCGGAGACAAGUUGCUUCUUUAACCUAUUAAAAGCAAGUAAACACUCAUCAGUAAAUUGAAAAGGAACAUCUUUUGCAAGUAAUUCACAUAAAGGUUUAGCAAUCUUGAAAAAAUCCUUAAUAAAUCGCCGAUAGAAUCCCACAUGUCCAAGAAAGCUACGAAUGCCUUUCACAUUGGUUGGUGGAGGCAUUCUCUCAAUAAUCUCUAUUUUGGCUUGAUCAACCUCAAUACCUUCUGAGAAAAUUUUGUGGCCUAACACAAUACCUUCACAAACCAUGAAGUGACAUUUUUUCCAAUUGAGUACAAGGUUUGUUUCUUCACAUCUCUGCAAAAUUAGAUCUAAAUUGUUAAGACAAUCAUCAUAAGUAGAUCCAAAUACAGAAAAAUCAUCCAUGAAGAUUUCCAUAAUUUUCUCAUUAAAAUCAGAAAAAAUUGCCAUCAUGCAUCGUUGGAAAGUGGCCGGUGCAUUGCACAAUCCAAAAGGCAUCCUUCGAAAUGCAAAAGUACCGUAAGGACAAGUGAAUGUAGUUUUCUCUUGAUCUUCUGGUGCAAUGACUAUUUGAUUGUAUCCUGAAAAACCAUCCAAGAAACAAUAAAAUUCAUAUCCGGCCAAUCUUUCUACCAUUUGAUCAAGAAAAGGAAGAGGGAAAUGAUCCUUCCUAGUAGCUGCAUUCAAUUUUCUGUAAUCAAUACAAACUCGCCAACCAACCACAACUCUAGAGGGAAUCAUUUCAUCAUUUUUACCAUGUACUAUGGUUAUCCCCCCUUUCUUUGGUACUACAUGGAUAGGCGAAAUCCACACACUGUCAGAAAUUGGAAAAAUUAUACCUGCAUCCAACCAUUUAAGGAUUUCUACUCUUACCACUUCUUUCAUGUUUGGAUUUAACCUUCUUUGAGUCUCAACCACUGGUUUAGAAUUUUCUUCCAAUAAAAUCCUGUGCAUACAAAUAGUUUGACUAAUUCCUUUGAUAUCAGAAAUUGUCCAUCCUAUAGCCUUUAAAUGCUUCCUUAAAACACGUAAGAGCUUGUCUAAUUGUUCCUCAUUUAAUGCUGAAUUUACAAUCACAGGCAAUGUCUCUUUUUCUCCAAGAAACGCAUAUUUGAGGUGCUUAGGCAGCGGCUUUAGCUCAAGCUGCGGUGCUUGCUCACAUGAUGGUGGAGGUAGCCCUUUGCUCAGUCCUAACGCCUCGUAUGCAUUUCUCCUUUUAUAAGUAAUUUGUGCCUGCAAAAAUUCAGUCAUUUCUUCAAUCUGUUCCUCUUGUAUACCUAUACCAUUAAGACAAAGUUCAAGAGAAUCAUUAGCAAGAUUUACUUGACUCAUUUCUAAUGCCAAUUCAUCACAUAUGUCAACCGAAUAAACAUGGUCGGUAAAAGAGGGAUAUUUCUCUACUUUACUCAAAUCAAAUUCCACUUCCUCUUCACCGAUUUGAAACUUAAACUUACCUCGUUUGACAUCUAUUAUUGUACCUGCAGUGGCCAGAAAUGGUCUACCAAGUAUAAUAGGUACAUUUACAUCUUCCUCCAUAUCUAAAACAAUAAAAUCGACAGGAAUAAUAAAUUUCUGCACUUUAAUGAGCACAUUUUCCAAUAUGCCCAUUGGAUGUCUAAUAGACCUGUCAGCCAAUUGCAAGGAAAUGUUAGUACGCUUCAACUCUUUCAACCCCAAUUGCCUAGCCACAGUUAAAGGGAUCAAUGACACACUUGCACCAAGGUCACAAAGUGCUUUAGAAAAUUCUACAUUACCGAUAGUGCAAGGAACUGUAAAACUCCCUGGAUCUUUCAAUUUGGGUGGCAAUUUGUUUUGUAUGAUUGCACUACAUUCUUCUGUUAAUGCAAUUGUCUCACUGUCUACCAACUUCCUUUUCUUGGUCAUUAUCUCCUUGAGAAACUUCGCGUACGAAGGAAUCUGCAAAAUAGCAUCCACAAAAGGAAUGUUAAUAUGUAAUUGUUUAAAAAUGUUGACAAAUUUCUCAAAUUCUUUGUCAUUUCUUGAAGGCUUCAAUCUUUGAGGGAAUGGCACCGGUGGAGAAAUUGGUGUUGGGUCUUCCAUUUGCAGUUCAUUUUCCUCUAUCUUUUCUUUCCCUUUUUCUUCCUUGCUUCCCUCUUUUAACUCACUCAAUUUCUUAUUCUCUCUUUUUUCAAACUCUCUUCCACUUCCAACUACUGGCGGCUCAACUAAUUCCUUACCACUACGGAGGGUUAUGGCCUUCACAUGCUCCCUUGGGUUCACUUCAGUUUUGCUAGGUAAAUCCCCUUGGUUACGAUUAUUAACCGCAUUGGCAAUUUGGCCUAAUUGGACCUCAACAUUCCUGUACAUAUUGGUGAGUUGGUCCAUUCUUCCCUCAAUUCUUUCAAACCGUUGAGUAGUGGCACUAACUAACUUUUCAAUUUUAUCAUUUGAUGCAUUGGCUAGCUUUUCGAUUGCCAAUUUCCAAGCUGGUUUGGACUCAUGCAGUGUUUGCUUUUGUUGAAAACCUGGUGGAUUAAUUGGUCUUUGUUGGUUCCCUUGAUCUUUCCAUCCAAAAUUCGGGUGAUUACGCCAUCCUGGAUUAUAAGUAUUGGAGUAUGGAUUGUUUUGGGGUGGACGGUUGUAAUUGUUGAGAUAUUGAACAUGUUCACUGCUAGAACACAUAAAAUCAUCAUGAUCUCCGCCGCAAAUGGUACAACUUGCAACAACUACUCCUUGAUUAGAACUAGAACCAACUUGCCUAUUAAGCAUCUUAACCACAUUAUCCAUUUUUGCACUUAACAUAUUCAAGGUAUCUACUUCAAGCAUACCUGCGGUUCUCCUUGAAUUACCUCGUUCGUUUGCCCAUUGGUAAUUGUUAGCAGCCAUUUCUUCGAUCAAUUGCUGAGCUUCCUCAGCUGUCUUUCCCAUUAAAGCUCCUCCCGCUGCUGCAUCUACAUGUGUCUUUGUUGGAUAGGUGAAACCAUUGUAAAAUGUUUGGACUACUAGCCAAUCGGGUAGACCAUGAUGAGGGCAUCUUCUUUGCAAUUCCCGAUAACGCUCCCAAGCUUCAUACAAUGUCUCUCCUUCCUGUUGAGAGAAACUUGUUAUAUCCAUUCUCAAUUUAGCAGUUUUUCCAGGUGGAAAGAAUUUAUUAAGAAAAGCCUUAGCUAAUUCAUCCCAAGUAGUAAAAGUAUUGGGAGGAUGAGAUUGUAGCCAAACUUUAGCCUUGUCCCUUAGUGAAAAUGGAAACAAUCGAAGUUUAAUCGCAUCUUCACUAACACCAUUAAACUUAAUUGUAUCACAAAUUUCAAGAAAAAUGUUGACAAGUGAGAAUUUGGAUCCUCAGUAGCAUUACCUCCAUAUUGAGAUUGUUGUACCAUUUGAAUCAGUGAUGGUUUUAUCUCAAAGUUAUUAGCGUUUACCGUUGGUCUUACAAUGCUAGUUUGAGAUCCUUGUGCUCCCGGUAAAGCAAAAUCUCGCAGAAUUCUCCUAUUUGAUUCAUUUUUUGCCAUUUCUUCCUCAAAUUGUAAUUCUACCAAGAUAUCUUCUAUUGGCUGCCAAACCUCUUGUUCCUCUUGAUGUGAUGUAUUCCUCCUUUGUCUGCGUAAUGUUCUUUCAAUUUCCGGAUCGAAAUGUACAUCUCCUCGAUUUGAUCGGUGCAUACACUACAAACAAAAACAAGAGAAAAUUUUUAUACUUUUAAUUCAACAACUUGAAUAAAGAUAAUGCAAUUUAUCUAAAUUAAUAGAGAUGAUGAGGCCCUAAUAUUGCUGCUCCCCGGCAGCGGCGCCAAAAACUUGACGGGCUUUUUGCAUACGUACAAGUUUAAUUCCGAUUUUACACCCGUUGGACUGCAAGUAUACAGGUCGCAAUUGUAGUACAAGAUGUGUAUCGGGUCGAUCCCACGAGGAGCAAUUCAAACAAUUACUAAGCCCUUAUUUUCUCUAUUAUUUAGACUAACAAUUAAUUUGAGCAGAGAAAAUCUAAUGCUGUAAUCUACAAAUCUGGUAUAUAAAUCUAGUUUAACAAAUGCUGAAUGCAAAUAGAGAAAUUUCACUUAAGGAAGAUUCUAGGGAUGUAGAUUCCACUUAUGGCAUAAACAACACAAAUGAAUGGAUUUACUUCUUGCUAUUAUUCUUGCUUAACCAGAGAUUCAUUUCCAAAGUUUCCAAGUCUCAUUUUCAUGAUGAAAUGGCCUAAAGCAGUAUAGAUUUCCCUAUUUUCAUGGUGAAAUACUACUACUACUCUGUUUUAUUUCAUGAAAUGCUAAGUAAUCCACCUAAGUGUAUCUCUAUUUUCAUGAACAUACAACUCAAGCUUUACUCAUGUGUUUCCAUUGUUAUUACCAAUUCUCAUUGAACAAUAACAACUAUAACCAAACUAUUGGUGAUCAAUCAAUAGCAAGUAAUCACAGCUACACAAGUAGACAAGUUAAUACAAGAUAUAACAAGUGUAAAUCACAUUCAAUUUAUACUAUUUAGCCAUAAGUUUCAUCCACUCCCUAGAUGAAGGAAUUUAGCUACUCAUGAAUGAUUUAACAAUCAAACUCACAAGUUUAUUAAUGCAAAACCUCAUAAAGUACAAGUAUAAGAAAGAUAAAAGAAAGCUUAGCCAAUUGAAGGUGAAGCUCUCCAAUUCUUGCUAUGUUCUUGCACAAUAUGAUUAUAUGUGAAACUCUCCAAGUACUUCUCCAAGAACUCCUAUCUAGAGAGAAAACUAGAUACAAGAAAGAAAACUAGCUACGUAUGGUCAUUUCCCUGCUUCUCCUCAGUGUUUCUGCAUAAAAGGUGGAAGAAAUUCCAUUCCUCUCACUUCAUAAUUUCCUCCACUCAGAUUUUGUAAAAAGAAGUCAAAGAUAUGAUAUUUCCUUUUGUCCAUACUCAUUUGGUCUUCUCUUUUGUUGCAGAAGCAUGUGCCACCGAUUUCUGUCCCUCAAAAUAGCUGGAAAGUUGUGAAAAAGGUAAAGAAAAACGGCUGUUGCACUUGCUGAGGAGAGAGACAGAUCCGAGCCUCGGAUCCGAGGAGUGAAAAUGGAUCCGAGCACGGAUCUUCAGGAUCCGAGGGAUUUCAUAAUGGAUCCGAGGUCGGAUCGUCCUGACCUCGGAUACUCUCCGCCAGAAGUACAGACGAGGGUUCGGAUCCAUCUUGUGCACACGGAUCCGAGCUCGGAUUAUAGGAUCCGAGGUCUGCACAAGAUGGAUCCGAGGUCGGAUCGUCCUGACCUCGGAUACACUCCGCCAGAAGUACAGACGAGGGGUCGGAUCUCUCUUAUACACACGGAUCCGAGCUCGGAUCCGUGUUGAGCAAUUUUUCAGUUUUUCACUUCUUCUCUUUUUCUUCAUUUUUGCUCCCAAUUUCUUGUGUACUUUGUCCUCUGGAUGACCCUGACAUUUCUUUCAACUUGUGCAUGAAUUUCAUACAUCAAUUACCUUCACAAUUUCACAAAAUUAACGCAUUAAUCCACUCAUUUAUCAAUUUCUGAACCCUUAAACAAUAUUUAAGCAAUUAUCACCAAAAGAGUUCAAAUAUGGCUUUAAUCUUCUCAAAACAUACCAAAAAUUCAUGUCAAAUUCGUACAAAAUGUACGUUAAAUAUUCACUUAUCAAAUUCCCCCAUACUUGAAUCAUUGCUUGUCGUCAAGCAAUUUUACACAAAACUUACUUCAAAUUUUCAAUAGAGAUAGAGAAAACAAUAUGCGUACUCUUGUCAAAUUUAAUUCCUCAAAAACCUAGAAACCAAUUAUUAUGCCAUUUCUCAGAUUACACUAAAUACUCAUAAUAUUCAUUUAAAUAAAAAUAAUUAUGCCUUAAAUUAUAACAAAUUCAAAUCAAUCUCUCAUUCUAUCCUAAUUCCACAAAUAAGUAAAUCACAUAGUCAAUUUUAUGGCCUUCCUCAUCCCAAAACUUAACAAUUUAGAGGGAUUUAUUCGCAUUUCAUUUUAUUUAAAUAGUGAAAAUGUCUUUUUACGCGAAAAUCAACAUUUUUAGGUGAAAAUUCCCGGUUACUCAACAUUUCACUUAUUCAAAUUGCUAAGCAUACUCUUAAUUCCAAUACCUUUUUACGCGAAUGCCGACAUUUGUAAAUGCCAACCCCCGGUUACUCAGUAUAUGAAUCAUUGGAGUAGAAAAAUAAUAAUAUUAAAUUUUUUUUUUAACAAGUGUUUCUUUUUCCCUCUAAGUAUAAUUAAAGGAAGAAUUUGGCCUUGUUUUUGACUAUAUCAAUCACUUACUUAUAAAAUUAAGUAAAAAUGAUAAAUCUCAUUAAUUUUUGCAAAAUUCUAAGCAUAAUUUUUCUUAUUUAACCAAAUAUACUUUCUAAAAUGUAAAUAUCCUAAUUGCAUAAUAAUUCAUUCCAGGCCAAAUAAGAACUAAACUUUUCCAAAAUACACAUAGCAUUUUAUCCAAUGGAAGAAUUAGACACUUAAAAUGUUAACAUUUUGGCCAUAAACAACUAAAAUCAUGCAUUUCAACACACAAUCACCCAUAAGAUAAGUAAUGCCUCCCCCACAUUUAAAAUCUACAAUGUCCUCAUUGUAGAGGAAGGUAAAAGAACUGAAACUUCCCUCAAAAUAGGUGGUGAUGCCGUUUGAAUCUUUUAAUCAUCACGCUCAUCCAUUUUCUGUCCAAAUACCAUAAGUAGCACAAAAUGAUUUAAAUUAAAGAAAAAUAAAAGCUACAAAGUUUGUCUUAACAAAAUAAAAGAAAAAUAAAGAAAUAAAAGGUCGAAUGCGCUAAAAAGCAUCAUGGCUGCUGGGAACGAGGGUCUACUGCCUCCUCGGCUCCAUGAGGACCCUGUGAGGUACCAAUAUGGCCCUCCUCCUGAUGAGGUGUCGGUGUAGGGGACCGUCGAAUAUGAAAAUGAUCCUCGAUCGCACGAAGACGGCGAUCAUGUCGGUCGAGUCGCUCAGUCAUCAUCCGUUCCGUCUGGUCAAUGCGCUCGACAACUCGCGUCUCCAUACAGCAAAUAGCAUUGAGAAGCUCUUGCCACUUGGAGCGCGAUUGAGGAGGUGGUCGUGGAACCGGAGGAGGAAGAGUCUGCUGUGCCUCCGUCUCUUGAGUUUCCGCUUGUGGUUCAGUGUGAGGCGGAGGCUGAGUGGAAGUCGAUGCUUCUCCUGUGUCCCGGACCAAAGUAGCUCCAAAAUCAGUAGAAAUACCCAAGGAUUUGAGUAACGAAUCAUUUACCUUCUCGGCCGACCUAGUUACCACAGCUCUCUCGGUUCCAAUGGGAAUUUUGAGCUUCUCAAAGAUGAGGGAUAGCAGCCGAGGAAAUCCAAAACAAGUCUCGCCGGCCCUCAUACGAGCUGUGAUUCGCAUAUAGCUGAUGAUAAUGCUGGGUAGAGGAAUACCUGUCAACUGCCUACCCACUCCAUGUAUCAUUUUAUCCAGAAAAUAGAGAUCGCUAUUUCGGAUCUCCCGUUUACCACUCUUUUUCGGCACCACAUUGAAGGCAAAAAGGUAGAAGAUCAGGUGGUACCGAUGCUCGAAGGAGUCGGCAUAUACCGUGAGUUUUUUCGAACUUUCUCGCUCACGGUAUUGACCAUUUAGACGGCCCACGGCUUCUCCCACUGGCCAAGGGUCUCGAGCUUUGAAUUCCUUGGUCAGUUUGACAUCUUCGCCUUCGUCUUUGAGUUGGACGAAGUGUCUCAAUGUAUCUCGAUUGAGAGUCACUCUUUUAUCUCGAACCCACGAGACGAUGAGAUUUCCACUGUGGCUCUGCUUGUUCUCCACAUUGGCAUAAAACUCCCUGACCAGGUUGGGGUAGUAGUGCUUGGGCAACUGAAGGAUGUUCUCCCAUCCAAGCCUCUUGAAUGCUGUCGAAAUAUGGUAGUGCGCAUCCACCUCUGGAGCCAAGUGUUUCUCAAUGAUGAUCUCUUUGGCCAGGCCGGCUUCAUACCACUCUUGGUUUUCGAGCGAUGUGAAUCGUGUGGUAUCGUAAUCUGGCGGUGGCUCAUCACGGCUAGUGGAUGCAGUUUUCCGGCGAGAUCGAGGUGGUGAUUCAGGCGAAGGAGAUUCUUCCUCAGGCGACUCCUCAUGCACAGAAGGUGUGUGUUCCUCACUUGAGGAAGGAGUAGGAGUACGAAUGAUAGCCCUCCUUGUGCGAGCCAUGAUAUCUACACACAAUCAGGAUGAAUAUGCAUUCAAAACAUUUUAAUCUUGCUCGCAACUAAUAAACAAGACUUUAAGAAAAUUUCGGUAGAGUUUCCCCUUGAAAAAGGGCUAAACUUCCUGCCAAAAUGUACCCAAAAUUAAACAAAUAAACUUCCUAACAAUUGUCAAAUCCAAUUCCCACACUCAGAAAGGAUAUUAGCAGUAAAGAAAUCAUUUCAUGCAUAUUAAGUGCAAACAAUUUUAAAUUAUAUCCAUUUGCAAGAAUGAACACUCAAACACUUGAGAAUAUCUCCAAUCCAAUUUAUAACACUCAAUGUACAUACAUAUGAGUUCCAAUUCAUCCAAACAAAUGCUAAUUAUCUUAAGUAAAAAUGGUUCAAUGUGGUCAACUUGAUCAGGGACACACUCUUUUAUCCCAUAGGCUAUUGUUCUAAUGAGAGCAUAUAUUGUUCAAUUGGUAUGUUAGUGACUUAUACCUCUCGAAACAAGUUCAUAUAGUAAAAUUCACAAUUCUAAGUCAAUACAAUACUCAAGCCCAAAAAUUUAGAAAGAAAUGUCAAAAAUUAUCACCAAAUCCACAAUUUUUCUCAAAAAUAAACAUAAAACUAGUUGUAACAAUCUAUUUAAGUGCAAUGUAGCAUAAUUGUAUCAAGAAGUUCUAACAAAUACAAAUUUAUCACAAUAUACCCAAGAAAUAGAAAAAUGCAAAAUUAGAGAUUAUGUAAACUCAAAGAAAAUUGUAAAUUGUUACCUCAAAUGUGUAGAGUGAUGAUGGAGGAUGAUAAUGAUGCAAAAAUGGAAGACAAACAAGCCCAAAUUUGACCUCAAAUUGCAAGAUUUCAGUUUGGCCCUAUUUCACGUUUUGAAGAUCAAAAUCCCUCAAUUUGGUGUUUUUGAUUCCAAAUUGUUGAGGGUUAAUGCUCACAAGAGUAUUUGGGAUGUUUUUGUUGAGAAAGAUCAAAGGAUUAAUGGGCCAAAUGGAAGAUUGAUGAAGGUGGGUUAGGGUUCGGUGAGAGAGAAAGAGAAAGGAGCUGGAAAAUGAGGAACCGAGGCCUCGUUUCCUUUCUUAUCGCGAACGGAUCCGAGGUCGGAUCUGUUCUGGAAGGCCUCGGAUCCGUCAAGGCUCGGAUCAGCCCCAACAGAAACACAGACGAGCCCUCGGAUCUGUCUGGGUUGGAAUGGAUCCGAGCUCGGAUUGAUGGAUCCGCGGUCGGAUCUGUCUGGGCUUUUUAGGAUCCGAGCUCGGAUCCUUGUGUCUCUGCAACAAAUUGCAGAAACUGCAAUUUUUUCAAACUUUUUCUCCCUUUUUCUGCCAAUUCCAAAUUACACAUUGGACAUCCCUUUUCUCAAUUCCAACGUCCCAUGCACAUGUAAUAUACUAUAAACAUAAUAUCCAACCUCUCAAAACACAACAAACACAUCUACAUUGAAAAUCGAGGGGUGAGGUUCUUUAAUCAUUUUUGCAUUUUUACACUAAAAUGGCAUUUUUGAGCAUUAAAUGUAUAUCAAAUGAGUCCAUGAGCCUUUAUAACCAUGAUAUCACCAAAACUCACUUAAAUAUACUUGAAAUGCACAAUGUAUGUAUAUGCAUGGGAAUUUUGAGCACUUAAAACACAAUUUGGUAAGAAAAACUCCCUUUUACACAUAUUCUUCAAGUGCACCUCCGAGAUGGAUGAUAAAACUCCCGUACCUCCUACAAACAAGUGAAAUACAUCUAAUUAGUCAAUUAAAUCACACCAAAAUGUAAGAAACACCUAAAAACACACAAAUACACUAUUAUUAUUGGGUUGUCUCCCAACAAGCGCUUUUGUUUAUAGUCGUUGGCUCGACAAUCCUAUAACUUCUUUAAUUCUCCUUUGCAUUUCCUAAGGAGUAAAUUACCCCUUUAGGAACUUUUUCUCCUGCCAAAUAGAGCUUCAAUCUUUGACCAUUUACUUUGAAUGGAGCACCAUUUUCUCCUUUUAUUUCCACUGCUCCAUAAGGAAACAUGCGAACUACUUCAAAUGGACCGGACCAUCGAGACUUAAGUUUUCCAGGAAAUAAUUUAAGCCUUGAGUUAAACAUCAAAACCUUUUGCCCUUCUUCAAAAUGCUUAGGGAGGAUAUGUUUAUCAUGCCAAAAUUUCACUUUUUCUUUGUAAAUCUUGACAUUCUCAUACGAAGUCAACCUCAAUUCCUCCAAUUCGCUUAACUCAAGCAUUCUCUUUUCACCUGCAGAUUUAAAAUCAAAGUUAAUUGCUUUAACAGCCCAAUAAGCUCUAUGUUCUAUUUCCACAGGUAAAUGACAUGCUUUCCCAUAAACAAGCUUAUAUGGAGACAUUCCCAACGGCGUUUUAAAUGCCGUUCUAUAUGCCCAUAAAGCAUCUUCAAGCUUGUUUGACCAAUCCUUUCUUGAUCGGUUUACUGUUUUUUCCAAAAUGAUUUUAAUUUCCCGGUUGGCCAACUCCGCUUGUCCAUUAGCUUGAGGAUGAUAGGGGAGUGACUUUUUAUGCCUGCACCCAUAUUUAAACAACAAAGUGUCAAUAGCUUUAUUACAAAAAUGCUUACCUUCGUCGUUUAUUAUUGCCUUUGGGACUCCAAACCUACAAAAUAUGUUCCGUUUCAGGAACUUAAGCACAACUUUAGCCUCAUUAGUUUGUGAAGGAAUGGCCUCCACCCAUUUAGAGACAUAAUCAACUGCUAAAAGGAUGUACUUGUUAUUAUAUGAGUUAGGAAAUGGUCCCAUAAAAUCAAUGCCCCAAACAUCAAAUAACUCAACUUCCAAAUAUAUAGUCAAAGGCAUUUCAUUCCUUCUUGAGAUAUUACCGGUUCUUUGGCAUUGAUCACAACUUUUCACCCAAUUUCUAGUAUCUUGGUGCAUAGUAGGCCAAUAAAAUCCAGAUUGCCAUAUCUUUGCUACAGUCUUAGUAGUACUAAAAUGACCUCCCGUUUCAAGAGUAUGACAAUGCAUUAAAAUGCUAUGUACCUCCUCCUCCGGAACACAUCUUCUAAUUAUUCCAUCUGCACAAUGUUUGUAAAAGAAUGGUUCCUCCCAAAAGUAAUGUUUAGCAUCAUUUAAGAAUUUUUUUCUUUGAUGAGAAUUCAAAUCAUUUGGUAUCACUCCACUAGCUAUAAAGUUAACUAGAUCAGCAUACCAUGGUGACUUAUAAAUUGCCAUUAAAAACUCAUCUGGAAAUUCUUCUUUAAUGGACCAAUGGUCAUCUUGCUGCAUGUUCUCCAGUCUAGAAAGAUGAUCUGCAACUAAAUUCUCGGAUCCUUUUUUAUCUUUGAUCUCCAAGUCAAAUUCCUGCAACAAUAAAAUCCAUCGAAUUAAUCGCGGUUUUGCAUCUUUUUUAUUUAACAAAUACUUGAGUGCUGCAUGAUCAGUAUAAACGAUAACUUUAGAUCCUACUAAGUACGAUCUAAAUUUAUCCAAUGCAAAAAUCACUGCUAGCAACUCCUUUUCUGUUGUUGCAUAGUUAACUUGAGUUUCAUUUAACAUUUUACUUGCAUAAUAAAUGACAUGAAGUCGCUUAUUAUGUUUUUGCCCAAGAACAGCCCCAACUGCAAAAUCACUUGCGUCACACAUUAAUUCGAAUGGCAAGCUCCAAUCCGGUGAUGCUAUGAUAGGUGCGGAGACAAGUUGCUUCUUUAACCUAUUAAAAGCAAGUAAACACUCAUCAGUAAAUUGAAAAGGAACAUCUUUUGCAAGUAAUUCACAUAAAGGUUUAGCAAUCUUGAAAAAAUCCUUAAUAAAUCGCCGAUAGAAUCCCACAUGUCCAAGAAAGCUACGAAUGCCUUUCACAUUGGUUGGUGGAGGCAUUCUCUCAAUAAUCUCUAUUUUGGCUUGAUCAACCUCAAUACCUUCUGAGAAAAUUUUGUGGCCUAACACAAUACCUUCACAAACCAUGAAGUGACAUUUUUUCCAAUUGAGUACAAGGUUUGUUUCUUCACAUCUCUGCAAAAUUAGAUCUAAAUUGUUAAGACAAUCAUCAUAAGUAGAUCCAAAUACAGAAAAAUCAUCCAUGAAGAUUUCCAUAAUUUUCUCAUUAAAAUCAGAAAAAAUUGCCAUCAUGCAUCGUUGGAAAGUGGCCGGUGCAUUGCACAAUCCAAAAGGCAUCCUUCGAAAUGCAAAAGUACCGUAAGGACAAGUGAAUGUAGUUUUCUCUUGAUCUUCUGGUGCAAUGACUAUUUGAUUGUAUCCUGAAAAACCAUCCAAGAAACAAUAAAAUUCAUAUCCGGCCAAUCUUUCUACCAUUUGAUCAAGAAAAGGAAGAGGGAAAUGAUCCUUCCUAGUAGCUGCAUUCAAUUUUCUGUAAUCAAUACAAACUCGCCAACCAACCACAACUCUAGAGGGAAUCAUUUCAUCAUUUUUACCAUGUACUAUGGUUAUCCCCCCUUUCUUUGGUACUACAUGGAUAGGCGAAAUCCACACACUGUCAGAAAUUGGAAAAAUUAUACCUGCAUCCAACCAUUUAAGGAUUUCUACUCUUACCACUUCUUUCAUGUUUGGAUUUAACCUUCUUUGAGUCUCAACCACUGGUUUAGAAUUUUCUUCCAAUAAAAUCCUGUGCAUACAAAUAGUUUGACUAAUUCCUUUGAUAUCAGAAAUUGUCCAUCCUAUAGCCUUUAAAUGCUUCCUUAAAACACGUAAGAGCUUGUCUAAUUGUUCCUCAUUUAAUGCUGAAUUUACAAUCACAGGCAAUGUCUCUUUUUCUCCAAGAAACGCAUAUUUGAGGUGCUUAGGCAGCGGCUUUAGCUCAAGCUGCGGUGCUUGCUCACAUGAUGGUGGAGGUAGCCCUUUGCUCAGUCCUAACGCCUCGUAUGCAUUUCUCCUUUUAUAAGUAAUUUGUGCCUGCAAAAAUUCAGUCAUUUCUUCAAUCUGUUCCUCUUGUAUACCUAUACCAUUAAGACAAAGUUCAAGAGAAUCAUUAGCAAGAUUUACUUGACUCAUUUCUAAUGCCAAUUCAUCACAUAUGUCAACCGAAUAAACAUGGUCGGUAAAAGAGGGAUAUUUCUCUACUUUACUCAAAUCAAAUUCCACUUCCUCUUCACCGAUUUGAAACUUAAACUUACCUCGUUUGACAUCUAUUAUUGUACCUGCAGUGGCCAGAAAUGGUCUACCAAGUAUAAUAGGUACAUUUACAUCUUCCUCCAUAUCUAAAACAAUAAAAUCGACAGGAAUAAUAAAUUUCUGCACUUUAAUGAGCACAUUUUCCAAUAUGCCCAUUGGAUGUCUAAUAGACCUGUCAGCCAAUUGCAAGGAAAUGUUAGUACGCUUCAACUCUUUCAACCCCAAUUGCCUAGCCACAGUUAAAGGGAUCAAUGACACACUUGCACCAAGGUCACAAAGUGCUUUAGAAAAUUCUACAUUACCGAUAGUGCAAGGAACUGUAAAACUCCCUGGAUCUUUCAAUUUGGGUGGCAAUUUGUUUUGUAUGAUUGCACUACAUUCUUCUGUUAAUGCAAUUGUCUCACUGUCUACCAACUUCCUUUUCUUGGUCAUUAUCUCCUUGAGAAACUUCGCGUACGAAGGAAUCUGCAAAAUAGCAUCCACAAAAGGAAUGUUAAUAUGUAAUUGUUUAAAAAUGUUGACAAAUUUCUCAAAUUCUUUGUCAUUUCUUGAAGGCUUCAAUCUUUGAGGGAAUGGCACCGGUGGAGAAAUUGGUGUUGGGUCUUCCAUUUGCAGUUCAUUUUCCUCUAUCUUUUCUUUCCCUUUUUCUUCCUUGCUUCCCUCUUUUAACUCACUCAAUUUCUUAUUCUCUCUUUUUUCAAACUCUCUUCCACUUCCAACUACUGGCGGCUCAACUAAUUCCUUACCACUACGGAGGGUUAUGGCCUUCACAUGCUCCCUUGGGUUCACUUCAGUUUUGCUAGGUAAAUCCCCUUGGUUACGAUUAUUAACCGCAUUGGCAAUUUGGCCUAAUUGGACCUCAACAUUCCUGUACAUAUUGGUGAGUUGGUCCAUUCUUCCCUCAAUUCUUUCAAACCGUUGAGUAGUGGCACUAACUAACUUUUCAAUUUUAUCAUUUGAUGCAUUGGCUAGCUUUUCGAUUGCCAAUUUCCAAGCUGGUUUGGACUCAUGCAGUGUUUGCUUUUGUUGAAAACCUGGUGGAUUAAUUGGUCUUUGUUGGUUCCCUUGAUCUUUCCAUCCAAAAUUCGGGUGAUUACGCCAUCCUGGAUUAUAAGUAUUGGAGUAUGGAUUGUUUUGGGGUGGACGGUUGUAAUUGUUGAGAUAUUGAACAUGUUCACUGCUAGAACACAUAAAAUCAUCAUGAUCUCCGCCGCAAAUGGUACAACUUGCAACAACUACUCCUUGAUUAGAACUAGAACCAACUUGCCUAUUAAGCAUCUUAACCACAUUAUCCAUUUUUGCACUUAACAUAUUCAAGGUAUCUACUUCAAGCAUACCUGCGGUUCUCCUUGAAUUACCUCGUUCGUUUGCCCAUUGGUAAUUGUUAGCAGCCAUUUCUUCGAUCAAUUGCUGAGCUUCCUCAGCUGUCUUUCCCAUUAAAGCUCCUCCCGCUGCUGCAUCUACAUGUGUCUUUGUUGGAUAGGUGAAACCAUUGUAAAAUGUUUGGACUACUAGCCAAUCGGGUAGACCAUGAUGAGGGCAUCUUCUUUGCAAUUCCCGAUAACGCUCCCAAGCUUCAUACAAUGUCUCUCCUUCCUGUUGAGAGAAACUUGUUAUAUCCAUUCUCAAUUUAGCAGUUUUUCCAGGUGGAAAGAAUUUAUUAAGAAAAGCCUUAGCUAAUUCAUCCCAAGUAGUAAAAGUAUUGGGAGGAUGAGAUUGUAGCCAAACUUUAGCCUUGUCCCUUAGUGAAAAUGGAAACAAUCGAAGUUUAAUCGCAUCUUCACUAACACCAUUAAACUUAAUUGUAUCACAAAUUUCAAGAAAAAUGUUGACAAGUGAGAAUUUGGAUCCUCAGUAGCAUUACCUCCAUAUUGAGAUUGUUGUACCAUUUGAAUCAGUGAUGGUUUUAUCUCAAAGUUAUUAGCGUUUACCGUUGGUCUUACAAUGCUAGUUUGAGAUCCUUGUGCUCCCGGUAAAGCAAAAUCUCGCAGAAUUCUCCUAUUUGAUUCAUUUUUUGCCAUUUCUUCCUCAAAUUGUAAUUCUACCAAGAUAUCUUCUAUUGGCUGCCAAACCUCUUGUUCCUCUUGAUGUGAUGUAUUCCUCCUUUGUCUGCGUAAUGUUCUUUCAAUUUCCGGAUCGAAAUGUACAACUCCUCGAUUUGAUCGGUGCAUACACUACAAACAAAAACAAGAGAAAAUUUUUAUACUUUUAAUUCAACAACUUGAAUAAAGAUAAUGAAAUUUAUCUAAAUUAAUAGAGAUGAUGAGGCCCUAAUAUUGCCGCUCCCCGGCAACGGCGCCAAAAACUUGACGGGUAUUUUUUUGUAUCAAUGCAAGUUUAAUUCCGAUUUUACACCCGUUGGACUGCAAGUAUACAGGUCGCAAUUGUAGUACAAGAUGUGUAUCGGGUCGAUCCCACGAGGAGCAAUUCAAACAAUUACUAAGCCCUUAUUUUCUCUAUUAUUUAGACUAACAAUUAAUUUGAGCAGAGAAAAUCUAAUGCUGUAAUCUACAAAUCUGGUAUAUAAAUCUAGUUUAACAGAUGCUGAAUGCAAUUAGAGAAAUUUCACUUAAGGAAGAUUCUAGGGAUGUAGAUUCCACUUAUGGCAUAAACAACACAAAUGAAUGGAUUUACUUCUUGCUAUUAUUCUUGCUUAACUAGAGAUUCAUUUCCAAAGUUUCCAAGUCUCAUUUUCAUGAUGAAAUGGCCUAAAGCAAUAUAGAUUUCCCUAUUUUCAUGGUGAAAUACUACUACUACUCUGUUUUAUUUCAUGAAAUGCUAAGUAAUCCACCUAAGUGUAUCUCUAUUUUCAUGAACAUACAACUCAAGCUCUACUUAUGUGUUUCCAUUGUUAUUACCAAUUCUCAUUGAACAAUAACAACUAUAACCAAACUAUUGGUGAUCAAUCAAUAGCAAGUAAUCACAGCUACACAAGUAGACAAGUUAAUACAAGAUAUAACAAGUGUAAAUCACAUUCAAUUUAUACUAUUUAGCCAUAAGUUUCAUCUACUCCCUAGAUGAAGUAGUUUUAGCUACUCAUGAAUGAUUUAACAAUCAAACUCACAAGUUUAUUAAUGCAAAAACUCAUAAAGUACAAGUAUAAGAAAGAUAAAAGAAAGCUUAGCCAAUUGAAGGUGAAACUCUCCAAUUCCUGCUAUGUUCUUGCACAAUAUGAUUAUAAGUGAAACUCUCCAAGUACUUUUCCAAGAACUCCUAUCUAGAGAGAAAACUAGAUACAAGAAAGAAAACUAGCUACGUAUGGUAAUGCCAGACCUCUCCCCUGCUUUCUGCAUAAAAGGUGGAAGAAAUUCCAUUUCUCUCACUUCAUAAUUUCCUCCACUCAGAUUUUGUAAAAAGAAGUCAAAGAUAUGAUAUUUCCUUUUGUCCAUACUCAUUUGGUCUUCUCUUUUGUUGCAGAAGCAUGUGCCACCGAUUUCUGUCCCUCAAAAUAGCUGGAAAGUUGUGAAAAAGGUAAAGAAAAACGGCUGUUGCAUUUGCUGAGGAGAGAGACAGAUCCGAGCCUCGGAUCCGAGGAGUGAAAAUGGAUCCGAGCUCGGAUCUUCAGGAUCCGAGGUCUUCAUAAUGGAUCCGAGGUCGGAUCGUCCUGACCUCGGAUGCUCUCCACCAGAAGUACAGACGAGGGUUCGGAUCCAUCUUGUGCACAUGGAUCCGAGCUCGGAUUAUAGGAUCCGAGGUCUUCCCUUGAUGGAUCCGAGGUCGGAUCGUCCUGACCUCGGAUGCUCUCCGCCAGAAGUACAGACGAGGGGUCGGAUCCCUUUUAUACACACGGAUCCGAGCUCGGAUCCGUGUUGAGCAAUUUUCCAGUUUUUCACUUCUUCUCUUUUUCUUCAUUUUUGCUCCCAAUUUCUUGUGUACUUUGUCCUCUGGAUGACCCUUAUAUUCCUUUGAACUUGUGCAUAAAUUUCAUACAUCAAUUACCUUCACAAAUUCACCAGAUUAACGCAUUAAUUCACUCAUUUAUCAAUUUUUGAAACCUUAAUCAAUAUUUAAGCAAUUAUCACCAAAAGAGUUCAAAUAUGGCUUAAUCUUCUCAGAACAUACCAAAAAUUAAUGCCAAAUUCAUACAAAAUAUGCGUUAAAUAUUCACUUAUCAAAUUCCCCCACACUUGAAUCAUUGCUUGUCCUCAAGCAAUUUUACACAAAACUUACUUCAAAAAUUCAAUAGAUAAAACAAUAUACGUACUUUUGUCAAAUUUAAUUCCUUAAAAACCUAGAAACCAAUCAUUAUGCCAUUUCUCAGAUUACACUAAAUACUCAUAAUAUUUAAUUAAAUAAAAAUAAUUAUGCCUUAAUUUCAACAAAUUCAAAUCAAUUCUCUCAUUCUAUCCUAAUUUCACAAAUAAGUAAAUCACAUAGUCAAUUUUAUGGCCUUCCUUAUCCCAAAACUUAUCAAUUUAGAGGGAUUUAUUCACAUUUCUUCUUAUUUAAAUAAUGAAAAUGUCUUUUUACGCGAAAAUCAACACUUUUAGGUGAAAAUUCCCGGUUACUCAACAUUUCACUUAUUUAAAUUGCUAAGCAUACUCUUAAUUCCAAUACCUUUUUACGCGAAUGUCGACAUUUGUAAAUGCCAACCCCCGGUUACUCAGUAUAUGAAUCAUUGGAGUAGAAAAAUAAUAUAUAUAUAUAUAUAUUUUUUUUUAACAUAAUUAAAGGAAGAAUUUGGCCUUGUUUUUGACUAUAUCAAUCACUUACUUAUAAGAUUAAGUAAAAAUGAUAAAUCUCAUUAAUUUUGCAAAAUUCUAAGCAUAAUUUUUCUUAUUUAACCAAAUAUACUUUCUAAAAUAUAAAUAUCCUAAUUGCAUAAUAAUUCAUUUCAGGCCAAAUAAGAACUAAACUUUUCCAAAAUACACAUAGCAUUUUAUCCAAUGGAAGAAUUAGACACUUAAAAUUUUAACAUUUUGGCCAUAGACAGCAUCUUUCAAAGCCAUGAUUAUAGGGUUAAAUCAAACAUGGUGAAAAAUUUUAUGUCGGUCCGAAAUAACUACUAGUCAUGCUACUUUGAACUGUACUCUAACUUCAUGCCGUUUACCCUAGCAGGACUCUUGGCAAAGACUAAUUUAUCCCCUGAUCCAAAAUUAUACUAAGACGAUUAAACUUAACCACCAAUUUGUGUACUAUUAACUUGUAGGGUAAAAUGUAAAAAAUAUACAAAUCUGCAGCUCUAAUUACAGUUCUUUGCACUGUUAGUUGGCUCGUGAUUCUGUCUACCCGAUUGGAUACAAGUUUAUGUUUGUGAAUACAGGAUUCUUGAACUUAUGUAGAAAAGUAUUUACAUUGUUACUCCAUAAAAGAUUAAUUUACUCCAUAAAAGAUUAAUCCUAGUUACUAGAAAAAGAAGUAGAUGAACACAAUCGUACAACUAGAUACACCACAAUGAUACAUCUUAGUGAUUAAUUCUCAUCCCUCCAUUACCCCCAUUCCUCCUACCGUUAGCCUCAUACAUAAAAAAGUCAUAAUCCCGGAAGAGAGCUGAAGAGAAAUUAUUGGAAUCUUGGUUACAAUCAAAAAGGGAAGAAACCAAUCCGGAAAAUGAAGAGAAAUCUAUACAUGGUUGAGUUAGUGAAGGGACUUACUGAGGAAAUCACCAAGGCUGAAAUUCUUGCCAGCAACCCAUUUUUGUAAUCAACUUUGGGAUUUUCAAGAGUAUCGUACCAGCCCAGAGAAUCUCCAACAGUGUAGUUCUUGUACUCAGAAGCUGCUGGUGCUGGCGCUGGCGCAGUUGUUGCAGUAACAGAUCCUGAAAAAGACGGCAGAAGACAGAUACUGAAGCAGAAGCAGAAGAAGAAGAAAAUGCUGACGGUUCUAAGGCCACCGCUUGUUGUACAAUGGUACAUUUUUGUGCGUGGGAGUUUGUGAAAUGUACAAUUGUAGUUUUAGAUUUUGCUAGCUUUCGAAACUUGACAGAAGAAUAAAAGCAGCGGUUGUAGGAGUAUACUAUAAUAAGCUGCCGCCAGCCUCUUUAAUUAUUUAAUAAAACUUGUUUUUUAAAGGAGAAAGGAAAAUUACAAAAGUGGGCCGAUGUUUUGCUAAUUGAAGUUAAGUUUGACAAGUGAAAGGAAAAUUACAAAAGUGGGCCUAUGUUUUGCUAAUUGAAGUUAAGCUUGACAAGGGAUGUUUUAACAAGAGAAACAUGUUUUUGAAUCCAAUCAGGUAAUAGUAGACUUUUCUUUUUACUUUUUAAAUUUUUGUGCUUUUUUAAAAAAAUUUUUUCCGACAAGAAAGGGUAAAACUUAAAAAACAGGGAAUGAAUAGAAAGAUUUGAGCCCAAAACCUCUAAUUCCUAGCUUUGGUGCUUAACUUAGACAAUCGUUCAAUUUUUUAUUUUUUUUGUGUGCUUAGCUUAGACAAUUGUUCAAUUUUUCUUGGUUUUGCUCAAUUUUGAUUGGUUCAUUUGACAAUUCAAUCAAAUCAUCGGCUUAUACAUAUAUGCUUAUCAUUUUCAAACAAAUUGAUUAGCAGAAAAGCAUAGUCAAGCACAAAUUGAUGUCAAUGUUUAAUCUUAAUUACAAAAAAAUUAUUUGGCUUUUACAUUUCAUAGGUCACUCAUUUGAUUGCUAAUUUUGAGUGCAUUUAAUGGAAUUGCCUUUAUUUCUUUUUACUUGUAAUAGCUGCCCCUCUCAUUUUCCUCUUUUUCACUUUAAAAAUCCUUUACGUGACAGAGAAGGAGUUCGUUGGGUUCCACAUGACCUAGAAUUAUAUCACCACUUUAGAGAAUUUCGUGAAAUGCACAACUGAUAUAUGUUUUAGAUGCUUCAGAAUUCUUAUAAAAAAAUUGUUUCAUUAAAUAAAAAUAUAUCAAAAAGUAAUAAUAUUUAAUCCAAACCUUCUCGAGAUUGAAGAUACCCUCCAUCAAAUCUAUACUCUCUCGAUUGAUUAUCAACCAUAUGUGUCAAAGGUACUUAGUGUCAAUGAAUAUUGAUCUGUUUGGAUUGGCCAUUUUUUCAAAAACAAAAUUUUCAAAUAUAAUGUUACAGUAAUAUACAAUAUUUAAAAAACAUCUCAUCUAUACAAUAUAUCAAAUAUUUCAAAAAUUUUUAUAGUAAAAAAUUUUUCAUAUACACUGCUACAGUAAAAUUUUCUAAAAACAGCUAAUCCAAACGGGACAAUUUACAAGAAGUUAUAACGGAUUCAUUUGGAUAAUAUAAUUUGAGAAAAAGUUUACAAAUAUUAUUCCGCUUAUAUCAUAAAUAUAAUUUUCAAUCAUCUUUUUUUUAUUUUACAUGCAACAUUGUACAAAAUGUAGUAUAGUAUUAUUCCAUAUACUUUUUCUAAAUAAUCUUAUAUUGAAGACAUUUGUGGGAGGGAAUGGUUAUACACUAUUUUUUAUUUUUGUUUUUUUUUGCCUUAACAGGUCACUUAGACUAAGGUUCUAUUUGAUAACCUAAUUCAUCAUUUAAAGUUAAUGGAUUCAUAUUUUAACAUGUUCAAACGUGUUUGAUAACUAAAAAUUGAACAUCUACAUUAAUUAGGUGGUACUAAAUUUUCUAAGCAAAAUUGCUCCCAAAAAUAAAUAAUAAUCUGCUCACUUAUUAUUUAAUGUGACAUAUACUCAAAUAUAUCAACUUUAGUACUUAACAAUUUAAUAAUUAUACGAAUUUAGAUUUUCGAUUUCAAAUUUUAGUUUUCAAACUUUACUUUUAUCAAAAGCAGCCUAAGAUUAUUAACAAAUGUAAUGCAGGAAAAUGGCAAUGAUUAGAAACCAUGUCAACCAAUUGCGCUCCAAAGAAAAGAAAAUAUUAAGAGUGACGGACUUUUAUGAUGGGCAAUUCUAGUGUGCAUGUAUUUAGUAUUCCUACGUAUUAAAGGAAAAUUUCCACAUGGGUUUGAUUUGAUUGUAUCAUGGCUCCACUCUCAAUAUAAUGAAGAUCAUUAGAAGUUAAACUGCUGGAGUUUAUGAAUUCCAAAUUAUCAGAGUAAAAGAUAGAUUUUAUUUUUAGUCCGUCACAUCCUAAAAUAGUUUGAAUAUAGUCUCCUAGGUUUCAACCUUACCACUAUUUGUCCUUCAAUUUUCAAUACUUUCAUAUCACAUCCCCAUUGAAAAAAAAAAUUUAGUUUUACCAAAGAUUACUUCGGUCCUGCAACUUUUGGAGAACGUAAUAAAAUUGCAAAUUUCACAAGGAAUUAAAUGGGCAGUCGGCGGGGGACUAAAAUGAUAGACGUAGACAAUAUAAACCGACCGUAAACAAGAGAAACACAGCAGAUGAAGAAUUUAUCUUCAAUUAAUUGAAAUUAGUUUAACAAAUUGGAGGAUCAAAGUUGUAAUUUUAGCACUUUCAAGAGGAGUUGAGAUUAAUUUUGAAGGAGUUACUACAUUUUAUGUUAUGUUAUGAAAAAGAAAGGUUGUGUCACUUGUCUGUCGGUGGCAUACAGCUGCCGAUUUCGAUGCCAUGUGAUAAUGCUUGGAGGAUUGGUUUUGUACGUAAUAGCCUAAUAGGUAAUGGAGGUGGCUUGUAUGGUUGGCGUUGCUCUCAUUAUACGGACGUCGCUUAGUUGGACAAACGACUUUACUAGGCGGGGUGGGGUUCUACACUUGAAAAUGUGCUCCGUGACUAGGAAUUUAGGAAUACCAAAUUAAUGAAAGUUUGAGAACAAGAAUUUAGGGAGUAUUUUGUUUUCUCCAUUUUUUUUUUUUGCAUGUUAACCUUAAUCAACUAGGGUAUUUUGACUUAAAGUCAACUCGGAGGAAUGGCUGAAUAAUAAGUUUAAAAACAAGAAUUUAGGGAGUAUUUUGUUUUUUCCUUUUUUUUUAUAUUAACCUUAAUCAACUACGAUUUUUUGACUUAAAGUCAACUCAGAGGAAUGUCGGAAUAUACAUAUAUAUAUAUAUAUGUAUAUGUGUGUGUAUGUGUGCUGUGUGUGCGUGCACGCGUACAUACAUAUACAUAUAAAUAGGUUUUUCUACCUAAUAUUUAUUUAAUCUAUUAUAUGUAUACACAUACUAACAAUUAUUAUUAUCCCGUGUAUUUAUAAACUUUUCCUAUUUAAUCUUAACAAUUACUAUUUAUUUACUUUUCCUAAUAAAUCUUAUAUUUUUAAAAAUAUAACACAUGAAAUAUAUCUUAACAUGUGCCUAUAAGGCAUAUUUAUGUGUGUGUGUGUGUGUGUUGAAAACCCAAUUACAAUGCUUCUUCAAAUCAAGCGAACAUGACAGCACCAAAUAUUUUGUAGUUCCGGUACAUCCAAAAUUAUGGUUAAAUGAUCUUCACUUACCACAAGUAAUUUUUCUAUAUUUUCACAAAAAAAUUUACUGCUACAAGAUUCUAACUUCUCCAUUUUAGCAAUUGUUAGGGAAAAGAAAAAAAAUUAAAAAUGGCAUGCCAAAAAAACCUAAUAUACGAAACAAGAACUCAUCAAACGACCUAAUAGCAGUCUGUGACUCAAUUGGGUAGGGAAUAGUUAUGAUGCCUAAACAUGCAUUUCCUUAUCGCAAGUUUUCUGCUCACUUCCAUUUUGGUGAUCCAAUGGAAAUAUGACAAAAUGAAUUUCCUUCCCCUCUCUUUGUUCUCGUAAUUUAUGAUCAUCAAGACUGGACGAUAACAAUUUAGUUCAAGUUUCCAAGUCUUGCGUUGCCGCUAGCUACUCAACUAAAAUCAGAGAAUGGAAUUGCUUUUUUCCUCGUGGUUAAAGACUGCUAAAAGGGGAAGUUUCAUAAUACCAAUUGGCAAAACCAAACUGCAAAUUUCUUUGGGUAAAUAACAAUAAUGUAACCUAUUAUUGUCACGUAUCAAUGAGAAAAUAGUUAUGUUUUUCUUUUGGGAUAAUUUUAGAAACCUCCCGUGACGUUUCUGACUAUUUCACUGGUCUCUCUUUAGGUUUCGAAAAUUACACUAAACUCCCUUGUCGCAUUAAUAAUUACACUAACAAUGGCAAUCCUGAUACUAGAACAUAAUAGCUAUUAUCUGGCAAACAUUAUUGUUUUGGUCUAAUUUCAGCUCAAUUAGGUUCACAAGUUUCUAAUUCAUGCUCGCUCACAAAAAAGGUCGGGUAAUGAGUUUAAUUCGGAUAGGCCCAAACUCAAGUGAUAUAUUUUUCACAUUAACGAAAUCUAGUUAAACGAAACUAUUAACAAACCCAUAAACAUUCUAUAAUAUACAAAUAAAAAGAUUGCAACACCAAAAAGAAGUUUGAAUUUCAUGAGGUGAAGUAUUAUAACUUAACUUAUAUAACAUCCAAAAACUUAUUGACUAGAGAUGGGGAAAACCAAUUUACUAUAAAAUUAGCCAUCUAAAAUACAGUCAUUUUAGUACUUUUGUAGUCUCAUCACAUGUAUCAGUCAAGUCGAGUUUUAAAUGGGUUAAGCUUAGUGCAGUCCAAACUCAACUCACGUGCAAAUUGGGUAAAAUAUUUUGGCACAAAUCCAACUCAACGCACAGUACAUAAGUCUUAUCCUAGUAAAUUUAGGGCCAAGCGGGUUGGCUCGGGCAAGCCCAGCCUAAUUGAUAGGCCUAGUUUUGGAACCCUAUUUUAUGUUGUAAUUAGGGAAAAAUUAGCUAAACUAAAUGACAUUAGUAAGAAAAAAAAACUAAUAAGUAAGAAUGUGAUACUUAAUAAAUCACUUUAUUAAGAGAAAAUGGAAAGUUUUGAAAAUUAGUGAUAGUUAUUUUGAGUAAUGUGUCUAACUAACUAUUUUCCUACAAAAUCUAAUGGAGAAAAAGACAGAAAAUUUUCUGACUUUCCUACUAACAAGACAACCACAAAGGGAAAAAAUAGUUAACUUUCCUUCACUUUCCUAUAUUUUUCAUUGGAUUUUCAAGAAUGUCCUCUAUAGGGGAAAAGUAGAUAAUAUAGAAGUAAAAUAAUUUUUUUUUUCAAAUUGCAUUGUAUAUUUGGUGGAGAUUGUUUCGUCAAAUAAAUUUAAGUUGCUGUUGCUUGAGAAUGAAUUAUUUUUUCGUUUCUUUAUUUUUAUUCAAGGGAGGCUCCAAUCCAUAGAGAUGGGAAGCGAAAUGAAUUAAUUUGGCUCUUUAUGAUUUGGUUAAAACUAAUUUGGUCUCCAAUCUUAAGAAAUUACUCAGUGCAAGAGUAACUAAACAAAAUUCAUGCUAUUGAUGGAUCACUCAAUAUAUAUAUAUAUAUUAUAAUAUAUAUAUAUAUAUAUAUUUUAGGGGCGUCCCGCAGGGAGUGAACCCCGCAGACUAUUCCCUCACCUUCUACAACUUGCUGGCGACAAGAUUCAAACCAAAAAGCUAAAGCUCCAUCUUUAGCAACUUCAACCACCAGGGCAAGCCCGGAGGGUGGAUGGCUCAAUAUACUUUUAAAGAAGCUAAAAGAAAUUAAAACUUUCAAUCUCACAUACAAAAAAAAAAAGAAAAAGAAAAAUGGACCUAAAUAAAUUCACGAGUUAAACAUUAAUUAAAAAGGACAUCUUCUUAGCCUUUCAAGAAAGAAAAGUAACAAAUAGUAUUUUCCUUAUAAUAAUAAAUAAUAACUUUAAUUAAAUUGGGUAUAUAUGAAAAUUUUGAAGUGCUAAUUGGUAAGAAAACAAUUGCUUAAAGGUAGACCUUUUGGAGUGGACAAUAAAGAAGACUUAUCAACGGAAAGUAGCAAAAAAUAUAUCAACCUAAAUCUGUUUCUAACAAUUGGAAAAGAGGUUUAGGAAGGUAAUUAAGUAUAAAAAGAAAAUCAUAAGAUCUGUACAUGACACAAUUAAAAUAAAUUAAGACAUCAGUACAAGGUAUUCCAAUUUGAAAAGUUAAUCAAUGCCUUUAAUAUCUAUUAUGUCUAUAAACAAAUUCCAUAAGGAAAUGGACCAUAGCAAUAAAUGUAAUUAUGGACAUUGGAAUCUUUCAAAUCCUGUAUCUGCCAUAAAUAGGACUUAAAAGCACAAUUCUUCUCUUCUUCGGCUCUAUUGCCUGGCAUUCACAUACCAAACAACUGCAAGAAUGGCUAUGGGUAUCAUCUUUAGAGCAUCCAUUCUCAUGGGAUUGCUUUGUUAUGGUUUGCUUUCUGGUCCAGGUAAAGACCCUUUUUCCUUUUGAUUAAGGUUAUGUGCAAAACAAAAAAUGUAAUGAAGUAAAAGUGUACCUUAAACGAAUUACUAAUCUGCUUUUCUUUUGUUUUUCAUCAAUUCAAAAUUAAAGGACAAACUCAAUAUAAAAGUUAAAAUUAGACAUUUUCCAAAAGAUUUAAUGACAACUAUUACCACAAGUGAUUUUUUUUUUUUUGACAAACUGAUAAUUUCUUUUCUCUUUUUCCUUGUGCUUUGUAGCAAUUGUCAUGGCCGAUGUAACAAAUGAGACAUGGCUGAUGUACCAGGGUCGAUGCACAACAAUUCCAGGGUGUAUUGCAACUUGUAAGAAAGAAAAAUACCCUGAUGGAGGCGUUUGCAAAAGGCCUUCUAGUGAUUCACCCUAUGUUAAUUGCUAUUGCAUAGCCCAUUGAAUUACAAGAAGCCUUAGAAUUGUGUGAUCUUUGUGUGAUGAUUCUAAGAUACUAUGGAAUGUAUACCCUUAUUUUGAUGAAUAAUAGCAAUUUAUUUUUCCAUGUCAUCCAUUUUAUUUUUUUUUGACAAGUGAACUCGCAAUCACUAUUCGAGAGCGCGCACUGAGUAAAAUCCGCCUUUUGCAAUAGCUCGCCAGCCACACAGAAGGGUAAGAAGCAAACCCUGUGCGACAGACAGAUGUCACCCUUUUAUUUUAUUCUACUGAAUUGCAAACUUUUGAUUUUGAUACAAUUUUAGCGGACAAAAUUUAAUUUUGUAUACUUUUUUAAUUAUGUUUUGAUUUGUUGAUUUGGAUAUUCUUAUGCAAUUAAAUUAGAUUUAAUUGCACAACCACCCACAGAGACCAUCCUUUUAGGGAAGGGAAGCGAUAGCCAUUUUUGCAAAAAUAAGAAGACUACUCAUCUCAAGUCAAAAUUGUGAUGAUAUUUGAUUUGACUUGAGAAGACUAAAUUGGUAUAUGAUCAAAAAUUUUCUAUGGCAUUAAAAGCUUAGAGGACAUGAGAGAAAAAGAGACAAACUUUAACUUUUACUGAAAAACAUUAAUAUCCAAAAAGAAACACAGGGCACUAAAAUAAAAGAUCAUGGACAAAUAAAAACUUACCUUCAAAGAAUUAAUUUGAUUAAAAUGAUACUAGCAAAAGGCAUGAAAAUGUAAAGCAAAAAGUGAUUAUUUUUCUUUUUUCUACAUCAAGAAAGAGGUAUAUUUCUUCUUCUUGUACUUGUACGCAAAAUACACGUACACUUUGAAGAGAUAAGGACAAGUGUCUUGCCAAGUGGUGAUCUCAGCACAUAACAGCUCAGCACCGAGUGUGCACAAGGCGAGCUCAGCAUAUAACAGGUCAGCACCAAGUGGCGAGCUCAGCAUAUAACACGUACUGUUCUUAUGUAUGCGAGUUGAGUGUUGUUCACUUUUCAGAUGAACUAGCUUGGAUCCGGCCAUGCUACGCACUGGCCUAUCCACUGAUAAUUUUCGCUGUUUAUUUAGUCCUCCAUUUUUGUCCUAUGCAAAAUCCAGAUAAUUUUGUGGAUGUUGAUAUGCUAAUUGUGUUUAAAAGAUAGAGAGGUAAAUAACAUUUAAAACAGUGGCAAAUAUUAUAUAAACAAAAUCAUUCACUUUUGACAGCACAUGUGCUUUAAGACUUGAUCUUCAUACAUAUUAGCACUUGCAAUUAAGUUUCAUGAUCUAUGCAGGUGCAAGAUAACAAACUAAACUAUUAAUAGCUAUCUCAUGAUCCCUUAUUUGUCAAUGACUGAAGCAGUUUCAAAGAAAGUAUCAAAGCAAUGGACCUAAUCAUUUAGCAGCUAACAAAAGAUUUAAUAAAAGUAACAUAAUUAAAGCAGUUUAGGCCUACUUGCCCUUAAGCUUCUUUGCUAGACUUAUCUUCAAUAUUCUUAGGCGGAUUGCUAUCUUCUGGACCUUUUUUGGUACACUGCUCAGAAAUAUUGGAUCGCACUUUGGAUAGUGUUUCUACUGGUGUAGCUUCAUUUUCAGGUAGCCCUUUUGGAAAAUCAAGGCUCCUAUUUACUCCACUGCUCCCAUAUGCAUCAUUUUUCAUGGAAAAAUUGCCUCCAGCAAUUUCUUCAAGCACCAACUUAGUGGUUGGUGUGAACUUUUCUUCCUUUGUUUGUUGUUGUUUUUUUUUUGAUAUCUUGGUGAGGAAGUGCCCACUGCAGAAGAAACUUCGGUGCGAUCUGGAAACGUUACAGUAACAGAUCAUCUGCAGUGUAAGCUUUGGACAAUAGUUUUAAUUUGUCCCUGGUCUUAAAAGUGAGUCUCAUAAGCCUUGAGAAAGUGGACAAUUAUAUAUUUCUUCAAGGAACCAUUAAGUUCAGUGUCUACUUCAAAGUGCUGCAGCAAAAAUUAUUUUUUGAGUUGUAGUCAGUUGUUGUUAUCUUUUUUGUUAUGCAUAGAUAUAAAAUAGAAAGUUAUCACUUACACUUUCUUGUGCCAGUUUAUGCUGAAAUGAAGUGAAUAGAAUCAUUUUUUCUGCACCUUCUCUAGAUAUAGUGCAAUUGAUUGUUCUCGAAUCAUCAGUUAAAAUGAUGGGAAUUCGAGCCCUCAAAUUCAACAACAAAAAUUAACAUCAAUUUAAAUGCAGAAAGAGGAUUAAAUUGUAAUUAAAGCGCAUGAAUUGGUAACUUUACCUCAUAUCAACUUCACUUUGUUGCUUGCAAGAAGGACAACAGAUAAUCCAAUCAAUGUUUACAUUCACUAUUCCUGUAUUUAGCGUAUCCAAAGGCAAGUUUCCCAGUUGCUUGAAGCCAAGCUGUUUUUCUCUGAAUCAAGUAGAUAUGAAAGAUAUCUGAAGCAAAAAUCACAGUUAACAGUAAAAAAGGCAAGAUCAUAGGGGAGGCCUAAGUUUUUCAUCCUUUGCUCAAUAUGACGAAAGAAAGAACCAAUAUCUAAAGGGUUUCUCCUUUCCCUUCUCCCUUUUGUAUACAUGGUAGGUUUUAGAAACCAUACCAUAGAUCAUUAAAAAUUGUUUUCUAAAAGAAAACAUCACUUCGUAGCAGGAAAAAAGGAAGAAUUCGCUGGUAAAUUCAAACCAAGUUUUUUUUUGGUAGGAAAGACUUGCAUAAAAUAAAAAGGAAAGGUUACAACUUAGCAAUGUAUCUGGGGAAACAAAUUCCCCUCAAAUCAUCAGACAAAAUAGAUCCUAAACUGAGAGGACAAGAAUCUAGUAGUGAAAAGGGACACAAAAGUUUUUCACCCAACUUUGCUAGUGCAUCUGCUCCUUUAUUCGCCUCUCUGUAGAUGUGCUUUACUUGCACUUGCUGGAAAUUAGAGAGAACGUGCCUGCAAUCAUUUAAGAUAGGAGCAAGGUCAUGACCUUCUGGAAUUGAAGUGUUUAGCAUGUUAAGGACAACUUCACAGUCGCAUUCAACAAUCAAACAUUGUGUAUUCAAUGAUCUUGCGAUUUCGAGUCCAUAUAGCCCAAUAUUCUGCAAUCAGAUUGUUGGUGUGGCCGAGCUUUCGAAUCGACCCUUUAAUCCAAGUACCAAGAUGGUCUCGUAUCAGGGUCCCGCAUCCCCCGAGACCAGGGUUGGGUGAGCAGAAUCCAUCAGAAUUCAAUUUAAGCCAUCCUCUGGGUGGUGGAGUCCAUCCAAUGAGGACCUGGCUUUUGGGUAGGGGAAAAGGAGACCGGUUUGGACCAAUUGCAACAAAUUCAGCAGCAAGAUUUAGAGCCUGAAUGUGAGGAAAUUUCCAUGCUCUAAUGGGUUCGAACAAAAGUUUGUUUCUAUUGUUCCAGAGAACCCAACAUGAGAAAGCAAGAAUAACGUUCCAAGAAAUGGAACCGUAGGGGGGAGAGGGAGGAGUUUUUGCAGUUCUGAAGGAGCCAAAUGUUGAAAGGUUGCCAAGGGUGGUGAAGGAGGGGGGAUUGGAUUUUUUCCCAGAAUUCUAAGGCUUGGGGACAUUCUCUCACCACAUGUUCAGCAUCUUCUGAGAAAUGGUUACAGAAAGAACAAGAGGUGUCAAGGAUGAUAUGUCGGUCGAAGAGGUGUUGCUUGGUGGGAAUCCUUUGUUGAGCUAACAACCAAAGGAAUUGUUUAAUUUUUGUGGGGACGUGCAGAGACCAGAUCCACGAGAGAUUUGACUCGAUUGGGUCUGGGUAUUUUUGGAGAAAAGCUAGGGAGUAGGCAGAUUUGAAGGAGAAGCUACCAUUAAGGGAAUGUCGCCAUCUAAUGGUAUCAGGAGUAGGGUUGUAAUUCUGUCGUGGGAUGGCAGAAAUCCUUUGGCUUAGAUCCUGGGGAAGCACCAUAGACAAGGCUUCCAGAUUCCAGUCAUCAAGGGGAUUGAAUAGGUCCUUCACAAGCAUGGAGUGGUCUUCCAAAGUCAAAUGCCCUUGGAUCAAGGAUCUGAGGGUACCUUGGGGGAGCCAUUUAUCAUGCCAAACAAGUGUAUUUGCUCCACUUUUGAUAACUUUAGAGCAACCAGCUUUGAACAAGGGGAGGCCUUGUUGAAUGCAUUUAAAAUUUACCGAGCCUCUGCGUCUAACAGGAUUCCAAUCAAGGAAUGGGGUGGAUGGAAUUUGGGUAGGUAUUUGCGGGAAAUGAUUUGUGCCCAAGGUUUCUUGGUUUCUGUUUGAAGCUGCCAACAGAAUUUUGCUAUCGAAGCCUUAUUAAUUAAGGCAGUUUGCUUGACUCCCAAUCCUCCUAGGUCUUUAGGUUUGGUAAUUUUUUCCCAGGAGACCAGGUGAAGCUUCCUUUUUUGGGAAGUAGAGCCCCAAAGGAAGUUUCUUUGCUCAUUGUCAAUGUCAUUACGGAGAGAGACAGGUAGGCGGUGCAUUGGGAGUAGAAAACAGGAAUGGUAGUAGUAGUUUGCUGGAUUAUGGCUUUCCUUCCAGCAAAAGAGAGGAGGCUUGCCUUUCAUCCUUCGAAUUUUUUUUUUAUCUUGUCUAAAAUGAAGUUUUGCUGGUUUCUACUAACCCUAUCCCCAGAGAUGGGGAAACCAAGGUAUUUUCCAAACUCAUGAGAUUCAGAAAAUCCUAAUUGAUUGACUGUAGAAAGUCUAAGAUCCGAGGGGGGUAUUAGGAGAAAAGAGAAUUUUUGAUUUCUGACGAUUGAUAGAUAAGCCAGAUCGAAGGGAAAAAUCUUCCAGGAUGUUGUGGAUGGAAAGUAUGGAUUCUGGGUUAGUUUCAGCAAACAAAGUAAUGUCAUCCGCAAAAAUGCAGUGAGAUAGCAGGGGAGUAUUGGGACCAAAAGAUAGAAGCUUCCAUCUCUUUUCAGAGAUAGCUUUGUUUAUAGAUAAGGAGAGAUAUUCCAUGCACAUAAUAAAUAAAUAAGGGGAGAUGGAAUCUCCUUGCCUUAUACCCCUUGAAGGAGAGAUCCAAUCAAUAGGCUUACUAUUAUGAAGGACAGCAAGCCUAGGAAAGGAAAUGCAUUGGAGGAUAACUUGAGUGAGAGCUUCAGGAAUGCCAAAGAAGACCAGGGUUUCCCUGAUGAAGUGCCACUCUAGUUUGUCAAAAGCCUUUUCAAGAUCAAUUUUAAUAGCACAACGGCUCUUUGUGCCUUUUUUUAAUUUGAUCUUGAAAAUUGCUUCUUGAACUAAUUUGACAUUAUCUGAACAGCUCUUUCGAGGUAGGAAACUGGUUUGAAAGGGGAGAUAACCUUAGCUAGGUAAGUCUGAGUUUGUUUACAAUCACUUAGAGAGGAUUUUGUAAAGUGAGUUGCACAAACUAAUAGGCCUAAAAUUUGAAUGAGUUCAGGGCAAUCAGUUUUGGGGAUUAAGCAAAUGAAAGUAUCAUUAAUACCUUGAGAAAAGGUAAAUGGUUGAAGGCAUCUUGGAUAAAUUGAACAAUAGAGUUUUCCAUGAGGUUCCAGAAUUUUUGGUAGAAGUAAGCGUGGAGUCCAUCUGGUCCAGGAGCCUUAAAGGGCUUGAAAUCUAAGCAGGCUUUCCUGAUUUCUUGGCUGGAAGGAUACGGCUAAAAAGCUGGGUUUCACUAGGCGAGAGGGUAAGAGGGGAUGCAGGAAAAGGUUCAGGGUGGAGGCUGACUUCUACAAAGUCAGAGUUGAAAAAGUUGGUGAAAAAAGAGUGGAUGUGACGUUUGAUAGCAAGAUCUUCAGUGAUCCAGUUACCAACAAGGUCUCUAAUAGCAAGAAUUCGAUUUGUUUUCCUCUGCACAAUGGUUGUGGUCUGCAGAAAUUUAACAUUCAGGUCAUCCCAGAUGAGUGGUCAGUUCUUGACUUAAGAAGCCAAAAGUCUUGUUCCAUCCUUAAAGUGUCUUCUAGCUGGGCUGUGAGGGAGCUUUCCAAAGUGGAUAGGAAGACGGAAGGGUGAUAUUGGAGAGAUUUUGGAUCCCUACUAGUCUAUUGAGGAUUUUCUUUUUUUUUGUGGAAGAUAUUUUCAAAAGAGGCUCUACUCCAAACCCUACUGGCUUCAGUGAAACAUUUAAUAGACUCAGUAACAGGGGUUGAAGGGGAAGACCAGUUAUUUCUGAUGAUAUCUGGAAAAGAAGGGUGAGAAAGUCAAAAUUUUUCCAAAUGGAAAGGCUUAAUGGAAAGGUCUGGAGGUUGAGGAUAGAGGUUGACUAUGAGUGGGCAGUGGUCAGAUCUAGUGCGGGCUAGGUGCUGAAUCGAGCUUCAGGAAAAGGUUUCUCCACAAAGGGUCGCAGAAGGCUCUAUCUAAUCUUUCAUAGAUGAAAGAAUUAUUUUUCUUACAAACCAAGUGAAUCUUGGGCCCACAAAGCCCAUAUCUAAGAGAUUACACGCUUCAAGCAUAGAGCAAAAAGCUGAGGCUCUAGAUCUGAUAAUAGGGUUGCCUCCUAAUUUAUCUUGUUGAGAAAGCAGUUCAUUAAGUCACCAAUACACAUCCAAGGCAAAUUAUUUAAGGAAGACAGAUUUUUAAGGUGCUCCAUAGAAGCAAGCGUUCCUCAAGUCUAGGACUAGCAUAGAUGCAACUAAGCAACCAAGGGGAGGUGUUAGGAGAUACCUUAAUGUUUGCAUGGAUGGCUUGGAAAGUGUUGGAGAUAGGUUCGACGUUGACCUCAACCCCGUUCCACAGGAGCCACAGUCACCCUUGAAGGUAUUUGCAUCUUGGAUCCGGAAGUUGGUGAACGGGAGGCUUUCACAAACUUCUACAGCCCUGCUUCCACUUAAUCUAGUUUCCACUACCGUGACAAUGCCAGGUUUGUGAGUGUUAAUGUGUUGAAGGAGAUGGUCACGAAAUGCAGAGCUACCUGUACCUCUCACAUUCCACAUUAAGAGCUUCAUUUCUUCCAGACUAGGGUGAAGGGGCAACAGAGGGCUCUGAGGGAGUCUCCUUUCUGCCAGGUUCGGAGUGCAGCUCGCAAGGAUGCAUUCUCCGUUUCUGUAGUACCUGGGUUGUAUUUCCACUUCGAAGUCUAGACUUCCUGGUUUUGGACUCGAAAAGGAGUUGAUGAAAAGUCUAAAUCCUGUGAGGUCUCUGGGUGGUGGUAAGACCACCACGGACUCUUUUACGGCGAAGAGUCUUAGAGGCAGCGGGUAUGGGGACAGACGCUCCAGGACUACUUCUAUUGGUGGCUGUAGGAGAUAGGCCAGCUCCGUGUCUCUUUCCAUGUCUCUUUCCAUGGCUAUAGGACAAACCAAGUACAAUCCCUAAAAGAAACUGAUUCUUGGGGCAAAUGCAAUCACGUGCAUGUGGAGGGUUUUUGUGGUUCUAACCAAGAGAAAGUACAAUGCUUUGUUUAGAAAAUUGGUAGAACAGUGGCAUCUUUUGAAGGUUCAUAUUCGGCUAUCCGAGUAGAAGAAACGAAGAAGAAGAAACUUUUAGUGAGAGGCCUAAAACUAACCAUAUGUUUAGAUCAAUCUACAAACAGUAUCAAACUAUUUGCAUCGAAACAGAAAAAUAAGAAGGAAAUAUUUUCAAACAUACAAAAAUAGCCCUAAAUAGUUAGUAACUAUUCAAACAACCAUCUUUCACAAAAGGGCGCAACUGACUUUUAACACUUAUUAAAACACAAACAAAGUUAAAAAAUAAAUAUAUUUAAUCCAUUAUUACCAAUUGACCCUUAAAUAGUAAGCUACUAUUGGAAUUCUCAAUCGUAAGACCAAGUUCCAAAUAGACAUUUACCAUUCUUUAAGAUCCAAAUGAAUAAAACAAAGUUCCUUCCUCCAAUAAGAGCUUGACACUUGGCAUUCAAUGGACAACUCAAGUUGUUCUCUUAUCUAGUUGGUAGAUAAUACCAAGCAUUAAGGAAAAUGUUCACUCACCAAUUAGGGUAAAGGACUUCUGACCCUUCCUACUUUUUCUCUAUAUAGCCACAUUCCCUAUUUGCUUCAUUUUUGUAUUUGAAAAAAAAACACUAGUAUUUGAGUCCAUUCCAGAGAAAAAGGUGGUGAAGCCCCAUUAUAUUUUGCGUGUUGCAGCUCAAACAAUAACUAAACUCCAAAUUAGCACAUCUUGUCACACGUCAACUGCAUUGAAUCUCUUGUCUCUACAAUUAGUAGCCUUGUUUGGAAAGCCAGUUUUCAUAAAAAAAAAAUUUAACGUUUUUCAUAAAUAUAAUUUUCAAUCACCUUUUUAUCAUAUGCAUAUUAAAUCGUUACAGUACAUUUUUUUAUAAAAAUUUCAAAAAAUUGUAAUCCAAACAAAACCACUUGUGUCCUUUCUAGGAAUGACAGCUUACUUCCCCCUCCUUUUUGUUCUAACUUUCUACGUCAUUAUUCCCACAAUCAGUAAUCAUGCCUAAGAAAAUUCAAUCCAAAAAACAGGCUGGAAUUGGAUUAUCUAACAUGCCUCCGAUGGUCAAUGAAGAAAGUGAGGGAGACAGCUCUAUGCAAAUCCAAUAAGAGAAUCAUAUGAACAGUGGAAAUCCUCAACAGCCACUCUCAGCAAAAAUAACGCCAAUUUUCCACCUACAAUUCUCAUCUUAUCUUGCAAUUUGUCCAACAACAACAGCAGGUGCCUUGCAAAGACAAGGGCAAAGGCAGAAAAUUUGUUCUUUCCCUCAGCAUUCUGUACAACCUUCAGGACAAACAUCGGAAGAAGCACAAGACUAGAUUUAUUAAUCACAAGUCGCCUCUUGGGCAGUUAAUCACCACCGAGGCUUAUCGUAGUGGGGGUGAGAGGUCAACCCUUGACCUCCCACCAUAUAAUUGCUUGUGACUGCCACUUCAAGUGGGUUCCUCCAACGGGUUCCCGCCGACUAUUGCCCAUAAUAUGGAGCAAAUCUGCAUGCCACUUUCCAAUAAAUUUCAAUUUAAAUUGAUUACUAUUAUGAUGUCAUUGUAACUCAAUCCUUUAAUAUAUUGAAAAUUUUGUUGACACACAAUAUGCAUUUUUCCUUUGAAUUCUGCUUGUUUAUCAUAUAUUUGAGCGGUUAGUAUUGUUAAUAGACUUUACCAUCUUUUUCUCUUUUUAUACCUGUCAUGUAAGUCUUGGUGUGUAUUAAGUAUUCAUAUUCUCUAAUAAUUAGAUGAAAGUAUUACAUUACGUAGUAUAUCCCAUGAAUAUUGAUUGGAAAGUAAGGCUUUUCUUUUGGAGUAUUUUCAUUUUAAACUUGGGUUAUUAUCACUUUACUCUUUUAAACUAUAUCACUACUAUCAAUUUACCCCAUAAUAUUAUCUUUUAGUCGCUUCACCCCAUAGUUAAUUUAACUCAGAUGUUAACAAAUUUUGGUCAAAAAUACCAAUUAUUUUAUAGUAUUACUAUAUUGUUGUUAUUACUUUAUCCCUUUAAAUUAUUGUAAUAAAAUCCUUUACUCCCUAACAUUAUUGUUUAGGCAUUUUACCCCGUUGUUAUCUAACCAAUAUGUUCAAAAGUUUUUUAAAAAUAUUUGUCCUUUUUAUAUAUAAUUAUGUAGACACCAAAUUUUAAAUAAUUUUAUUUUUAUUUUUAUUUUUAGUGAUAAGACUUUCCAGCAUAAGAUUGGCCAAAAAGAGAAAAUUAGGAAAAAUAUGUUUUAUUUCUUUUUAUUGAAAAAAAAAGAGAAAAGGGAAAAAGAAGAAAAAGAGGAAAAAGAGGGAAAUCUUAGCUUUUUAUUUUUUGGUUGCUAAUUUUGUACAUUUUAUUUAAGUUUAAGUUUAUUUUUAUUGUUAUUGUAAUUUAAAUUAAGUGAUUAAAAAAAAAAGGGAAAUAGAGCCGCGCAUGCAUGCGGCAUAAGAGACAUUGGCAGAAAAUAUGGCAAGCGGGGGGAAUGGAUCGAAUGGCUGGAGUUUAAGGUGGAGAAGAACCCUUCAUCCUCACCUUUGAGGUGAGGGUUUGGGUCUCAUAUAAAAAGGAAAAGAACAACAGCUGAGAGGGGGGAACAAAGUGGCGGCUGCAUAAGAGAUAAGAGAAACCUUAGAAAAACUCGAGAGCUGGAGUGCGACAGAGAUUAAGAAAACUAGAGAGAGCAGGGAGAGUUUGGAAGGUUGAGGAAAGAAAGCAAAAGGGGACGGCUGGAGAGUUUGGGAUCGGAGAGAUAGAGUGAAGAAAGGAAAGUCGAGAGAGAGAGCUGGGAGGAGGGCUUCGGCUGGAAACCAGAAAAAGAAAAGGAAGAUUGUUAAGGGGGUUGUUGACUGCUGAAGGAAAGGUAAACCAGAAGGUUUUCAGCUGCGAGGACGAAGAGGGAUUUGUGUCAUCAUCAUCGCUCUUCCAUUAAGUUUUGGCCGAAUCAUCCGAGCCCUUUCUCCAUUCCUCGAUUUAGGUAUCGAAUUCUUCUUUAAAGUUGAAAGCUUUUUCCUUUAGUUAUUUGUUUGCAUUUCUGUGUCAUUACUGGUUCUGGUCUGGCUUCAAUAUGGCUAAUGGUUCUUGUUUGGGUAUUGCUAAAAUCUGGAGUUUGGGUGAGGAGUCGGUAUCUUGCAUAUUGGUGUCUUGGCCGAGAGAGAAUUGCCUAAAGUUUCCAACUUUGGUUGGCGUUUUGUUUCAAACUGAGUUUUGGGAUGCAAGUCUAGGUUUUCCUGUAAGCCGGUGUCAUAGAUUAUUAUUUGAGUUUGUUUUUUAUGUCCAUGUGAGGAAUAAGAACAAAACCAGAAAAAUAGCACGCUUCUUCGGCAAGUUGAAUUUCUGACUUUUAGUUCGUUGAUUUCCCUUUUGUUCUGUGGGUUUGUAUAGCUUUCUUUUAAGCUGUUUUUGGGUAGUUAUAGAUAUAAGAUGCAUGUUUUGCUGGUUGGGGGACUAAUUUGAAAUAUUUGUAUGUGGAUAACGAACUUUAAAGUCACAGAAAGUUUCUAGCUUUGCAUGUUCUUUACGCUUAAAUCCAAAGGUGCUAUGUUGCAAAGUAUGGAAUGUUUGAUGAUCUUGAUGCCUGGGUUUAAAUUAUGUUUGGCUGAGUUUUGUGCAUGAAAUCUGCUGCAAUAAACUUGCAAGCUCUCUGCUUGUUGCGGCAGUGCACACGGACAGCUUGUGUGCGUUUGUUUUGCUGAAUUUUCUGGAAGUAUAAACAUCAAGGUUCUAGGAAAAAAGUGGGGAGAAAGCUUUGUUAUCUUGCUGCUUUGAUUCCAGUUUUUGGUUCGGUUAACUUUGUUAAGGGAUGUUUGAAUGAAAGGAAGAUUGCAUUCGUUGUGAAAAGCUUUCAGCAGAAAUGUUUGUUGCAGAAAUGUUUUGAACGCUUGGCAUGAAGUUGCUUGAGUUGUUCAGAUUUGCAUCUAUGAGUUUCAUGAUGCAAAGUGGGAGGAUUGUGUGAUUGUUUGCUUGGAUUUAAUUGUGUUUGAAAGCUGAUUUUGGUGAAGUGCUGAUUGCAGAAGCCUUGUCUAAAUAAAAUUGCAGAAGCUUAAACUUUUACAUAUGCAUGCAUGAAGAUCUUCCAAAAUUUGCAUUUCAACCUCACAUGUUUAUCUUCGUUCUACAAAGGCCCAAUUAUAUUGUAAUUUCUUGCAAUUAAGUCCUACCUCAUUUGCAUUUGAGUUCCACAACUUGAUUUUUUAGUUGGGCACUAAUCACUAUUUUGUGGAUUGCAAUAUGAACUCUGGGCAUUUAUCCUUGGGAUUUUAAGGGCUUGAUUAAUGUAAAUAAUGAUUUAUUUGAUUCUAAUGGCAUUUCCUUUAAGCAAUUUUUGACAUUUGAGACUAGUUGAGUUCUAUUAGUGUCAUGAUUUACAUUUAUGUUUUAUUUACUAUUCAUUUGAGAUGCCUUGACCCUUCAUAUUUCUUGUUUUCCUUUCCAAUUAGGCCCCAAUUUUGGCAAACAUAGGUUGUUUAAGUUUUUUAAAUGCUUCAACGUCUAUGUGUUUAUUUGCGAUUACUUGAAUAUUUCUUGGCUCUUGGGUCUUUGGCGUUCCUAAUUUGUUUCAAUUAGACUUGAAUGAUUGGUUAAGGAUUUCUUUUGGGUCCUUAGUAGAUGCUAUGUAUUUGGGAGUUGGAUGGGUCGUUCCGUUUCCUUGGUCUUCAUGUAUUAUUUGAUUUCAUUUAAGUCGAAAUUAGGGAAGGUUUGUUGGUUUGUUAGUGCCUUUUGAAGUUUCUAAAGUGAUUUGAGUUUCCUUUUUUGCCUCUUAUUCUACCUAUCUUUAAAGUGGUGCAUUAACCCUUUGCUUUGGAUGGUUUUAGCCCAAGUUAUCCUUUUCUGUGGUGACUAUAGCCCAAGUUAAGUCUUGUCCACUUUAUUAGCACCACAAAAGGGGGGAGGUAUAAUUUCUUUUAUCCUUUUUUGUCUCUCCUAUGUGAUCCAACGUGCUAAGUGAGAAUUGCAUGUCUAAUUUACUUUCCUUGCUUUUCUUUAGUUCCUUUAUUUCAUUUACUCUUACUUUCAUUAAGUUAUUCUUUUAAUAGGGUAUGUGUACACCUCUUGGCUUGUAAUAGAUAGGGCUUGGGGAGCAUUUGAUGAAGACCUACUGAAGACGUGUGCCUAGCUAGCAAAUGUAAUAGGUUCAUUAGUUUGGUUGCAUGCCUAUGUGUUAUGUGUUACUUGCUUUAUUAGGUUCUUGCAUCUAGUCGAGCAUGCUAAGUGUUAUGUGCUAUGUGUUUAUGAGUGUUUGGCAUGUCUACUUGCUUUCUAUAGUCGUAGAUGAAUGUAAUGGAUGAAUGUACGUCACCACACUAGUCCAACGCUAGUUGUGGCUCAAUGUCCAUUUCCACUAGUCCAACGCUAGUAGGAAUUCAUAGGAAGGGCUAGUCCAACGCUAAACCCAAUAGGCCGUCCCCCUUUCGUUAGUGCAUACUUGCAUGUUCACUACAUUUCAUGCAUUUUUCUUAGUUUUAUCAUUUGGCAUGCUCCUCCAAUCUUUUUCCCCUCAUUUUAGGCUUUUUGCAUCCUCAUGCUAGUUAUAGGGUACAUUUGCUUGAGAGUCCCCUUUCGAUAAGGGAAACGAGCGAGUUUGGCUACAAAAUAGCCUUAGCACGCUAGUUCUUCCUUCUAAUCCAAGGGAAAAUCAAAGUCGUAAAGUUAGGAGUCCUUCCCGUGCCCGACCUGAUGCAUUCCCUUAGGGUUAUACACUUGCAUUCUUUUUAUAUCACCUCCUCACUCUUUUAGCCACAUUUUCUCACUACUUAGACUUUUUCUCAAUCUACACUUUCUCACCACUUUCUUCCUAUCACUUAUUUAUUUUUCUAUCUCACGAAUGGCACCCAAUUGCACUUAUAUGUAUCUACUAUCCUAUUUUCAUUCAUUUGCACACACAAACACCUUUAUUUUCUCACACUUGCACACUUACACUUGAGUCCUCACUUGCAUUAACCACGACUUCCAUGAGAGCUUUCCUUAUUGGCCACCACAAUUCAUGUGGUUGGGACCUAAAAGCCUCAUGAGAAACAUUUUAGGUUUAGGAUUGCAUUUUUCUUUCCUUUUCGCAUCCAUUAGUCAUAUCCAACAUGCGACACAUAUUUUGGGUAGAAAAAUUAGGAAAAGUGGGGCUAAGUCAUGCAACUAGCUCUUGUUAGGGUAAGGGAGUGCCUUAGGCUUUGCCUUUGCCUUCUCCCUUAUCAAAUGUGACCCCCCGAUCCCUUUCUUUGGUUGCGUAGACCUAAAAGUUCUUUAAAAGGGUUUAUUUACUUUUUCGUUCAAAAACAAAAAUCAUUUUUUGGUGACUUGAUACACCCUAACUCUAUACCAAGUGGCGACUCCAUUUUUCAUACAAAAACCCUUUUUGAACUUUAUUUGGCCAAACCGUCGCAUUUCACAAUCCCACGGCCUUUAUUUUCACUUUCACACGUUCACAUACAUAUCUCACACACUACAUUCACACCAUUUUAAAAAGUGGGGCGUGACAAGAUUCAGAACGUAAGUCAGUUGAAUUCAAGUAGCAAGUUGCUGCUUUAUCCAAUGGAGGACAGAACAGGUACAAGAUUUCAGUCAACUUUGAAAAAUCACCAUAAAUUGGACAAACAGAAACAGGAUCUGAGAUUUACACGGUUUAUAGCCCUAUGAAUCUAGUUUAAAACGCAACAAACGGAACUCAAUUCUGACAUUUCUACAUCAAGAUAUAGCAAAUCUCCCGAGACUGCACCGAAGCUCCUACAAACAUUUGGACAGCACUUCCCCUUGUCUCUCUUUACUUUUCCAGCCAUCAAGGCUUCUUUUGUUUUCCUAAAUCACUCCCAAAGGCACACACAAAAUAAGUUCAUUAAAUAGUCAUUCAAUAAGCUCCAACAAAUACAAGUGCAAUUCAAGCUAAGGAAAAGUCCGGAAAUGAAAGUUAAGCUCUAAACAAAAAAAAAACAGUUUUUGACAUCAUUUUGCGGUAAUGGCACCCAAGGCACUACGAUUACCGGAUGAAGGUGUAUGAUACACCAUUUCGAAUCUAAAAGACAGGGCUACAACAUUACAGAAGGUCACUCAACCCAUUUUCGAGUGCAACCAGGUCAAAAAUGCAAGAUACUACACCAAAACCCGUAAAAACAGUUUCACAAACCACAUUCUAGUGCAAACCUCAUAAAUCAGCCUACCUAAGUCCAAAUCCAGAAAUUCUAAAGCCAUCCAAAAGCUUAGAAAUAGGGCUACAUUCCAUCAGAAGACCUCAACAACUAAAUCAGAAGCAAUCCCAACCAAAUUCACCAAUUACAGACGCAACUCUCAAAUUCGGGUAAAACCAGGACAGCAAGGGUAAUUUCAACUUUUCUCAGGCUACGCCACUCCGAUUGACCUGAAAUUUUGUAGACACCUCUAAAAUAUCAUUCCCUACAACUUUCAUGUUUUAAGCCAAGGUCAAUUCAGCCUCUAACUAUGAGCUACAAAACCGAGCAGAAUGUAAUCAUCAUAAACCCUAACUUUCCAAAAUUUCUUCCAAAACAGAAAUUGUUUGCAAUUAACCACUUUUUCCACCUCAUAGAGUCCUUAAACAUCAUUUCCAAUCAUCAUACAUAGCCACACAAUCAUGUUCAUAUUAAAACAGAAAAAUCACCAAUAAUUAAAAAACUUCACCAAUUCAACCAAAACUCAAAAUAUAAUCCAUAAAGUUGCAUCUCAUACCACCACUAAUCAUAAAUUAGGCAUCAUUAGAGGAAGGAAAGUGGUUCUUCACAACUCACCUUAGAAACAAGAGAGAGAGAGCAAUUAGUCCUCUUAGCUUCCCAAACAACUUCACCAAUCACCUCAAGACCACUUAGCAACGAGAUUUUAUGGAAUGAUUUGGAGUUUUAUCGGUUGGAUUUGAAGAUUGGAGCAAGAUUAUGAAGUGGGAAGUUGGAAGAUUUUUUUCCUUCUUUGAGCAAGAGGAUUCAGCCAAGUGAAGCUUGAAAUGAAGAGAUUUUUGACCAAUUUUAAUUAAAUGGUAAAGGCGUGAAUAGUGGUCCAAAAGGUCAAAAGGUAAGAAUGAAUCUUCAAGUGACACUUGUCACUUCAUUUAAUACAUCUCUAUCCUUUUGUCUCUCCUAUAAUAAUCCAUCUAGAUAACUUCUAAUUAUCUCUUAACACCUGCUAAAAGAAACCCGGUAUCCAACACUUAACCUAAUUGGCCGAAUUUUUUCGAACUUUUCGGCCUAGUGGGUCCUACGUCCGGUAUACGCUCCAAAAUUCUCAUGAACUCAUUUAUACUAGAAAAAUAACUUGAAAACUCUAUUUACUCAUAAAAAUUAUCUAGAAAAUUUUUCUAAUAAAGAAAAUGCAUAAAAGGCGUGCAAUUAAAUAAAGUAACGCCUAGAAAAUAAGAAAAUUUACGAGCUCUCACACAGGGGCUCUCAGGAGCCAUUUUCCCCGCACUUGAUCAAAAUGAACCGCAGUUGACCCUCCGUCAACUCUCACUAUCUAAAGUCCAUGUAGAUUCAUUAUUUUUUUUCCUUAACACGCUCCAACCAACUUACUCCCCCUACCGGGCCGGACGCCACACGAGAGAGUUUUUAUUACUCGAGUAUACUUUAGACUGGUCGAGGGAUUCACCCAACGACGUUACGUCCAACACUUACAGACUGGUCGAGGGAUUCACCCCAACGACUUUACGUCCAACACUUGAUUUUUAUAGACUGGUCGAGGGAUUCACCCAACGACGUUACGUCCAACACUUAUAGACUGGUCGAGGGAUUCACCCAACGACUUUACGUCCAACACUUGAUUUUUUAUAGACUGGUCGAGGGGUUCACCCAACGACUUUACGUCAAACAUUUGAUUUUUAUAGACUGGUCGAGGGAUUCACCCCAACGACUUUACGUCCAACACUUGAUUACCAGGUCAAGAUAAGAGGCCCUCCCACCCUUAAGGUGUGGUACAUUCCCCUGCCUAGUAAUUUAGCUAUAGACUGGUCGAGGGGUUCACCCAACGACUUUACGUCCAACACUUGAUUUUUAUAGACUGGUCGAGGGAUUCACCCCAACGACUUUACGUCCAACACUUGAUUACCAGGUCAGGAUAAGAGGCCCUCCCACCCUUAAGGUGUGGUACAUUCCCCUGCCUAGUAAUUUAGCACUUAGCAAGCGCAAGCAAGAUAUUAACAAAAAAACACUUCAAGCAAGUCACCACUCAAACGGCUAGUGUGAUAAAGUACACACUGCGCACUUCGAUGGAUCAGAAACCAUUUUUGGCAAUUAUCACAUAUCAAGUCAAGAAAGCGCUUUAAUCAAGUAAGCAUAGAACAAGUAGGGACACUCACCAAAAGUGAAGCUCAAAAGUCAAGCUGGUAAUCAUAGUCCACGUCCUCGUUAAACCCUAGAAAUCCAAGUUUAAAAACUAUAAGUUUUACUAAACACACCUUUGGUUUAUAUAUAGAAGAUUAUCUUGUAUAAAACUAGUUUAAUUCCUUGAAAUAAAUCAAUAACUCCCUCUUAAGAUUAAAGCUGAACAAGAAACAAAAUGUUUCGUGAGGUUUCUUUUAAAGAUAUUUCCUUUCUAGAAGCAAGCUAGAACCAAAUUAGUUUAAACAAGUUUUCUUGCCGAACAAGUUUUCUAUGUCUUUUAUUUGAAAUCAUUCAAAUCUAGUAUCUUUAACAAAUUUUCUUUGAAACAAUUGGUCAAGGCUAAUUUUAUGAAAAACUUAAGGUUUGGAAGCUAAUGUAACUAUUCCCUAAAGAUAAAUAAACUAGUUUAAGUAAAAGAAAAGAAUUAACUAGUCGGCAAGGUUUUAAAAGUCCCGAUAUCUAAGUUUUAAUAUUAAUGUACCAUACUAUAUAUAUAUAUAUAUAUAUAUACAGCUUGCUAUUAAGACAAAAUAUACCUACAAGGCUUGAUUUAAAGGUAUUUGAAUUCAAGAGAUUAAAAUGGACUUUACGAUUCCAAUUCAUAUGCACAUUGUAUUCCAAGUUGCCAAUAUAGCUAAAACGCAACUCAAAUAUAAAUCUCGCUAGGGCUUUAUCAAUCAUUAGCCCUAGGUCUCAACAGAUUUUAUUCCAAACAAAAUUCAGCAAAGGAAGUCCAAGGUAUCACAACAAAUUCCAAAUCACAAACCAUAGACCUUCCAAGUACAUUUCAGCCAACCACUUGAACAAAUUCACCAACAUUUAAUAUUCUUGCACAAAUUACUCAAGUGGCCAAGAGCUUCUUCAAUCAUUAGCUCUUGACAUCAAACAAUUUCUUUCAAUCACAAUUCAACCAGGAUUUCAAUCUAAAACAAGAAGAAAACUGUGACAGCCCCACCUUCCCCUAAGGCGAACCAAAGAGGUUAGCGGACUGCCUGCCCAACUCUCGCCAGGACUAACGGUGCAGUAUAAAGCGAUCUAUCACGUUUGAAACUUAUAACGCGCGCAACAAGGCAAAAGGGCAAAAUAUCCCAAAAUAAAAGAAACGAACUCCAGAGUCGGCCAUGAAUAGUAACCGACCCGUCCGAAACCCAACCAAGCAUCGAAAAACAUAUACAACAUAACAUUAGCCAUUUACAAGCCACAACAGCAAGCCAAAACCAUUCACUAAGGAAGUACACAUUCGAUUUGCCUAUCAAAAGGAAAUGAACCCGUUAUACAUUAGGGUUUCACUUCAAGAGCAAUACAAAAGACAUUUACAUGCUCAAUUCGGCAAUUGACUAUCCAAUCCAUUCUCAAAAGUAAUUAUCACCCUGUAAGGAAAACAAAUAACACGGAAUGAGCUAAAGCCUAGUGGUAUACCACCCAAUAAGCAAUCAAAGUCAUAUAAGAUUGAACUUUCAUUUAAAGUGCACAAAUAAGCAAUGAAGCAAAAUGGUAAAAGGAUACGGUCGGCUCUCAAGAGCCCAUUUCCACGCUUGGAAUCUUGAUCCAACCUCAUUAACUCUCCGUCAAUGUUAAAAGUACCAAACCGUAGACCACCCUUUACUUCCAAUCCUUCCACCUAACAUACCCCAACCGGGCCCGCACUUCAUUUCAGUAGUUUUUGGUAAUACUCGAGUUUACCGGAACCAAGGGUCUCAUUACCACAAGGUUCCCCAGUACAGUCCCCGUGGCAAUUCAAUCUUCACGACCAAGCCCUCGCCGGCUCGAUCCAAUUGACUACCAAACGGGGUUGAGCUCAGUAAUGCAGUAAGGCCGUUGGACAUCGUCCAAACGACAUCAAUUCAGUUUCCAUGAAAUGGAAUUCACCAACCAAUAUAUCAAGUUCAGUAAUGCAAUAAAACGGUAGCCAUUCAGUGACAAUAUCAAAAGAGGUGAGGGCGGUCAAGUACAUCCUCACCUUAAUCAAUUCCAAUAUGCAAGUAAGCCUUCAAGGCAUCACAUAAACAUUUAGCAAAGCCACAUAGUAACCAUUUAGUGAGUAGUAUACUCACCAAGUGAGAAAGUGGUGUUUCAUACACCGUGGUCACCAAGACGUCGUGAGCUACCGUCACGCCCUAGAAUCACGCAACAAAUGCAAUGAGACUCGAUAACGAGUCAUAUAGCAAUGCUAAACACAACCCCAAUAGGGUUUCAUAUGCAUAAAUGUGCAUAAUAGCAAACCAGAAAUUAGAAAAUGGCCUUAGUCUUGGCCCCCAAAUAGAAAACUGUUUUACACUUAUUAUGCGGUAAUGGCGUCAAUUUCACUACGGUUAUCGGAUGGGGGUGUAAGACCUACCGUUUCGAAGCUAAGAAACAGGGCUACAAUAUUGUAGAAGGUCACUCAGUCCAGUUCCUAACAUAACUAGAUCAAAAAUGCCAAACACUAAACCAGAAUCACCAAAACAGGUUUGCAAAACGCAGAAAACUGUAAUCGAUAUAUCUCAGUCCAUACAAGUCCAAAUGCCGAAAUUCCAAAGGCAUAUGAUAGCUAAGACACUCAGCUACAUUUCAUCAGAAGACACCAACUUCAAAAUCCAAACCAAUUCCAGUCAAAAUAGCCAAUUACUAUCGCAGUUUUCGCAUUCUGUCCAAAGCAGAACAGCUACAGUAAUUUCGUCAUAACUCAUUCUACAUUCAUCCAAAUACCCUGAAAUUUUACAGGAACCUCAAACACAUCAAUACCUACAACUUUCAUGUUUUGAGCAAAGUCUAAUUCGGCCUAUAACCCAGUGAUCUAAAACCGGACAGAAUUGGGAUUUUAAGAACCCUAACUUUUCAAAUUUCCAACCAAAUCCAAAAUUGAUUGCAUUUGCCUAUCCAAUACACCUCAUAGAGUCAUUAUCAACCAUUACCAUUCAUCACACAAGGCCACAACAUUCAUUUCAUAUUAAACCAGAAAAAUUCCCAAUAAAAUAAAAACUUCACCAAAACUCUUCAAAUCAAGAAAUAAAUCAUAUAAUCCUUCACUCAUGCCACCAUUAAGCAUAAUAUAACCAUCAUUAGGUAUAGGGGAGAGGUUGAAGCAUCACUUACCAAGAAACAAGAGAGAGGAGGAUGUUGGACACCUUAAACCUUCAAACAAGCUUCACUAAAGCACUCACUAUCACUAAAAGGUAAAAUUUUAUGGAGCAAAAACUAAGUUAAACACUUGAUUUGGUGGAUUUGGACUUGUUAGAAGCUUGAAUGUUGAAGAGUUUUGUCUUCCUUGGAGCUUGAGAGGGCCGGCUAUGGUGGAGAGAAAAAUGAGGAAAUUUUAAUGAAUUUUGAAGAUAUUUAACCUUUGGUAAAAAAAGUCAAAAUUUGGAAUAGUAUUUCUUAAGUCAUAUCCAAUAGGGAAGUGACACUUGUCACUCUCAUUAAAUGCAUUCCUAUCUUUCUUUUCUCUCUCACAUCAAUCACUUCACACACUCUACUCAUCACUUAACACCCGAUAAAUUUUACACAGUAUCCGAAACUUAACCUUAUUGGCCGAAUUUUUCCGAACUUUUCGCACUAGUGGGUCCCACAUCCAAUAUAUCUUCUUAAUUUUCUAAAAAUUCACCAAUGCUAGAAAAAUCAUCUUAAAACUAUAAUUGCUCAUAAAAUCCACUAAGAAAAUAUUUCUAAGCCAGAAAAUGCAGAAAACAUGCAAUUAAGGGGAAAUAAACCCUAGGAUAAUAAUUAGGGUUUUACGGGUUCUCACAAAAACCACAACCAAUCAUGACUCCCAAAUAAUUCUAAGAUUCAGAUUUUCUUUUCUUGUUUCGAUAGUCAAGAGAAUUCCAGCAAAUUUCAAUCCAAGAUGUCCAUUAGAUCUCCAACUUUUACUUGCUAGAAACACUAAAUGUAUAGCUUAUAAUCUGUCCCAAACCAAGCUAAAAUAAAUAAUAUACAAAUCCAACAAAUAAACUCACUAAAAAUCCCAACCAAUUCAGCCAUGCUGGAAAAUAUUUUCCUUAAAAAAUUUGCUUUAGUUCAUGUUCCAAUACACCAGCUUUUCAAGUGUUACAAUCAAUAGGAUAAACAUGAAACUAGCACAAGAUGUUAUAAGACAUUUUACUUAGGAUUAUAGCCAAUUAUCAAGAACAUUUUCCAAAACAAUAUAAGAGUUUCAGCUUCUUUCUCAUUCGGCCAUUAACCAAGAUUUCCAGCAACAUGACUUCGACCUUUUACACUCCCAGCUUAUCAUGCAGAUGGUAAUUAUUAUGCUUACGAGGAAUCUUAAUCAACGACACAAAAUUUACAGCUUGUAACAUAUUUUUAGAACCCAAAAUUCGCAAAAGAAAACUGGAAAAUUCUUUUCUUCUUCACUCGGCUACACUGGAAAAAUUCCAGCAGUUUAGUCAUUCAUUAAUCCGGAUUUUCCUUGGCCAAAUCUCUGAAUUAUGUAUUCAAAGCUAACAUUCAUGACUAGUAAAUGAAGUUACUAUCAAUUCUAGUUCAAAAUAGGGUAGGUCACCAACAACAUUCAUCCAAAAUUCUAGAAUUUGCUCAACUAUUCACGGAUGACAUGCAUGCAGCAGAUUUUUAGUUUCAUUCAAAUUUCUGGUUUACACACAGCUAACUAAUCUCAUGCAGGUCUUAAUCAUCCAGCAUUUAGUUAGCUAAAAACACAACCAAGUGAGAAUCAAACACUUUCCAGCAAAUCUCAUACUAAAAUACCCAUACAACUCCCAAAACAACUUCAUCGGCUAAGCUGGAAAAUUGGUUUAGCAGUCCAACAACUUCCAAUAAAAAUUUCCAGCCAUUCAACCGAAUUUCUGGCCAUAAAGUUCACAUGCAAAACCAAAUAACAAGUUAUCUAUCAGAUUAGAUGAAAACCAACUUCGAAUGUCAUCAAAAUCACCAUCUUACCAGAAAUUCAUCCAAACUCUCUCUCGGUUAACAUGCAUGUAAACAGAUUCUAUAUUUCUUCACUUUUCUUGCUUAAACAAGGUUGAUUAACCUCAUGCAAAGCAUAAUCAUCUAGCUAUUAACUAACUAACCACACAACUAAGCUCAGAUCAUCACAAAGUGUCAAGUUAAAGCUGAAAUUUCCAGCUCAAACUCACGGCAUUUCCACUUCCUUUUCAAACAGAUUUUUCUGUGACUUAAACUAUCAUCUAACCACACAACCACCACAUGCAAGCCCCUAAUCAUCAUCAUCUACCCUUAAACAACUAGUCUAGUUCCAGAAAUUACCUCAGAUGGAGUACACACACACGGCUAGCAGCAGAAAUAAUUUUCCUCCCUUCGGCAGUCCAGAAAUUGCAGACCGCUAGCUCUCUCUCUCUCUCUCUUGCUCUGGCUUGCGGCUGAAUGAAGGAAAUCUGGUCUCAAGCUCUCCACCAGCUCACGGAUGAAAGACAGAAUGAAUCGCAAGUUUCUCUCUUCCCUCUCUAGUUUACGGACAGAAAGAAAAGAAACAAGAGGCUCGGCUCUUUCCCCCUUGCUCUCCACUCGCGGCUCCCGACUGAAAGGAAGAUGGAAUGGAGAUAUUGGGGUGAUUAGAACCGAUGAAAGAGAGUGUGUGGUAAUGUAAUGUAUAUAGGGUGAUGUGGUGAGUGGAGUUGGUCGGCAAUAGCAAAUGGAAAAUGCUGGAAUGAGAAGUGGGAAGUGGAACCGGCAGGAACUAGAAUUGUUUGGAAUGCUCCAUGGCUGCAUGGUGAAUUUGAAAUGGAUGAGGGCUGUUUUAGUCUUUUAGCAACUUGUUCAACCUUUCACUUAGGUCCCUCAUCCUAAACUAAUUCCAAAAUUUACCCCAAAUGUAAUUCGAAUGCCUACUAAUAUUUUACCCUUGCAAAAAUUAAAUUAUCAAGAUUCAACGUCCUAAAAAUAAUGAUAAGGGUUUUGAACCUAAGUCGUUAUUAACUUAGGUCUAAAUUAACGUUUACAUUUAACGUUAUUAACACUUAAAAUAACUAUCGAAAAGCAAAGAACCAAAAUCAAGGCAAUAACAUAACCUACAUAAAAAAAUAUUAAUUUAUCUUAGCAAAAUCAAAUAAUUCAAUAUAUUGCACAAUUGACUUAUUUACAGCUUUAAAAUUGUUUUUACACACUUGUUUAAGAACCAACAAUAAUAAAAUUUAUUAAAAGUCUAAAAUGCACAUGCAACACGUACAUGUAUGUAUAUAUGUAUAUUUAUAAUUUUAAGGUUCUCACAGAGAUUCACUCCAACCGACUUAUGCAGCCAAAGCAUAAUUAAUCAUUUAAACACAUCACAUAAAUAUGCAAUUCAAGUAUUUCAUAUCGAGUAAUUCAAGUAUUCAUUACUUAAAUAUGCAUGAGUGUGGUAAAUACUUAACAUGUUGCAUUUAACAAUAAAUGAUCAUGAAUUAAGCAUGUCAUAGACUUAUUCAAAUUACGUACUCCUAUAUGGAACACUUACCUAUUGCAACAAAAGAGUAAGUGCGUAUACAAUUCUUCAAUUGUUCCCCUCGAGAUCCUCUUGAAGGUCUCCUUGAGCAUCUGAGCAAACAAUAGUUGUCGAUUACACACCAUCGCUUAAAAUCCCUUACUUAUCGAAAAGGUUGUACUAGUGUUCAUUCUAAGGAGAAUUCAUGAAUUGAGCCUUAAUUAUUCAUAAUCGAAGCUCGGAAGUGGGGUUUUAAAAACAUGAGAGAAAUCUGAUUCUCGUCUUUGAAAUCAAGUGUAAAACGGUCUAGCAAUAUCAGAGUAAAAUGGAGAGUUUGAAACCCUCAAUUUCCUUUAAGUUCGGAAAUUUCAGAUUCGGCAAGCAAACUUUGAAAAAUCAGAUCUCACUCUCUAUGAGUCCAAAAUUGGAAAACUUGGUACCGUUGGAAAUUACUUCCAAGGUACUAAGAGUUUCUAGAAGAUACUUUUCCAUGAUUCCAAACGAAAGGUAUUCAAAAUUUGUCUCAAAAUUGCUGUUUUGGCUUGUGAGACAGUUUCGGGGUUGGUUUUUCGCCAACUUGGAAAAUUCGGCAAAAAUUCACAGAAUUGGAACUAGCCUCUCAAAUUUGAAACUCAACUAGAGUUGCAAUCAAAGUUUAAAAUGGAACAAGCGGAAUGAGAAUUGAAGUUUUGAGCACCAAGAUAUGGUAGCUCAAAGUUACCCAAAUUUCUUUAUUAAACAAGGAUUUUCCAAAAUCAAGUCAUGAACUUUGGAAGUUUAGUUGAGCAGUGAAACGGACUCGGAAUGGCACCAAAAUUAGCAGUAUAAUAGUAUUUCUCUGCCAAAUUUCAUGGAUAAAUAUGCAAGGGAAGUUGGUUAACCAAAUCACCAAAAUUCCAAAAUUUCCAAGGCAAAUCUGCCUUGCGAGUUUCGUUUUCCGUUUUCAAAACGUUUGGCUUACAAAGUACCUCAAACAUGGUCCAUUUGCAUAGACAAUGUCUAAGAGGUAUCCAAAACACAAUUUUUGGUGAUUAACACCAAGAAUCUCAAAUUAACAAGUUUCAAUCGAGUUUAGUAACAAUUCUGCCCAAAAGGAGAGUUUUCCUUCAAGAAGUCAGUUUCGAAAUACGGCCACAAAUCACUCAAUUCAACUUGGAAUUGGACGUGGUUGGUGGUGUUGGAAAACACUUUCAUAAAUCUACAAUUUCUCAGAAGAAACCAUUUUCAAAAUCUGUGACGCCCCGAAAAAAAAUGAGUUUGAGAACCCGGAAAUUUUCUAAUUUUCUAGGGUUUAUUUUUUUGAUCGCCCGCCUUUUCGACAUUCUCUUUAUUAGAAAAUUCUCCAGAUAAUUUUUAUGAGUAAAUAUAGUUUUUAAAUUAUUUUUCUAGUAGCGGUUAGUUUUUGAGAAAUUAAGAGCGUAUAUCGGACGUGGGACCCGCUAGUGCGGCAAAUGUAAUAUAUUUUUGAUAACUUGUUGGAGUUUUGUACUAAGUGAUAUUUUUCUACAAGGUGUUAAGAGAUAUUUAUGGAUUGGUAUGAGAGAGACAAAAAAAAGAUAAGUUUUAAACCAAAAGGUGACAUGUGUCACCUUCUUAUUCAAAGUUGGACCUUGACUUUGACUUGGACUUGUCUUAACCUUUACUAAACCAAAUUUUGACCCAAUUUCUUUCCAUUUUAUUGUCUUGGCCGACUCUCUCUCUCUCCAAGAAAAGAAAAGAAAGCUCUCAACUUGUUUCUUCAAUUUCUUGCUCAAAUCUAGCAAAUCAACCGUUUAAACUUCCAAUUUCUCCAUAAAAACCCUUAGUUUAGUGGUUGUGAGGUUGGUUGUGAAGUGGUUUGGAAGAAAAUGGUGCUAAGUUGCUUCGUUUCUUGAGGUUUCAAGGUGAGUGGCUUAUGAAUUCCUUCUUUGGUCUUGCUAAUGUCAAAUUAAUGGUUUGUAUUGGUUAAAGAUGUGAUUUUAUGGAAGAUUAGCACUUGAAUGCAUGAAAUUUCCAGGUUAGGGUUUCACACAAGCCUGUUCUGUCCGAAUUUAUUUCAGCAUGUUAGAGGCCAAAUUGGCAUUAGCACAAAACAUGAAAGCUGUUGAGAAUCAUGUUUUCUAGUCUCCUGGAAAUUUUCAGCCCAAUCAGAGCUUGGUAGCUUGAGAUAAGACGGAAAUGCCCAGACUGGUCCAGGAAAGGGUUCUGCGAACAGGGUUGCCUUUUUACCCAGUUUGACUGUGACUUUUCACCGUGAUUCUUACUGAAUUAGAUUUUAGCCAAAACAUGAGAGUUGUAGCUAAGGCUAUAAACUAGGUUCCUGUAAAUUUUCAGCUUGAUCCGACCACUGUAGCAUGUGAAAUGACCGAAAUACCCUUGACUGUUUUCGAAACCUGUUUCGCGCCCAGAUUUCUGUUUUCGUGUAGUCUUCCAUUUUCGACCAUGAAAAUGCACGGUUUGGCCUUUGAGGUCUUCUGAUGAAAUGUAGCUUGAUGUCUUAGCUACCAUAUGCCUUUGGAAUUUCUAGAUUUGGACUUGUACAGCCUGAGUUAUGAUGUUUCCGCUAGAAUGCGUUUUGGUGAAUCUGUUUUACGUUUUCGAUAGAGUAUCUUGCAUUUUUGACCUAUUUGCACUCAAAACUGGGUUGAGUGACCUUCUGUAAUGUUGUAGCCCUGUCUUUUAGCUUCGAAACGGUGUAUCUUACACCUCCAUCCGAUAAUCGUAGUGCCAAUGGUGCCAAAAUCACUAAAGGACAUCAAAUCUGUUUUGGGUUUUAGGGCUUGGAUUCGGACAAGAUAAUGGUUUAUGACGGAUGGGUUCUGAGCCGUGCAGGUGAGUGACCUCAAACUACUUCUAAAGUUAUUUAUGAACCGUUUCUUACAUUAUUUACUUUUGAACUGUUUCCAAAGUUACUUUUGAAAUGUUUUCUUGCAUAUCAUGCGUGCUGGCAUGUGAGUGUGCCUUGUUUGCUAUAUUUCUUGACUUCAUGACUUGUAGUUUGGUUGAUAACGUGUUAAGCGCUUAUAAUGAUUUCCAAAACGAGUUUUCGAGGUGAGUGUGUACUUUAUCGCACUCGACCUCGAUAAAUGUGAAAUUUUCGAUUGAAAUGUUACUUGCGCAUGAAUGUAAGCCUUUUGGGCUGAACUGGCCAUUGCCCCUUGUUACCUGGUCGUCUUGAGCCAGAAGCGGACUCGGUCAGGCGAUUAGGAACUUGGGUGAACGUUUGGUAUACUCGAGUAUUACCUAUGUAGGUUGGUGGAGCCUGGCCAAAAGCCAGGGACGGGGUGAAUGAAAUGAAAUGAAUGACCAAAUGAGCGAGGAAAUGUCAGGAGAAUGAAUGUAUCCUUUCAUGAAUGUUACUAUUGCUUUCCAUUGUAAAUGUUUCUUGAAUUAUUGAUAAUCCAUAUUUACUGUUUUGCAAAUGUUGUAGUUGUUUCCGGAUUUAUCAUUUGAUUUAUGACAUCAUUGCUAUAUGACAUCAUUGAAAUGAACUAUCGUGAAACCGAUUUGAUUAAUGAUUUUCUGGUUACUCGCUGAGCUUUUAGCUCACCCCAAAAACUAUUUUAUUCCCCUCCACAGGGCUCGUGGCGAAAAAAGGACUUGUUGUGCUGAUUCACGUGAAUGGAUGGCCUAUGUCGCGCCCCAUUUUUUGAUAAAUAAAUAAAUGGUUUAAAAAUGUAUUUUUUGAUUCAAUUUGUGAUUUGGAAAAUGAAUUGUGAUUUAAAAGGAAAAUGGGCCUAAAUGGGGGUUUUGAGAGUGCGACGAUUUGACCCAAAAAUUAUGGUUUAAAAAGGGUUUUUGAAAUAAAAAACGGAGUCGCCAUUUGGUAAUGAGUUAAGGUGUACCAAGUCACCUAAAAAUGAAUUUUUUAAAGGAAAAAAUGGGAAAGAGUAGUAAGAAACCCCUUUUAAACGACUCCUAGUCCACGUAAACCAAAAAAAAGGUUCGGGAGUCACAUUUGACAAAGGGGAAGGCAAGGAUACAAUCCAAGGCACCCCUUUGACCUAGCCAAGGCUAGUUGCGUGAUUUAAUCAAAGAUUUUCUUGUUUUAACCAAAGAAUUUAUUACAUUUGGAUGUGCUACAUGAAAUGCAAAACCCUAGAUUCUAAGAUGUCUCUUGUAAGGUUUUGGUCCCAACCACAUGAAUUGUGGCGGCCAAUAAAGGAAAACCUUAUAGAGGUCGAUUAAUGCAAAUGAUGGCUAAAGUGCAAGUGUGCAAGUGUACAAAAAGGUGCACGUGUGAAAUUGUAUGAAAAAUCCAAGUGUUUGUGUGCAAGUGUAUGAAAGGGUGCAUGUGUGAAAUUGUAUGAAAAAUCCAAGUGUUUGUGUGCAAGUGUAUGAAAUAUAGUGAUAAUUGCAUAUAGGUGUAAUUAAGUGCAAUUUUGUGAAGUAGAAAUCAAAAUGAACAAUAAGGAAAGGAAAAGUGAUGAGGAAAUGUGAAUUGAAAAAAAUGAGUAAGUGAUAAAUGAGAAUGAAUGAACCUAAAGGAAUGCAAAAUUGCAAAAUUUAUAUACACGUUGUGAGUUCCCAACAAACAAGUAGAUGGUUCACAGUCUCCACGUUAUUUUGAGGUAGUCACCACUUCAGAUGCUUUUGCUAAAAGCAUGCCAAAGCAAAGAAUAACUGCACCUUUUUGGUGUGUGAGUUCUUGGCAUCCUGUUGAAGAGAAAUUACAUUUUGACUAGAGAGAUGCUUUCAAAGGAUGGCCAAAGAAGGAUUUAACAGAAAAAAUGACAAUGACGCUUUAAACUUAAUUAAUAAUAUCACUUCCAUCACAGUUCUUUAUAAAUUCCUAAAAAAUGUUGAGUUCAUUUGCAUGUCAGACCACUGUUGUUUCUCCUCGUGCUUCCAGCCAUAACUCCGGUAGCCUGGCAAUUCUAAACAAUUAGGUGAUUCCCUUUUAGAGGUUCUAGCACCAUUUGAUACCUCCUAAUAUCUAGUAUUUAUUCCAAUUGCCUCCAGCACAAAAAGUUUAUCUAUGUUGCCAUUCCUCUCUGCAGCCUCAGUAGAACUGCAUAACUCCUCAAUGCUAUGCUUGCUGCUCAUUGUUUCUUUCCAAAAUGAAUGUCUACUUAACCAUUUCUUCUAUGAAUGCCUGAUGAAGUCCUUUAAACUUCUCACAGUGAUGCAUCUGUCAUGUACUAGCAUACCGUAUUACUUUUAGUGAAAAUGGCACUUUCUUUUUAUUGUCUCUUGUUCUGUUCCCAUUGCAACUAUUUUCCUUUGUUUUCUUGUCAGCAUGGAUGUAGGGCUUGGUCCUCCUUUACAUGUUACGUUGAAUUUCCUUAAAAUAAACAUCCAUUACUUUUUCUCUUUUUCUUUUUGGUUGCUGAAAUAACACUUCCAAGAUACCUUCCAAAAAAUUUUUUUCCUAAUAGUUUUGUUAGAAUUUGACUUGCUGCAUAACAUGUCCUGAGAAAAUGAGCUGUACUUAGAAGUGUAGUUUGGCACCAUAUUAAGCAUCUAUAGGACUGUCUCUGUAUUUCAUUGAAUGUUGUUGUUUAAAGACUCUGUUUAACUUAACUGGGGUCAGCUGCUAUGGGGCAAUACCCACUUCUGCCUUUCCUGCAAGACGUUUUAUAUGGUGCUUUAUUGCGUAAACAGUGGCAAAGCAAUCGUCUAAGACAAAAUUUCUCACUCCUUGAAGGUGCAUCCUGCCACAAAUUCAACUUCUGAACUUUGAGGUUGCCCCUGUGCUGGACUUACUAGUGAGGUCAACUGAAGAAGAUUGCAUCGUUGAACUGUUGUCCUGCAAGGUAAUAUUAAUUUGAAGAUAAGGAUCUCACAAGAGUGAAAAGAUUAGGCUUACUUGGAAUACACAAAAUCCAAUUGGAUGAAUAUGUUUGUGGAACUGAGAAAACAUGUUUAUGAUAUUGGCAAUAAGACUUCCUUUUCAGAAUGUAAACAGUACAUGGAUGUCUAGCUAACAUUUCUUAAAUUAGCAUAUUUGUGUGAAUCCUGCUCCAUUGAUGUAGCUGAAUUUUUUGCUUUCUUUUUUUAAUUAGAAUGUAACAUCUUUUUUUUCACAAUUAAUUCCAAAAAUAUUCUUCGGGGAAUUGCUACUGAAAACUAGUUAAGCUGUAGAACAUCUUUUGUAUAAGUUGUUGCACUAAAGCCAAGAGGUUAGUGACAAGGUGGUCUUCGGUGCUCCUCUUUUGAGAAAAAUGUUGGUAAAGCCUGUUCAAGGUGUAUUCCUUUCUGUACAUCAAGGUGACAUCUUUUUGUGGUUUUUGAAACAGGAUUUAAGUUUGAGUCACGACAAAUUUUGAUCUCUACUCUUUCUGAAUGAGAAAGAUGCAUGUUUCAUCUAUAGUUUACUUACUCUUAAAUUUUGUUUUAUUCACUGUUCUGUUGAAUUCACAAAAUAUUGGAACAGAAGAGUCAAAUUGAAGACUAUUUUGCUGCAGCCUAAGAUAAGUUGUAGUUGUGACCAAGAUAGGUAUUGAAGAUAGACUCAAAACAUCUCCAAGUAGACUGUUCCAUUGGUUGAGUUCUUUUAUGCUUUUUCAAGGAACAUGCUUUGGAAUGUGUAAUCUUACUCUUAGGGAGCUAAAUGAGUGCUAAAGUUACAUGCCUCUGAACUCUCUGUCUGCUUUAUCUCGUGCUUGUCAUUAAGCACUCUCACACUGAAGUCAUUCAUUUUUUAUCAAGUCAUUGCUGGACGGUCUGAAAAUUUAAACUCCAAAUGGAGUUUAAGUAGCAUAAACUAUACCUAAUAGCUAGAGCCAAAGCAAACAAACAGUUACUUUCAGCAGAUUGUUUAAAGAAUCUAAAACAAUAUCUUAAAAUUUAUUAAGUGCAAAGUUAGAGAUCUUUCCUUUUUCUUGUGCACACGUUAAAAUCUUUUUUCCUGUAAAUGAAGAAAUCUAACCUAAGAUUUUCGUAUCUCUCCAUGUUCUCUUCUGUCUUAUCAGAACAUCUCAUAAUUUACUACAUCUUUUUACUAUUCUAAAUGUCCCAUGUGUAUAUUUAUCACUUCCCAGAACAGCAUAUGUUGGUAAACAUUCUAAUAUCAUGCUUGCAGACAUUGAACUUUGAGUAUCUUUGGUCUUACAUGCAUAGUUUAUUCAAUUUUAGUCAUUGACAUACACUUAAUACUAAUUGCAGUUUGAAGGCUCAGAACUUUUGGAGAGGCAGAAUGAUCGCUUUUCAGGUAUCUUUGACUAUCAGUUGAAGUCCAAUUGUCUCAUGCUUAUUUGGCUCAAAAUUAGGUAAACCAACAAAUUAUGUAGCCCUAGUAAGAGAAGCAUGAUAUUCAUGUUAGCUACACUCACUGAGAUGUUACAACAUGUGAUUUGAAAUGCUUUUCUGAAUCAAUAAUGUUCAAGCAUUUUAGGCACAACUUGUUGUUUGGCUUGUUUGAUAUUCUUCCAGUAAUAUGAACGCAAUUAAUCUACUAAUUUACUGCACCAAAGUGAUCUUUGAUGCUUAUAUCAUAUAUGCCUGCAAUGGAUAAAUUCCGUUUUUUUUAAAGGAAAUUUUUAUAUUUAAAUAAGAAAGGUGCCUAAACAAUUUUUACUUUUGUUUGUUGUAACUUGCAGCAUCUAUGAGAAAUCACAUAACCUGGGAAACAGUGGAUUCCAAAUCCUUUCUGGAUGUUGAUGUGAAGUUGAAUAUCUCUCUUGAGGUCACUUCUCCUCCUCAACAUCUUUUAAAGUCUUGGAUAAAUGCUAUAAUGUGUUCAUGUUUUUUGAGUUACCUAUUGUUGCCUUAACUGUAUUGCCAAUUGAAAAGGACGCACAAUUUUAGUGUGUCAUGCCAGAAAGUUUUAAUCGCUACUUUAAAUGACAGAUUUUAGUCAGAGGAUCAUAUCUAGGAAUGAAAGAAUAGGUAGCACUGACCUAAAAGUAUCCUUCAAGACUUUCCUGGAAGGCACCAACCCUGGCUUGUGGUGGUUGUGACGUAAAAAGGUCAAUCUAAUACAUUGGGUACUUUGAAGCAUUGAAAUUGUAAUUAAUUGGAAUUUUAAAUGACUUGUAAGUGGAAUGCUUUCUUUUUUGGCUUAUCAUUUUCAAAAUCCUCUUAAUUGAUAAGAUGUGGCCUAUGACUAUUGACUAAAGAUAGUCUUCCAUUAGUAUAAUUAUGGACAAGGCAAUGUCUGUAGUCACAGAUUUGGUCUAUUUGACCCAUUAAUUUUCUUAUGUUGAAGAAAUAUUAGUGUCCUGGGAGUUUCAUUUCAAAGACUUAGGUCAUACAAAUUCUUAUUGCCUCUUUUAGAACUGAAAAGAAAAAAAAAAAGAAUUGUAGUACCUUAAAUAUAUGAUGAAGUGUUUUUAUACAAGAAAAAUUUCUCUGUGAGCUUUGUCUUGCUCCAGCUUAUGUCCUUUUCAGUGGCCAAAACACUGUCUGGGCUAAGCUGAAUCAAAGGCUGAAAUUUAACUGUAGCUGGUGCUACUCAUAUUUAGCAAUUCUGAUAUCUGUCAUACUAGUUAACUUGUUGUGUUGUUCAUAUCUUUAUAGUUGCUUUACUUCUUUAUACUUUGUCUCUGGUUUAGGGCACAUUUGGUUUUGAUCUCUGGUCAAUAAAGAACUAACUACGUGGAAUUCACUUUCCAUAUUGACUUUAUUUACUUUUCCACCCUCUUCCCAAGAAAGGAGAGGGAGAACAUGUGGAAUUUUUGGUUUAUUAGCCCAUAUUUAUAUCAGUAAAUAAGUGGAAGCUCCUGAGUCACUGUGUACGUGUCAUGUAACUUUUUGUGCAUUUAGUCAAGAUGUGCUACUGUAUUAAGCCUGUACAUGGAUAGUGAUUCUACGGCUGGAUCACACAUGUUAUGAAGUUUCUCUCUAAUUCUACUGGAUGAAAUGACAAACUUUGGUUCGAGCCUUUUUAAGUUUAGUAGAAAUGACUGGCCACUUUACUAUUGUCAUGUUUUAAGCAACUUCUUUUUUGGCUCUUUUGUUGAUGACAUUCGAUGGAGUUGAAGAAUAAUCGGCAUUUGUAUCCCAAGAGUGCAACUGACAAACUGCCAUUUUAAUGCAGAUCUAUACUUACCCAUUCAUAUUGCUUCCAGAAUCAACUGUUGAGGGUCCAGGAAAUUUGUAAGCACCAAUCUAAUAUACUUUAUUGACAUCAUGGAUAUGAAAUUCUAAAUUUGAGCGAGGGGAGGAAAUUUGUUAGUUUUGCAUUGGGAAGGGGUUGUUGGUGGGAACUGGAGUAGUUCAUCCUACAACUGUUCUUUUUGCGAAGUUCUCCACUUUCAUCUGAAGUGUCACUCACUGUCAAUGAGCUUCACAUUCUUGUGAUGAACUAUUCGAUUGUGCAUGCUAUGUGCUUGGUUUUCCUUCAUCCAAGAAUCCACAAUUCUUUGCAAAUGUUACUAAUGUUAUCCUUGAAAAUUGUUUGCUUGAUAGAAUGACUAAGAACUUGCAUUGGACUACGUUACAACAAGAUCAAAUGUUUUAGUGAAAUAUUUGUAUCUACCUUAUGUUAUAGCAUCUACUUGACAUCUCUGGUAAAUUGUUGUAACGUACUAAAAUUUUGUAUUGUUCAUUCAUUUAUAAACUAUUAUGACAUUGUUAUUAAACUUCUCUUGGACAUCAACCUUUCAAAAGGCCAGAGCCAAAGGGCCACUACUUGAAAGCCUGAUCAAAUGGUGCACUUAAUUUUGUAGAAGUAAUAUUAACUUAUAAACAAGUAAUACUGUGUAAAUGUUUUUUUACUUCUUUACAAGCAAUAUUGCAAUAUUUUGUUAAUUUUAAAGCAUGAUUAUUUGUGCUGUCUCUGCCUUAUGAUUUCAUCUGUCAACGGAAUUUCUUUAGGUUUGCCAACCUCACAAAGUAUCUCUGCUUGACUAUGUCAGUAGAGACAAAGAAUUUUGCUUUAAAUUGUAGUCCCUCGUAUUGCGUUUCUCUAGUUUUGGGCACAUGGAAACUUUGUUCUCAACUACCAAAGACAGCUUUAUUUGCACAUAAGCCUAAAAUUAAAUUGUAUGGCAUGCAGAAUGAUGCAAGCCCUAGUGGACAGACUAGUACCGUUGCAUGUACAACAACUGCUGCAAGAUUAUGAUAAAUGGGUUCGUAGGCAACAGAAGGUCUUGCAAUGAAAAGUGGUCUCCAGAGUUCAUUCUCAGACCUAAUUGGAGGUUCGCUCAAAUCUGCACUUUUGGGUAUAAUAAUUUUAUUAAUUUUCUUUUGGGCCAAGCAUGAGAAUAGUACAAAAAGCAUUAGCAUAUGAGCAUGUCAUUUCUAGAAGUGACUUUUGAGUAAUAUUUUCACUCAAGAAAUUUGAUAAUAGUACAGAAGAACUUUGAAAAUGCAUAGAAAUAGAGAAUCAACUGAGUUCCAUAUUGAAUUCGUACUACUUUAAAGGUUGGUCUCUUAGCACUUUUCUGAAUAACUAAUGUUUUCUCUGUCAUGCAACUUGAACAUUUUUGUAUCCAUUGCAAAGCAAUGAGAUUAGAUAUGGACACCAAUUUGAGACCUGUAAAGUUAAUUCUUUGUCAGGCUUAUCCAUUUAUAUGCUUUGAUAGUGUACCAUGUUAUUGAAUGACAAUAACUAAAGGCACCAUAUUAGGGUUCUGAGCUAAAUAUGCUUGUCGAGUGUAUUAAUAUGUGCAGAUUUACAUUUCUUUUUUACCAAAGAAUACUGUCUGGUUUCGUCCAAGAGUAGCAUUUGACUCCUUUAGUCACCUACUGCUUCCUGUUGUUCUUUUUGUAGUAGCACCUUGCGGAAUAUUAUCCCACAGCAGCUGCAUAACUAUUCAUUGGGCACCUUUAACAAGGCUAGAUAUUCUAUUUUCGUCUUUGCAGCGUAUAGCAACAUUUCAGUUUCCCUUACUGUGGCUUCCUUUUCUACUCCCAGAAGAUUAGGCAGAUUUACAAUAAGUUAAACCAGCACAAAGCUCAGCAUCAUCUGAACACAUAUCCCAUUCAGACUCCUAUAUGGCAGGGCCCUUGGAUAUGUGCAGAUAUCUACACAACAGCCUUCGGGAAGUGUUUCAUCAAGUCAGUGACGUCUGUGUCACUUGUAGAUGUGAAAAAUGUACUUUGCUGCAUUAUGAUGUAUUAAUAACUUUUGAAGAGCAACCCCUUUGGAAGUUGGAAGUAUAGACCAGCAGGGUCCCUGGCAUUUGAGACUCUUAUCUUGAACUCGUGACUAUUUGUGAUCUCAUCAUUGGUAUAAUUCUUCAUUCCUUUUCCUUGUUAAUGCAAUAAUUUAUGAGUGUUUGGAUCAGUAUUGUUAAAGGAUUUUGGUAAAUGUUAAUUGCCUUUAAGGGAAUACUUGAGGAUUAUAGCAUUGUUAAAAGCUACUGCUUAGAUGUCCAAAAGGAAUUGGAAGGAAAGAUAGGUAGCUUAGAAUAUCUUAUGAGGUCGAAUUCAUAACGUGGCACUUGAACUCUCUGUCUUUGUAGAAAGAAAAAUAAAUGAGAAGAAGAACUCUGCAAUAAUGAAUUGGAGGGAAUCAACUUAUGUUUGUCAUAUUAUUUAGCAUGUCUCUUCUCCGACUACAGUUCUUAGCAAUAGUAGGCUUCUAACAAAAAAAGGGGGUAAAAUGAUACAUCGAAUUCAACUAAUAUAGGGGAAAUGUGGAACAUGAAUACACAGGGAAAUCUUUGGUGUGAGCUUAGUACAACAGAAGAUUCCAAACAUCAUCAUAGAGAAUAAAACAAAGUAUGAAGAAGGAAGAACCUAUACAAAUACAGUUACAGCGCAACAGUUAGAAGAUAUAGUUUGGAUUGCGAGUUUUCUAGAAAAAAGUUUUUUAGAAUAUUCUCUCGACACAAUUUUUCAUUACAUUUUAGCUCGUAUACAUCACGUCAUUAUAUAUAUUUUUGUAUAAUAAACUCCUAAAAACUCCAAUCCAAACAGGAUUGAUCAUCGUUGCUUCAAACAUUUUCUAAACACUUUUAGCAAGAAUUGCUGUUCUUUUUUUCGAAACAAUCUUAUAUGUGUAGUAGUGAGCACUUGCCUAAAUGUAAUUUAAAAAUUUCAGGAUCAAGUUACUUAUCCAGUAUUGCUAAGAAGAAAAGAACAGCAAGUCCUUCAUCCAGUCACCAAAAAGCACAUAAAAACCCAAACUUUUAAUUCUAUAGAAUCUUUUAAAGAAAUGCAGUUUCUCAUAUAUGUGCCACUUUUCAAAUGGUCACAUUAAAGUCACCGAAUAAAUGGCUAAAUGGUAUUCUGGAAGUUCUCUAUGUAUUCCACUUUUUCCAAGUCUAAUCUAUGCUACUAAUGAAAUCACUGAUCUGUCUAAAGAAAUGAAAUUUACUAAAUGAGUAGGAUGCGGGUCAUGUUAGUCUUGGAGCUUUUGGUGAUUUAAAAACAUAGCAGGAAGAAGAAGAACAAGAAACUUGCUUCAGAUGAGUAUUCCAGCAGCACAAGGAAACAAUAGCUUUAUGAAUUUUGUGCAUGUUAAUCUGAUUGUAAUAUCACUCGAGUCAACUAAAGUACUUAUAAAAAGGUUACAUGAACCUGUAACAAGAAUCAACAACGAAAGGGAACUCAGAGCUAAAUACUAGUAGUUUUUAAUCUAGUUGGAAGAAGUUUUCUGUUUCUGCAAUCAACAAGCAUAAAAAAAAUGAAGAAACUUAUUUGAGAUAAAUAUUUAAGCACAAGGAAAAUUUUGUGUGCCGCGUUAAUCCGAUUGUAAUGUCACUCAAGUCAAAUAGAAUUCUUUUAAUAAGGUUACAUGAACCUGUAGCAAGAAUCAGCAGCAAAGGGAACGCAGAACAGGAUGCUAGAAAUAGACAAGUUAUACACCUAGUUGGAAGAAGUUUCCAUUUCUACGAUCAGUUAACAAUGCUCAUUAUUAGAUGACAUCUUCUCCUGCUGCAAAUAAAAUCAAGUAUAUUUACAACUUCUUCAGAUGCAUUUCUUAAACGAGAACUAUGCCACAGUUGACUAAAUAUCCAUUAAAAAAAAUGCAAAAGGAUGCGGCCCUCCACCUGCUGGUUAAUCAACCAGCAUCCACAAAGUAGGAAAGCAGGUAGAAUCACAAAAAAUGGCAGGUAGACCAAUCUUAGUUCUGUACACCAAUAUAGAAACAUCAGCUGCAAAUGCGAUAUAAGUAAUUGGGAACAAAUGAUACCACUUUUGUACAGGAUGGGUGUCUGGUCAUAAGCUGAGCUUUCGAACAAGCUAUCCUUGAUUAAGAUGUGAUCGAGAUACUUGAGUAUCCUCUGUGAUAGCUCGAUAUGCUAAAUCAAACUACUCUUUCUUUCAGUAAUUUCAAAUGUGAUUACGCACCAGAAAAUGCAAAAUCAUCUUAUUCGUGACAAUCUUUUCCUUUUCCUAUUCCUUUUACGUGCUGCAGCAUCAUUCUUAGAACUUGAAGGCAGAGCAAGAGUAGUCAAUGGCUUGCCACAUGACGUUCUGCCUUUCUUGGUAGUCCAUCUCAACGGCAUGUUGUUUACAACGGUACUAAUAUCAUCAGAACUGUUAAGCUCAACAAGCUUCUGAAUUUGAUCAAGCAUCUGGUGUGCCCAGGCUGUUGACAAAUCUAGCGCAAUUGAAUCAUCCAAUGGUUUCUCUUGUAGGCUCAUUAAGAUGUCUUGAAAUGACUGAAAUGAUAAGGUUGGUUGGUAGGAGCGAAGGUUCUCACAGAUCAUGUUGACCUUAAUAACAUGCUUGCAUAGGUUUCCCUGCAUUGACCACUCACAAUCACAAAGAGAGAAUUCAGAUCCAGGAUUCCACACUAUUCGUGUUCUUGUGCUUUCUCUUUGGCUCAAAACCUUUGCAAAAGGAUGGUCUUUAUCAUCCAAGGUAACAGCAGUAUCAGGAAUUUGCAAUGCCCGAUGCCAUGAUGUAGAAGCAAGAUACUCCUCUUUGACAUUUUGAAACGAAUCACUCUCAUCUGCAAAUCGAUCAAGCCAAUAGGAAGAAUGCAGCUCCGUUGUCAACUUGUGCACCAACCAAUCAACUCUCUGAAAUGCACCAAGAUGUGAAUCAUCGUAAAGUUUAACUUUCAGCUUCACAUGAUAUGCUUCAAUUGCACCAGAGGACUCCUGGCUUGCUAGCGGAAGAGUUCUCAUACUGGUAAGCCACAUUUCUAUUCCAAACAUACAAAUAGAUUAACAAAAAUCACCGAAACAUAUAAGAGAAAACAAACAAGGGAAAGUUAUCCAACCCAUCUUUGGGAGCCAAGUAGCUCUGAAGUAAUUUAGAAGGCAGUUUGAUCAACAAAAUCUUGAGUAAAUUUUUCCAAAGGAACCAUGUAAUCAACUUCACCCCAAAUGCUGUAGACAAUUUCCCCCAGCCGUUUAAAUAUCUCCCGCUGGACUUCAAUGUUAUUGCAUUUCUUCAAAAUAUUCCGCAGCCAUGAUCUGCGAAUACGCCACAGCGAAAAUAGGACAGGGCAAGAAAAAAUCUCCCUGAAAUCCAACAAUAAACAUAAGCACCCUGUUCAGACCAGCAAUAUAUACACUAAACAGAAAGGCAAGCAAAGCAAAGAAUUCUGCCUUAUUGGAUCAAUCUCUGCUGCUGCGUCAUCAACCAAAAACGCAUUGACCUUCCAUCCUAAAUCAACUGUAUGAACUCGAUCAACUAGAGCUUUCAUCCAUUUAGCCACAUCUGAUUUAACUACACUACACGUGUAAUUACCCAUGCAACUGGAAGUGCAUGUUGCCGGGAAUCAAACACAAGCAGCGUGCACAAGGGAUACUGCAUUUCAUAUAACAAUCAUAAAUCAAAUGAGCUUUCAUUUCGGACCAUUCACACAAAUAGAAUAUAUUACCUUCAGUUUCUUUAUCCCAAAUGUUGAAUCUGCUGCAACAAUGCUGCGGUGCCCAAACCUAAUCAUUUGUUGUAAUUGCCACUCAGUUUGGAUCCCCAAAAUGAAAGGAUCUGUUUCUGAUGUGUCCUGAUAAAAGAAAACAGAUUUUUUGUUGCGUUCAACCCACAAUUUAACACUAGCUUGGUCAUCUAGAUCCAAUUCAUGAGUGGAACGCUUGAUUAUCAGGCCAAGUUUGUGAACAUAUUGAGAAGCAAGGCUGUUAACUUUUGCAUUAGAACCACAGUAGCGCUGAAUGCCCUCUAUGUGCUUCUCUAGUACAUUUUCCUCGGGAAUACCAAGAUAGAUCAUAGACAUAGUCUGCUGUUGAAUCUCAUUGCAUAUAUAUGGGAUUUUCUUGGCACCAGGACCAAUAGCAUCUCGGUCAAGUGGGCCAUGACAGAUAGAGCCAGACUUGUUUACAUGUCGCCUAUUGUUAUAUAUGAGAAGUGCAAGAGAUGGACGGGCAUAGAGGCGCUUUACUACAAAAUGGCACGUACAACCCCUCAUGGAUUGGGGUCUAGCAGCACGGUUUCGAGUGUUGAGCCGAUAUCUGCGACUAGGUAAUAUACCCCACCUUCCCCAUAGUUUUCUGGUCCAAAAGAACACAAUACCUACAGAAAACAUGUAUCAUGAUGAUUGAUAGUCCCCAUCCUUCUUUUCUUCCCCUUUCAAGUGUAACCUUUCCAUGUAUUUGCUUUUACCUUUUAUUAGACCUUAAAAUUCUUAAGGGAGCUGGAGGGUUAAGGAAAGAAAGGCAAAAGCAUAAAUCCAGAGUGAACCAAAAAUGGCAGCUUUAAAAGUAUAACAUUCAUUAAAUCUUGUAAAGCUUAUGCAGCCAGGAUGCAAGCGAGCCACAAUCAAGUGUUUCCCAUUUUCCAAAUAAAGAAAAUUGCUUAGUUAAGCAUAAUUUAAAACAUUGUUGACAAUAAAAUAUAAAGAAUUCCAGAUAGACAAUACAACAAGAUUGCUAUGGAUGACAAUAAUUCACCUUACUAGCUUAGCAAUGACCAAAGGCAAAAAAGCGGUUAAACACAUUGUUUAACCUUUAAACUAUGUUUCUGAACAAAGCUUUGCACUAAGAUCUAUAGAUCAUCUAAUCUGCUUGUACCAUGACCAUAAUCACAAAAGAGGUUAAGACAUGUUUUUCAACCUUUAUACUCUUUUCCUGAACAAAACACUGCACUAAGAUCUAUAGAUCAUCUAAUCCAGGCUAAGAUGAUGUUGUUUCGUGUUCUGGAAAAAAUUAUCAGGUACAGGAAUACAAUAGUGCAACUUCAUCAUUCAGCUAGAAAGAAUCAAGAUCGUGAGAGAACUAAAAACCUUACAGCCUAUACUCCAGAUAUUCGUCAUCUUUGUACUCCUGUAAACUGCUCUGCCUCGUUUGCGACCCCUCUCAAUGUGAAACCGAGUUGGGCAUUCUGCAUUCAGGCAUUCUCCAAUAAUAAAUGCAUCGACUCGGGCAUAAGGGAUAAGCGCUACAUCAUCAUGACGUUCUAUAGUUCCAAACUUGGUCCAAUCUAAAUCAGCUGCCGAAAAUUCUUCCGCAGGAGGACUUUGCACAGGAAUGUCGAAAAUGGAUUCAACUAUUUCCAUUUGUUAUCUGGAUAUGUCUCUAACUCAGCAUUUGCCACCAAUUACUUGCUGCAAUUUUCAAAUAUAAAAAUCCUAAACUAUUAAUCCCUCCACAAAAUUGCAUUGGAAAAAAAAAACAUUUUCAUACUACAAUCCCAUAAUCAAACUUCCAUGAAAAAGGGACAAUGGUUUGUUUACAACAUAGCAAGGAUUGUUCAUUGAUAUGUAACUACUACCACAUUUUGAUGUUAUUUCAGAAUUUUGCUCAUUUACAAAGCCUUUCAAUGGCAGAAACCUAAAUAACAUUUCCAGUAUUCCCAAAACAUUAAUGUUGUCUGCAAAACUCAGGAAUUAGUGCUAUUUAUCGAUUAUUUGAAAAAUAUUCAGCACUGAGAUGCUGGAUUAAAUGAUUUCAGAACUUAAUUCUACAUGUUUAAUGAAUAGCAAUAUUUUGCAUUCCUUUCUCACAGAAAAAAAAUCCAGGCCUGAUUACUGGACAGACAAAAAAUUGUUCACCUAAUAAAAUAUGAAUCUAUUUCCUAGUUGCUAAAAAGAAAAUUAAAAAAAAGAGUAAUACUGGGAAAAAAUUAAUUCAAUGCGAACAAACAACAAAAGGUUUUGGAUCGGCUAUAAAAAUAUAUAUACACCAGAGAUGGAGUAUCGCAGUCACAGACAGUCAUAUGCUGAUGAGGGACAAAUAAGGGUGCGCCUUAGCAGCUAUAAAUAACAAAAACAACAAGAAAGCAUCAGGAAAGUAAGCAAGUGAAAGUAUAAAGAAAACAACACAAAUUUGCGUGAAUGCCAAUCUGCAUGUUUCAAUUCAAAAUGCUUUAAAGAAAUUCAAUGAACUAAAAAAGAAUGACUUUCAGCAAAUUUCCUACAAUGAAAGCCUGAAACAUGUAUCCACAGUGACUAAUCCCUAUUACCGAGAUGAAAUCAACUUUGAAUCCUCCGUUUUGUGAAUUUUGUGGCAUAAAAUCUGACAUACCUAUAGAUAAAAAACAAUCACGUUUCAAUUUACACCAACUAAAAUUAAACCCAAAAUCAGACAAAACAAAUUAACCACGUUUCUGAUUACCACAAACAAUGUUUCAAAGUUGAAUUUAUGUAACACAUUGACUUAAAGCUAAAAAUGAGCAAACGAAAAGCAAAAGUUUCUGAACUUAAAAGAGAAAAGCUUCUAAAUUUGCCAAUUUCAAAGAAGUGAUAAGUACAUAUUCAAAUUUAUCAACUUCAGCAUAGACAAAACAAUUACACAGAUACAGCUAAAUGACUGCAAACGCAAACUUUAGAAAGAACCGCAAUUCAUCUUUAUCUAAAGAAGCUAUAUUUGAUUCAGCCCAACUAAGUAGGCAAAGAAAAGCUUCUAACUUUGCUGAAACCAAUUGAAUAAGCCUCUGUUUAUUAAAAAAAAUUCAGAAAAAAUUUAAAAAAAUCAGACCAAUUUCGUAGAAAGGACAAAUUUUAAAUUCACUAAACAAAUAUCUUCACAGAAUUCAAGCAAUAACCGCAAGAAAAAAAAAAUUCUGAACCUUGAGUUUCUAACAACAGAAAUUUCAUUUCUCCGAAAAGCACUACAAAUAAAAUAAAUAAAUAAGAAGCAAGUAGCAGCGGCGGGAGAAGAAUUGCAGAAGAAAAGACGGAUACAGGGGCUUACGCCGGUGAAGUCUGCGGAUUUUCAAGUGGACGGCGAUGAUUAGUAGAUUCGCCGGCGUUUUGGGGAAGACUAAAGAAAUGGUGAAAUUAGGGAUGGGAGAAUUUUGAGGUCUGGGUUUAAGAAAGGUUUUUUCGUUUUUGUUUUUUUCUUUAUUAAAUAACCCGGGCAACCGGUUUUAUUUACCCGGAUUUUUCAUCUUUUGACGGGUCGUGCUUUGAGCCCAUGGGUUUUGCCGAACUUUGCCCUAUGUUAUUUGAAGGGUUGAUUACACUUUGCCCCCUGAAUGUAUGGGAUAAUCAUAUUUUAUCGCUCUUAACUUUGGAUAUAAAAACUUUGCCUCCCCACUAAAAUGUAAUGAUGAAAAAAAUCCUAAUAUCAUAAACUUCAUAAGAGGUUUUAACCGGAAAAACUCUAAAAUUUGGUAACAUGCUCAUAAUUCAACAAAGGAAUAAACUUUUUCUACUAUAUAUAAUUGUUACUUCAAUAAAAGGUUAGAAAAUAACAACUCGUGUUUAGAUUGAAUUGCUAAUUGUGUGAUAGCAUGUGUUUGUUAUAGUUGGUGAGUAAUUUGCGUUACCAAAGUACAUUAUUUCUUAUUCCAAAGUAAAUACUUUAAGUAUUAGGAACAUAUAAAUGUUUUUUCAGUUCAAUUUAAACCACAUAAUCAUUAAUUUAAUGUUUAUAUUUCAAUUAAAAUCAUCGCUUGGCAUGUAAAUUUUGACAAAGUGCUUUAAAAAUAUGUAUUGAUAAAAUUUUGCCAAGCAAAUUUUAUUGAUAUGAAAUUUUGUUGAUUGUUUACAUAAUUCCUUUCUUUUUUCGUUAUUUGAGGUCAAACAUUUUGUAGUAUUAUAAAUUUCAGAAGAUACUAAGAAAAAUGUAGUGUGUUGUGAACAAAAAAGAAUUAACAAUAGAAAUUGCUAAUCCUCAACCACUUUGUGAAUAUCUUUUUUUUCAAUAUUUAGGAUAGGCUAAUGCAUUUUAUCACAAUUUUCAAACUAAUUAUUUAAUAUUGGACUCAACUAUCUAAUCCCCUUUCAUAGUCCACCAUUUUCAGCAUCUCAUCCACCAUGAUUGAAGGGUCAAACUAUUCCAAAGUUUUGAAUAGAGGAUAAUAGUUCCAAAGUCUUGAAUUUGAGAACAAAAAUGGCUAAAAGAAAAUUUCUAUAAUAAUUCCUCUAUGAACUAAACCCAUACCAAACUUGUACAUGGGUAUUCUUGAGUCUUGAGUACUAAUAAAGUCACAAAACUAACAUAUGUGUUAAUGUGUUAAAGGGGAGAGUAUUGGAGGAUGAAAACACAUUUUAAAAUUCUUCCUUACUACUGUACAAUGGAAUCAAAGUGUAAAAAGAAAAUAAAAAAGUAAGCAGCUCAAGGAGUUUAUCAUACAAUAUUUAGUUGAUAGUUCAUUGUGGAUAUCUCUUCUCUUGUAGAUACGUUAUGUUUUAUUGCCACUUAUACUUUUUAAAUUAAUCUUUUCUACGUUGAUAGUGCUGUCAAUUUUGAAUGAAUAACAACUAUGCAAAUUUUGAAUUUAAACUCCAAUUUUUGCAAAUGUAUUAUGGAUCGAUGAUAGGGUACUGCCAAUAUAUAUAAGAUUUACUCAUACUUUUUCACUUGUACAUUAUGCUUUAUUUGUUUGCUUAGCAUUUUUUUUUUAUAUAAAACAUCAUAAUUUCAUUAAAGUUUAUACUAAUGGCAAAAGUUAUAUCAUCAAACAUGCACAGAUAUCAAAGAACAUGUAGAAUGGAUUCUACAGAUCAAAAAACAAAUCUGAAAAAUAGAUACUACAAAUUUGAAGAACAUAUAAAAAUUAUUAUAUUGUAAAGCUCUAAAAAUAUUUUAAAAUGAGAUAAAAUAAUUGUAAUUCCAAGAAAAGAAAAUCUAUGUAUAUUUUCAAUCACCAUUGCUGCUUGAUAGCUUCAAGUCUAGAUAUUAUGAUGAGAUCUAUCAAAUAGACCUAAUUCUUGAUCUGAUGAUUAAAAUUUGAAAAAACUUAAAUCUAAUAAAAGAAAAUUUUUAAAAAUAUGUAAAACUCUCACUAGGAAUUCCUAGGGGAGAAGAAAAUUCUCACUGAAAAAGUUUAGGAGAGAAGAAAACUCUCACUAGAUAACCCUAGGAGAAAAGAAAUUAUUAUUAAGACUAGAAGAUAUUUUAUUCACACAAACAAACAAAAAGAAAUUAUACAGAAGGCUCCUUACGGAAAAAGAUUACAAAAAAAAAAAAAAUCUUAUCUAUUUCCCAUAGGAGAGUUGGAGGAAGUUUUGACUAGAAAAUGUUUGGAGAUCAAGUGUGGAAGCAUUCGACCUUUGCAAAUCAAGUGUGAAAGUCACCACGCACCUAUAAUGCCAUGCAGUUAUGCAUGAUGAACUUCACAAGUCCAUAAACACAGAUCACCACUAGUAUCUCGCAAUUGAAACCAUCCUACCCAACCAGGUUGGCAACUAAAUACCACUACCAUGCCUUACUCUUUUUUACCAAAGUUGAGGAAACUCAAACUUUUGUGUUUAUAAACCCUGAAUCCCCGAACAAUCUUCAAAAGCCGGUAACUUUUGAAGACGUUCAGGGGACUUAUAUACACUAAACCCAACCCCCCUUUCCGAUGUGGGAUAGAAAACCCCACAGGAUGCCUCGCUGCUAAGAAGUAAAGACCCCCAAACCCCCUGAGAAUGAGUUUUCUGUCUUUUUUACCAAAGCUGAGGAAACUCAGACUACCAUGCCUUACUCUCUAGUAAACAUUUGGUUUUAUGAAAAAAAAAAAAAAAUUUCACAGAACUCUUUAUUGAUACUAUAAUCCUUCAUAGAUUAUUGAUACUCUUUAUUGAUCAUGUCUAUGUAUAUUUUCCUUACCUACCAUCAACGUACUGUGAAUCAACAACAGGUGAUGAAUUAGGUGAAUGGGUAGGUUUUUCACAAAUUUAGACGUUCAUCAAAACACUCCAGUCAAAUGAUUAUAACAGUAUUCAGACACCAAAAUUGAAAGUAACUUAUGAAACCAAAAGAUUUGCUUACUACAAUUGCAAACCAACUAUAAUUUGAUUAUUGUCAACAUACACUUUUAAGUCCAAUAAUAAGCACAUUAAUUAUUUAAUGAUAAGGUUGAAAACUCGAAUAGAAAUAAUUAAAUCUCAAGUUAAUUUGUCAAAUAUAAUUAAGUUGAAAUGUUAACGUGAAUAGUAAUAAAUAUAAAUUCUAAUUGAAUUAUAUCUAUUCAAAAUGUAGAUAUUGAAAAGUCUACUCAAAAUAAUUCAACAUUAUAAAGAAAUGCUAAAUGCAAUCUAAUUUGGGUCAUUGAACACAUCUAAAGUAAUGCCAACUCCACGAGACAAUACCAAAUCCAUAUAGAAAGCAAAAGAGAAAACUCAAAAUUCACCCAUAAUACCACAUAUCAGUAAGGGGAAUUGCUACAGUAAAUUUGGACCUCUACUUUAUGUUAUAGUAAGAUAAGAUAUUUGAUAAUACGUUGUAGUAUAUUUUUAGUCCUUCAGAUAAACAUUCAAUUAAACACCUUGAAAGGGGACAUUUUAUAGUUUUAUUCCCAGAAUCAACAUAGCGCUUAGAACAAGUAGUACCAAUGCCCAUUGAUUUUAGUUCGGCCUAUCAAAGCCCAUCUCAUGUCGGCCUAAAGAACAAGACAUUAAACUCCGAUAUAGUUGGGCCACCCCAGUUUAGUACCACUACUACCCUUUUUCUGUCGUCAUUCCCCUCUCCUUCCCUGAAGCAUUCUCAGUAGCCCUUCGCGUUCUUCUUCUUCCUUAUGCAAGCUACACUCGGGCUUCUCAUUCACCCUCUUUUUCUACCUGCUGCUCUUUUAAGGGUCUUGAAGGAGACAAGUUUCAGCUAGAGAUUUUGUAUGCAGGUUAGUUUCUUAUUGUUUUUUGCUGUACUUUUCUUACUCUGAUGAUUUUGUUCAAUAGACUUCAUUUAUUAAUGUUCUUGGGAUGUUCUUGGCGGAUUGUCAUAGUCUUUCCAUUAAUCUUUUAGUAAAGUAGAAAUGUUUUUUGAUUUGAUCCUGAGUUGAAAUUGGUCGACUUAGACAAUUAGGCUGCAUGUUUUACCCAUUUGAUUCUUCCUGAAUUGUCCUCAGUCACCGAUUUGGAGUCUCCGACUUGUAGGGUAUCGUUAUCAGAAUGGCCUGCCAAGUUUCGAUGAUGAAUUUUUGAAGCAAGGUUAAAAGAGAAAUUCAGUGCAUUGAUUAUUUUGCAGAGAUUUUAUUUAAAGCUCAAAAGUGCAAGAAUGAUGGCACUUUUUGCGAGCCGAGGUAUGCUGGUUGAAUUCAUUUAAUUCCUGAAUGUUUUCCCGUUCUUUCUAUUUCUUUAAUCAUGAGUUUGUUGAUUUAUUGGAACUCUAAGUUUGUUUCUGGUAGCUCACUGAUCAUACUGAUCAUAAUUGGUACCGCAGGAUUAAUGUUUCAGUCUGCCUCAAGAUGCUUUCGUGUGAUUGCCUCUUACAGGAGCUUGCCAUUUUCAAGUAAUGGACCUUGCAAUCAGGAUGGUGGAUCAGCUUCUUUUGGAAAUGGGGUUAACCAAGAAUAUUUGGGAAAAUCAGAGGGUAUAUGGCAAGAAGCGGACAGGGUGUGCCAGAUCCUGGAGAGUGGAUCUUGGGGGCCUUCAGUUGAAAAUGCUUUAUCUAUGUAUGAUGAAAAACGUCAUUCAGAACUAGUUAUUGGAGUCUUAAGGAGGCUGAAAGAUGUUCAACAAGCGCUAAACUAUUUUCGGUGGUUGAGAAGAAAACUGACGAAGCGCAUUGUCCGGAGGCAUACAAUAUGCUUCUCAUGGUAAUCGUGAAGAGUAAGAGGUUUGAUCAUGUGGAACAAAUUUUGGAAGAGAUGGGUCUUGCUGGGUAUGGCCCAUCCAACAGUACCUGUAUUCAGCUAAUAGAUAGCUAUGUCAAGACUCGAAAAUUAAGGGAGCAUUUGAUUGUAUUCAGACAAUGAGGAAGUUAAAGUUUCGCCCUGCAUUUUCAGCUUACACUACCCUAAUUGGUGCCCUAUGUACUGUUAAUGAACCUGAUCUUACGCGGGCACUCUUUCUUCAGAUGCAAGAAUUAGGUUAUGAAGUGAGCAUUCAUUUAUUUACGACUCUUAUACGAGUAUUUGCCAGGGAAGGUCGAGUUGAUGCUGCUCUCUCGCUUUUGGAGGAGAUGAAAAGCAACUCAUUGGAUGCAGACAUUGUUCUCUAUAAUGUGUGUAUAAACUGCUUUGGCAAGGUGGGUAAGAUGGAUAUGGCUUGGAAGUUUUUUCAUGAGAUGCAAGCUAAUGGAUUCGUACCUGAUGAAGUUACAUAUACGAGUAUGAUUGGUGUUCUCUGCAAGGGUAACAGACUGGAUGAAGCUGUGCUCCUGUUUGAACAGAUGGAGCAGAAUAGGGCAGUCCCAUGCGCAUAUGCUUAUAGCACUAUGAUCAUGGGAUAUGGAUCUGCUGGAAAGUUUGAUGAAGCAUAUAGGUUACUUGAAAGGCAAAGGUUAAAGGGAUCCAUACCAAGUGUAAUUUCAUACAAUUCUCUUCUAACCUGCCUUGGGAAGAAGGGAAAAGUUGAUGACGCAUUAAGGAUCUUUGAGGAGAUGAAAAAAGAUGCAGCACCUAAUCUCACAACUUAUAAUAUCAUCAUUGACAUGCUUUGCAGGGAAGGACAGUACAGGGCUGCUUUAGACGUUCGAGAUGCCAUGAAAUUUUCAGGCCUGUUUCCCAAUGUAUUGACUGUAAAUAUAAUGAUUGACCGUUUGUGUAAGGCUCAGAAACUUGAUGAAGCUUGUUUUAUUUUUGAAGAAAUGGACCACAAACUUUGUAUGCCAGAUACAAGGACAUUUUGCUCUCUUAUAGAUGGCUUGGGUAGGCAUGGCAGGGUAGAUGAUGCAUACAGGUUAUAUGAGCAGAUGUUAGAUUCUGAUCGGGCUCCUGAUGCUGUUGUUUAUACAUCCUUGAUUAAGAACUUUUUCAGGUCUGGAAGGAAGGAAGAUGGCACAAGAUUUACAAAGAAAUGGUUUCUAGAGGUGUUGCCCUGAUCUUUUGCUCCUUAACACCUAUAUGGAUUGUGUAUUCAAAGCUGGUGAGACAGAGAAAGGCAGAGCUUUGUUUCAGGAAAUUAAGAAUCUGGGUUUUACUCCAGAUGUGCGGAGUUAUUCUAUUCUGAUUCAUGGUCUUAUAAAAGCAGGCUUUGCACGUGAAACAUACGAGUUAUUUUAUACAAUGAAGGAAAGAGGGUGUAUUCUUGACACCCUUGCUUAUAACACGGUAAUUGAUGGAUUCUGUAAAUCAGGAAAGGUCAAUAAAGCUUAUCAACUGCUGGAGGAAAUGAAGGUGAAGGGUCAUGAACCUACUGUUGUCACUUAUGGUAGUGUUAUUGAUGGGCUUGCAAAGAUUGACAGGCUGGAUGAAGCUUACAUGCUUUUUGAAGAAGCAAAAUCCACAGGUGUGGAGUUAAAUGUGGUGGUUUACAGUAGCCUUGUAGAUGGGUUCGGGAAGGUGGGUAGAAUUGAUGAAGCAUAUCUGAUAAUGGAAGAAUUGAUGCAAAAAGGAUUGACGCCGAACACUUAUACUUGGAACUGCUUGAUUGAUGCUCUCGUGAAGGCUGAAGAAGUAGAUGAAGCUCUUGUCUGCUUUAAUUCGAUGAAAAACUUGAAUUGCAGUCCAGACUCAAUAACUUACAGCAUUCUCAUAAAUGGGCUUUGUAGGGUGCAAAAAUUCAAUAAAGCCUUUGUUUUUUGGCAGGAAAUGCAGAAGCAAGGUCUAAAAACCCAAACUAUUACUUAUACCACUAUGAUAUCUGGGCUUGCAAAGGCCGGAAAUAUACUAGAAGCUGAUAAACUCUUUGAAAGGUUCAAGGCAAAUGGAGGUGUACCUGAUUCAGCCUGUUAUAAUACUAUGAUAGAAGGGUUAAGCAUUUCAAAUAGGGCAUUGGAAGCUUACCAACUAUUUGAAGAGACUAGGUUAAGAGGUUGCAACAUGUACACAAAAACAUGUAUUGUUCUUAUGGACUCUCUGCAUAAGGCUGAAUGUCUUGAGCAGGCAGCAAUCGUGGGUGCUAUUCUGCGGGAAACAGCAAAGGCACAGCAUGCAUCUAGAUCAUUGUAACAAUGGAUUGG